rnacentral:lncRNA from 1 species
AAAAAAAACGGAAAUGAAUUGAAAAGGAUUGAUUGAUUACAACAGUAUAAUAAUAUAGAAAGUCAAUUUUUUUUUUUUUUUUUUUUUUGGCCUCCCCGAUGAACUGCUCUUUAUGAUUUGGCUCGACCAAAAACAGCUCGAGACAGACUUCCUGAACAUCCGCCAACACGACACCAGUCAAGCCAGAGGCCUAGCACACCUACAAUAACAAGACCGAGCCUUAUUCCGACGGACAGCCACAAAGUAGCUAUGCGCCAAAGACCUUUACAAAACGGGUUGAGGACAGCAACAUCUCCACAAAGGCACACCAGAACAUCAACACCAGCCGGAAGAACCCAUCCACUCGAAGACAGAACGCAAGCGACUAACUCCAGUGCUGGGAUGAUGAGUUCAAACCAAGAAAACCUGAGACACCACCUAAACCGAAGACCCCUCGGAGAGGAAGAGCGACUCAGACAAGUGGAGAGGAACCCAUCCACUCGAAGACAGACCCGGGUUCUGUCUCUCGUUUUAACUGUGGUUUAACCUCUUGCGGCAAGUGGUAAGUAUGGAAUGGUUGAAGCCGCUUGAUUUCGGUUUGGUUGGUUGUGUCUGUCCCUGCUAGACUAGAUCAAGUUGUUGUUUAGAUUUUGUUUAUUUUUCUAUUUUUUGUUGCCUCUGUACUUCUGUCAAAAAUUUGAAAAUUGGUAAUAAUAUCUUUACAUUUUACCCAAAAAAAAAAAAAAAAAAAAAAAAAAAUAUAGAAAGUCAAAUUCAGUUAAAUUCUUUGAUUAAUGUUUAUUCUGAUAUAUAUAUACUUGCUUUCUGAGAUAAGAUAUAUUAUCCCAUAUUAAAAUUGUUUCCAAUAAACAUUAAAGUGGAAUGUUAGAAAGUUUCAAUUAAGCGACUUAUUACAAUCUCUCUCCUCUCCUAGAGAGAGAGUUCUCUCUAGACAAUCUUUCCUCUCUUAUCAAAUUUCUAUCUUUUAGAGAGGCAAAGAUUUUUGAGAGUGAGAGAGAUCCACUUUUUGGUUCCGGUUUCGGUUUCAUCCGACCGGACUCUGUCUCCGGCGUUCUCGCCUUUUCCUCCGGCGAAGAUCGGCCGGCUUUUGUCUCCGCGUCGCAUAUACCUUUAUGUGACGGCGGCUUACUCCGGGUUUUUUCUCGUUUACGUCGAUCUACUCUUCUUCCGGCUAUCAACUUCAAAUCGUCUCUCUUUCUUUCCUAGUCGGAUUGUUCUUUCCCUUAGUUGGAAAGCCGGUGAUGGAUAGAUCGAUUGUAGAUGAUUGUUUUUUUUCUGAAGGAUAGAUCCGGUUGGCGAUUGGGUUUCUUUGAAGCUGGCUCUUGUAGCAACCGUUUCAUCGAUGAUCUCCGCUAGCGGCGGAGUUCUGAUGCGCCGCCUCCUUGCUUCCGGUGGACGACAGCGGACCUUCAUCUUGACACGUGUGCAUGCAUCGCCGGGCGAACGCACACGCGGUGGGUGACGUGUCCCUCUCUCCUCGACGGUUUACUCUAUGGGCUGACGGCCCAUAUUUGUUUUCUUUGGUUGGCCCAUCUGUUUGGGUUUUUCUCUUUGUUCCGUUGGCCCGUUUGCUGUUUGGGCUUUUUGUAAAGUUGUUGGGCUUAGUCUCUUGGGCUUUGUCCCGCUUAAUAAAUUCAGAUGACAAAAAAAAAAAAAAAAAGUUUCAAUUAAUUUAGAGAACUACACGUUAUAUAAUUUGUGUGAUUAUGCAACAUUCAUGAGUCAACGAAAAUAAUUGAAGUAAUUUUACCGUUAUAGUGUGUCACGAGAAUAAUAAAAGUGAAAAAUGGUUAUGGGAAAUGAAGACAAGGGGACCCAUGGAGAGACAAGACAUCAAAGUUAAUGAACAGUUGUCCUUGUGAGACGCACCCACGCGCUCCCUCUCUCUCUCUCUCUCUCUCUCUCUCUCUCUCUCUCUCUCUCUCUGUAAACCGUUUCUGGAAAAUUGAGGAAAGAAAGAAAGCUUUCACAUCCCCAAUCCUCUAACAACUAAAGAAGAACGUACACGUUGAAGAAGGAGAAGUAGAGUGUUCUGAGUAUCGAUUGAUUUAACUUUCCUGGAAACUGGAUCUAGAUUUCUUCGUUUCUGAGAAGCAAAACAGUAAGUGAUGAAUCUUUAUCCGAACCUGAGAAGAGGGAUACUACUCUCUGUGCUCUACGUCGUCGUUUUGCUGUGCAACGCCUCCACCUCCACUUCGUAUUCUUCAUCUGUAAGUUUUGUAUUAUAAACACUCGACUAUGUUUUCAUGAUUCCAGAAAUAGUAGUUUCAAACUUUCCCGUUGAAGAAAUUUCUCAAUUCGAAUCUAUUUAUAGAAAGUUUAAUAGACAGAGACACCAACGGGGUUUAUGUUAGUAUGUUUUUGAUUUAUUAUUGGGUUUAUUGAAUUUAAAGACUUGAAAUUUAAUUAGUCUGGGACCUGAGGAAUCAAUAACUCAAGACUUGUUUAGUUUCAUGUCUUGAUGGAACUAAACCAUUGUUCUUUUUGCAGGAAGCGAUCACAAUAAAGCCAAGACACUUAUCUUUGCUUAAGAGUGCUUUACAACGGGUAAGAAUGAGAGAUUCCUUUAAAAUGAUUUUCAGAAAAUAAAUGAGCUGAUGAGACUUGUUUUUUUGUUUUUUUUUUUAAAUUAAUUUCAGCCAAGUGGGGAGCAGUCUGAUCUAUGGAAGCCAAUGACUGACCAAGGAUGGAGUCCAUGCAUCGAUCUCGAAGAUCCCCCUUGUAAGUACUACUAUUAAACAACAUUUCUCAUUUAGUUUUUACAUUAAUCUCUCUCUAAUCUUUGGAAUAGCAGCAUUACCGGAUAAGACCAAAAGCUAUAUCCAAGUGUUUCUCGACGGAGGACUUAACCAGCAACGAAUGGGUAUAUGCGACGCAGUCGCAGUCGCUAAGAUCCUAAACGCAACGCUCGUGAUCCCGUUUCUUGAAAUCAAUCCCGUUUGGCAAGACUCGAGCUCUUUUGUUGACAUCUUCGACGUGGAUCACUUUAUCGAUGCGUUAAAAGAUGACGUAAGAGUAGUUAAAGAGCUUCCUGAGGACUACUCUUGGAGCACGAGAGAGUACUACGCUGCGGCGGUUCGUGAAACACGUGUCAAAACCGCUCCUGUUCACGCUUCUGCGCAAUGGUAUAUUGAGAAUGUUUCACCGCUUCUUCACAGGUAUAUUUAACGUUAAUCUGACAGUUUUGAAAACGUUACAAGAGUCUUAAAAGUUUGGAGAUUUUUUUUUUUUUUUUUGGUAGCUAUGGGAUUGCUGCGAUCUCUCCGUUCUCUCACCGUCUGUCGUUUGAUCACUUACCUGGUGAGAUUCAACGGCUGAGAUGCAAAGUGAACUUCCAAGCGUUGAGGUUUGUUCCUCACAUUACAUCGCUUGGUGAUGCUCUUGUGAGCCGUCUUAGAAACCCGUUGUGGAGAAGCGAAAAGGACAGAAAGAGUGUGGAUCAUUUGGGAGACAUGACGAAUCCGAACAGUAGACAUGAACCAGGGAAGUUCGCUGUUCUUCAUCUUCGCUUUGACAAGGUAAUGUUCACUCUCAGUUCAUUACACUUUUUUAGGCAGUUUCAGUUCGGUAUCGGUACCGGCUUUUCGUUCUAGAAAUUUAGGAACUGUUCCGUGUGCUUACAAAAGUAGGUUCGGUUUCUGUAGCAAAGUUGGAAACCAGCUGAUAUUUAGAAAGGGGUCCAAAUUUGCUCCGGUUUAGUUCUUUUUGGUUUUUCGGGUGAUUUUGGAUAAUAUGGCUAAAAUAUUAUAUAAUUCGGGUUUUCAGUUUAAAUAUUAGGUAAUUCGGGUAGUUUAGAUAAAAGUAUUGGGUAGUGCGGAUAAUUUGGACUAAAAAGAUUAGAGUGAUUUGGUUUUUCAGAUAAUUCACUUUUAUAAAUAGUAUUUUAAGAUAUUUGGUUAUUUAGAAACUAAAUAUAACUAAUAUUUUAAAGAUAUAAUAUGUAUUUUAAAAAUUCGGGGUACCCAUUCGGUCACGGUUCGGUUUCAGUUUUUUAGAGAUAUAGGAUCUGAGUUCGGUUUUGGUAUGGUUCCUCGGUUCCGGAUAAAUGUACAUAUGCCUAACAUUUUUGGUGAUGUCUUUUUGAGUUGUUUGGUAAUAAGAAGUUUGUUCUGUAUAUAGGACAUGGCUGCACAUUCGGCGUGUGACUUUGGUGGAGGCAAAGCAGAGAAACUUGCAUUGGCGAAGUACCGACAAAUGAUUUGGCAAGGAAGAGUGUUGAACUCUCAGUUCACAGACGAAGAGCUAAGAAGUCAAGGACGUUGUCCUCUAACACCUGAAGAGAUGGGACUUCUCUUAGCCGCUUUCGGUUUCGACAACAACACUCGUCUCUAUCUCGCUUCCCACAAGGUCAGACUCAGACUCUUCACUUAUAUUUCUUCUCUAACCUCUUCUUAUGUUCUGUUUCCUUUUAUGCUUUCUAGGUAUAUGGAGGAGAAGCUAGGAUCUCAGCACUAAGACAAGUCUUCCCAAGGAUGGAAGACAAGAGAAGCCUAGCUUCUUCUGAAGAACGAGCUCGUAUCAAAGGCAAAGCUUCUUUACUAGCUGCACUUGAUUACUACGUGAGCAUGCACAGCGACGUGUUCAUCUCUGCGUCGCCUGGAAACAUGCACAACGCUCUCGUUGGUCAUAGGACGUUCGAGAAUCUCAAGACGAUUAGACCGAACAUGGCGUUGAUAGGACAGCUUUUCUUGAACAAGAGCAUUACUUGGGUGGAUUUUCAACAGGCGAUUGGUGAAGGACAUGUGAAUAGACAAGGACAGAUCCGGUUAAGGAAACCGAAACAGUCUAUUUAUACUUAUCCGGCUCCUGAUUGUAUGUGCCAUGUUUGACGAUGAGGAUAUAAUAAAAUAGUUUUACAUUUUGCUUAGAAAUUAAGUUGUAUAACCUUUUUAUCUAUUAUAUGGAAACUUUUUUCUAAUUAACCAAACAAACUAUUCACUAUUCACGUAAAUUUUGAGAAAAUUUCAAAAAUAUAACAAUACUAUUUUAAUGCAUAAUUGCAUCCUAUACUAACAUAUGAUGAUGUUGAAAGAGGUUUGGAGUCCUUGUUGUAUCUCUUUUACAAGAAAAUAACGAUUUUAUAGUGGUUAUUCCACCGAUUUAUGAAUUAUUAUGAAGUUUUACUAAAUUAAUUGAUAAAAAUUAUAACGAUUCUCAUAUACCAUAAAAGAAAAAUUAACAUACAUUAAUACAAAUGUAAAAUGUGGUUGAAAAUUCUAAAACAAUACUAAAAAGUUUAGGCUUCAGUAUAUAGAGCAUUUAACGUAAAACUCAAUAUUUUCUUAGAUUUUGAGAAAAAAUCAAAAAUAUAACAAUAUUGCUUUAAUGCAUAGUUGCCUUCUGUAGAAAUAUAUGAUAAUGGUUGAAAAGAUUUGGAGCAUUUGUUGUCUCUAUUUCUCUAGAAAAUAACGAUUUUAUUAGUCCACUACUUAAGGAGUAUAUGAAAUUUUACUAAAUUAAUUUAAAAACAAAUUGAACGAUGCUCAUGUACAAUGAAAGAGAGUUUAACAUAAAUUAAUACAAAUGUAGAAUAUGGUUAGAAAUUUUGAUACAACACUAAAGAUUAUAGGCUUCAGUAUAUAAAACAUUUACCAAAAUUCAAUGUUUUUGUAGAGGGUUACACAUAGAUUUUGAGAAAAUUUCAAAAAUAUGCCAAUAUUGUUUUAAUGCAUAGUUUCAUCCUACACUAAUAUAUGAUGAUGUUGAAAGAGGUUUGAAGCCUUUGUUGUCUCCGUUUUUCAAGAAAAUAGCGAUUUUAUAGUUGUUUUUCCGCCGAUUUAGGGAGUAUUAUGAAGUUUUACUAAUUAAUUGAUAAAAAAUUAGAACGAUUCUCAUAUACCAUGGAAGAGAGUUUAACAUACAUUAAUACAAAUUUAGAAUGUCGUUAGAAAAUUUAUAACAACACUACAAAGUUUAGGCUUCAGUAUAUAGAGCGCUUAACAUAAAACUCAAUAUUUUCGUAGUAACACAUAGAUUUUGAGAAAAAUUCAAAAAAUAUAACAAUAUUAAUUUAAUGCAUAGUUACCUUCUGUACUAAUAUAUGGUGAUAGUAAAAGAGGUUUAAAACCUUUGUUGUCUCCGUUUCUCUAGAGAAUAGCGAUUUUAUAAUGGUUAGUCUACUAAUUUAGGGAGUAUAUGAAAUUUUAUUAAAUUAGUUUAUAAAAAAAAUUAAAUGAGGCUCAUGUACCAUGAAAAAGAUUUUAGCAUACAUUUAUAGAAAUGUUGAAUGUGGUUAGAAAUUUUAAAAUAAUACUAAAGAUUAUAGGGUUCAAAAUAUAAAUUAAUUUAUUGAAAUUCAAUAUUUUUGUAGGGGUUAACACAUAUAUUUUGAGAAAAUUUCAAAAAAUAUGACAGUAUUGUUUCAAUGCAUAGUUGCAUCAUGCACUAACAUAUGAUGAUGUUGAAACAAGUUUGGAGCCUUUGUUGUCUACGUUUUCCAAGAAAAUAACCAUUUUAUAGUGGUUAUUCCACCGAUUUAGGGAGUAUUAUGAAAUUUUCUAAAUUAAUUCAUUAAAAAUUAUAACUAUUUCCAUAUACCGUGAGAGAGUUUAACAUACAUUAAUAUAAAUGUAAAAUGUGGUUAGAAAUUUUAAAAUAACACUAAAAAUUUAGGCUUCAGUAUAUAUAGAGCAUCUAAAGUAAAACACAAUAUUUUGGGUUAACACAUAGAUUUGAAGAAAAAUUCAAAAAAUAUAACAAUAUUGCUUUAAUGCAUAUUUUCCUUCUUUACUAAUAAAUUGUGAUGAUCAAAGAUGUUUGAAACCUUUGUUGUCUCCAUUUCUCUAGAGAAUAGCUAUUUUAUAAUGGUUAAUCCACUAAUUUAAAAACCAUAUGAAAUUUUACUAAAUUAAUUUAUAAGAAAAAUUAAACGAGGCUCAUGUACCAUGAAAGAGAGAUCAGCAUACAUUAAUACAAAUUUAGAAUGUAGUUAGAAAUUUUAUAACAACACUAAAAAUUAUAGGUUUCAGUACAUAAAUUAAUUUAAUGAAUUUCAAUAUUUUUGUAGGGAUUAACACACAGAUUUUGAGAAAAAUUCAAAAAAUAUAACAAUAUUGCUUUAAUGUAUAAUUGCCUUCUGUAGUAAUAUAUGGUGAUGGUAAAAUAGGUUGGAACAUUUGUUGUCUCCAUUUCUCUAGAGAAUAGUGGUUUUAUAAUGGUUAGUCCACUAAUUUAGGGAGUAUGAAAUUUUACAAAAUUAAUUUUAAAAAGAUUGAACGAUGCUCAAGUACCAUGAAAGAGAGUUCAUCAUACAUUAAUACAAAUGUAGAAUAUGGUUAGAAAUUUUAAAACCACACUAAAAAUUAUAGGCUUCAGUAUAUAAAACAUUUACCAAAAUUCAAUAUUUUAGUAAGGGUUAUAACACAUAGAUUUUGAGAAAAUUUCAAAAAUAUGCCAAUAUUGUUUUAAUGCAUAUUUGCAUCAUGCACUAACAUAUGAUGAUGUUGAAAGAGGUUUGAAGCCUUUGUUGUCUCCGCUUUUUCAAGAAAAUAGCGAUUUUAUAGUGUUAUUCCAUUGAUUUAGGGACUAUUAUGAAGUUUUACUAUGUUAAUUGAUUAAAAAAUUAUAACGAUUUCCAUAUACUAUGAAAGAGAGUUUAACAUACAUUAAUACAAAUGCAGAAUGUGGUUAGAAAUUUUAAAACCACACUAAAGAUUAUAGGCUUCAGUAUAUAAAGCGUUUUUCGAAAUUCAAUAUUUUUGUAGGGGUUAACACAUAGAUUUUGAAAAAAAUUCAAAAAAUAUGACAACAUUGUUUUAAUGCAUAUUUGCAUCAUGCACUAACAUAUGAUGAAGUUGAAAGAGGUUUGGAGCUUUUGUUAUCUCCGUUUUUUAAGAAAAUAGCGAUUUUAUAGUGGUUAUUCUACUGAUUUAGGGAGUAUUAUAAAGUUUUACUAAAUUAAUUGAUAAAAAAAUAUUAAGAUUUCCAUAUACCAUAAAAGAGAGUUUAACAUACAAUAAUACAAAUGGAGAAUGUGGUUAGAAAUUUUAAAACAACACUAAAAAGUUUAGGCUUCAGUAUAUACAAUGUUUAACAUAAAACUUAAUUUUUCCGUAGGGGUUAAACACAUAGAUUUUAAGAAAAAUUCAAUAAAUAUAACAAUAUUUUUAAUGCGUAUUUUCCUUCUGUACUAAUAUAUGGUGAUGGUCAAAGAGGUUUGAAACCUUUGUUGUCUCCAUUUCUCUAGAGAAUAGCGAUUUUAUAAUGGAUAAAGAAGUGGAUAAACUAAACUGAUGUUUAACUUGAAAAUCUUGAAUUUAUCUGAUUUUUUAAUCUGAAUUAACCUAAAACCAAGAACUAAAAUAGAAUAUUGAGGUUCUAUAUCCUCAUCAACUAAUAAUCCUUUUUUUUGUUGGUUAACUGGUAGGAAUCAGGUGUUGUGAAGUCUAGGGUAGAAGCGCACAGAAACAGUUGCUAUUAAACCAAAUAAACCGCUAAUAACCGUCGGAUCAAUCUUUAAUUGGUUAAGCCCGACAAAAGCGGGGGGAAAGAAACCAGAACAGAGACUAGUAUAUAUAAAUGAAGAAACAGAGCAGAAGAGGAGAUCAUAUGUGAGCUUCUUCUUCUUCUUCUUCUUCUCCACAAGUCACAGAAAAGUCAAACAGACGCCGGAAACGACGCGAUUCUAGAGUUUCCUUCCAUCGUCGAUCUGAUCUUCUCUCGGUAAUCUACGCUUCGGAUAUUUUUAGCAUUUAUAUCCGCCGAAUAUUCCGGCGAAUCAUUGACGGACAUCGAGGCUUCAUUCGAUCGCUUUCGCUUUUCUGUUUUUUUUCUUAUUAUUUUAAAAUUGAAACACCGAUCUGGAGGAUAAUUAAUAUGAAGAAUCCACUUUGAUCAUUGUGAUGAUGAUGAUGUAAUUAAAUGGAUAGGAGAUUUUCUCUCUUUUUGGUUUUAAUGAAUUUGCUUUAGUGUUGGUUAGUGACAAUGAUUUUUAAAAAAAAGUUGAGAUAUUUAAUUAUUUGGUGACAGGUUGAAGAAGAAGAGGAUAAAGAAGCAUAGGUCCAUGGCUGAAUGAUAACAGUUUUAUCUCCGGAGAUUCGGAGUUUUUUUUUUCUUUUAGGAAUCUAAUAAAGAAGAAGAUGGCAGUCUCUUUCCCUCGUCUCCCCAGGUGGUUGUGUGGUGGUGGUGGUGGUAGCACUAAGAAAGACUCAAAAGGAUCAUCUCCUUCACUGAAGAAGACUAUUAAGACUGGAUCUUCUUCUUCGGUGAAGAAGAUGAAAAGAGGAUGGGUUGAUAGAGGAGAGGAGGAGGGUAAGAUGGGGAAUGUGCUGUUCCCUGAACCAGAUGAUCCUGAGUGGUCCAUUGGUUGGGUUGAACCACAUGGACCUGGGUUUAAAAGUGAGGAUGAUACUGGUGGUGGGUUUGUGGUUCUUGUUCCUUGUUACAAGAAAGUGAUAGAUGGUUCAGGGAAUCAGAUUCCAACUGGUUUCCUCUCUCCUGCUUCUGGUAAUGCUUGUUUCCAUUUUCAUAAAUCAUUAAUAGCAAUUAUUUGACUUAUAUGUGUAUGUUUAGGUUGAUCUCAGUGAUUAAGUUUGUAGCUUGGAGCUUUUCUUGAUUACCGAGUUAGAAGUGAAUUUAUUACCAUAAUUUAUUGUUUAGACAUUGAGGAUUCUGAACUGAAUAGUGUGUGGUUCUGUUUUGAAUUAAAAUCUGCAGAUAAGAAGAAUAUGGAACAGUGGCUGUCGUCUAUGGGGAAGCUUUAAUAAGCUUUUGGAGGAUUUGUGAAGAUCAAGACUGUUUCCCACAUUGUGUUUUUAAGUAUUCAAAAAUUAAAAAUAAAAAAAAAACCAGAAAAAAAAUUUGUGGAUAGGUUUUCUGGAGACUUCUUUUGGUUCUCUGUUUCAAGUGAGUGACAACAAAACAUCAAGUCAUCCCUCUCAAGAAUCUACUACUAAUGGACAAAUGUGAUGGUGAUGGAGGCUUGGCAGCCUAAAAUGAAUGAAGAAUGAUGGAUUGAUAUGCUAUGAAUAUGAUAUAUGAUUUGAGUACUGGAUAUUUUUCAUGUGGGUGUUUGGAGUGAAGACGUUUUCUGCUUCUGUGGUCGAGAUUAUUGUGAACAAACAAAGAAAAAAGAUUUUUCUUUUUGUUCUUUUGUGAUUGAUGAUGUGUAAUGGUGUACAUACAUGUACAUAAGUUUCUCUUAUAUGUCUUCUUUCUUGGAUCACAUGCCUUGUGCUUACUUUCGACAACACGAGAGCCCCUGACGCUGUGCACGUUUAUAAUCAUUAGAAACUUAGCAGAAUCAUCGAUUUCAUAAACAAAGUACACUCAAACAUGUUGAACACGCUUUUGGUCAGACAAAACUUACAUUUCACUAUUUCCCAUGAGGCCGAGUAGAUUGAAAGCAGGACCAGGAUGUCCUUGUUGUGAAGAGUAGGACGCAAGUAGGUUUUAAACAAGGUUGAAAUCUGCAUCAGUUGGUGUAAAUUCCUCCUCUGAAAUCUUGGAUGAUUCCUGCAGAUCAGCGCCGGCUCUGGACGUGUGCGGACGGUGCUUUGGCACAGGGUCUCACCAUUUUUUUUGUAAUUUUUUGGUAUAUUUAGGGUCAUACAGUUUUAAUUUUAUACAUGAAAAGGUCAUUUUUGUUUUUUUGAACACACAAAAAGGGCCCUAAAUUUUUUUGAUUUGUAUAAGAAAGGGCCCUAAAAAUUUGUUUGUGCACAUGGCCUAAAUAUAUUCUGAGCCGGGCCUGCUGCAGAUGCAGAUAAAAUAUCAUUAAAACAAAAACUCAACCUCAUAAACUCAUAACAACCUACAUAACAAAAUGGCUUCAAGAUGGAUAUGGAAUAAUUACCCCGUCUUACUUAGAAGAGUGUUGUUGAUUGAAAUGUUCAAAGCUCUUGUCAAGAGUUGAGUUCUUAUGUUCCUCACUCAUUGCUCCAGAGUAUGAUUCCAUAAAGCUUUCCUUCUCAUCCUCGUUAGACUCUCUUCUCCUUCGCUAUCAUCUUCAAAGUCAUUAAAAUCCAUCUCCAUCUGCCUCUCUUGAAGAACAGGUUUUAACUCAUCUUCACCAACGUACAGCCUAGAAUCAUUGUCAGAAACAGGAACGCCCUUGGCAAAAAAACGCAGAUGUGAAUCAAAAUAAAAAGUUACAAAACUUUUGGGUUGAGUUUAAAAAGAAACUAGCUAGGAGGAAGCGUGUGGUACUCAUUUGUUAUGCCAGUCUUGAAUGAGAGCACGAAGAGUUUGGUUUGGUGUGAGAAGUUGAUAGUCUACUACUCUCAUAUUUUUUCAUAGGAGAUGUGUCAUGUCCCAUGCUUAGCCAUUCCCCUAUAGCGUCAAGCUCAUAGGAAAACACGUCCGCUGCAACAGGUGUAUUCUUCAUCAGCUAUCUAAGAUACAUAUAAUCCAAUUGUAAUUGGCUUUUGAAGUUUUUUUGGAUCUUUCUAGUUGAUAUCAUGUAUAUUACGCUGUAAUAUGAAACUACAUAUGUGUCCGGUGUCCCCAUGCAUGGCCAUCUAUUCAUGCACGCGUGAAUAAUGAUUUGCUUAACGAAUACGUUACACGUACCUAAUUAACAAAAGUACUAUUAAGUCAUGAAGACUACGUGGACGAAUUGAUAAUUUUUGAAGCAUAAAAAAUGGUAAUGUGAGCUUUUUUUUGUUGCAUUUUGGAAAACAUAUUAUGAAAUAUCUCCCAAACGGCCAACUCCAUCAAGAACUUUUCCUACAAGGAAGUCACUGUGGACUAUUCUAUUCAAAACAUUAAUGGCCAUGAAUGUUUAUCGUUUUCUAAAUGCUUUUCUUUUUGGCUAAUUGUUUUUUUUCAUAAUAGUUUUCCAGUUUUCUAGUUUUUUUUUAUUUUUGACUAUAAUUUUAAAAUUGACUUUUAAGAUUUGUUUGUAUGUAUGUCUUCACCUUUAUUUUCUUGUUUGCUAAAGUUGAAAUUACUAACAUAAAAUAUCUAAGUAUUUAAUUUAAAAAAAAAUUGAAAAAUAAUAAUAACUCUUUUUAAUGAGUUAAACAAAUUAUGAGUUAUAAAUAUUAUCAAAGAAACAAAAACAAAGUCUUAGGAAGAAAACAUGCUUUAGGUGAAAGCCAAGUAAUAUAGCUUUGUAUUCUUCAUUAAGAAUUGGCGAAAACCUUAAAAACUACAUUUCAUAAUUUUUUAGAAGAAGAAAAAAAUACUUCUAUUAGAAUCUUGAACGGGUCAUAAAAAUUAGUUUUUGACCCCUCAAACACUCUAAAAUAAUAUCAUUCGAGGCUUAUAUUAAUACUGUUCUUCCUUCUCAUUUACAAGUAUGAGUGAGUUCUUCAGUUUGCGUCAUUUUAGUUUUCAAAGCAAAGUUUUUUUUUGUGUGUAUGUAGAUGGGUUGGUGGAAGAAGAAGAAGUCACGAGCCGUUGUUAAAGAACAGACGUGGGACAGAGACCAAUGGAGAGGAGAGAAAAUUCUAGAAGCGCUAAUCCAAUGCUGUGAUGGCAAACCAAAUUCCAUCAAAUUCUUCACUGCUGAUCAAAUCCUCAAAGCCACUCAAAAACAUUUUUGCAAGUGUAACAUCCUUGAAAGACGUCAAAACAUCUGCGAGUGUAGUCGUGUUUCCGAAUUAUAUUUUCAUGGGAAAUGGUAUUCAGGUACGCUCGAUAACCAUCGCAUGAUUCUACUUAGGAAAAUGAAGGGAAGAAGUCCACAUCCCCCUAGAGACAUCUGCACUGGACCUCCUAAGGACGUAGCGAUAUCUUCGAUGGUGAGUGAUCACAAAAAUUUCAUGAAGUUGGUUGGGUGCUGUUUUGAGUUUGAAUAUCCAGUCAUAGUUUAUUAUGGUGGAGAGAGACAAUACUCACCUGUAGAUUUGAAUAAGAUAGUGUCAUGGAGAAGGAGAAUGAAGAUAGCAGAGGAAGUUGCAACUGCUUUAGCUUAUCUUCACGUUGCGUUCCCAAGACCCUUUGUGUAUAGGAACAUGGGGUUGAAAAAUAUAUUAUUAGAUAAAAAUGGCGUAGCGAAGUUGAAUGAUUUAUCUUAUUGUGUCUCGAUUCCAAAAGGAGAAACACAUGUCAAGCUUACUUGGGCUGGUAAAGACUACGAUUACAUGGACAAUGAUUAUAUUUUCAACCGCGUAGUGUCGGAGAAAACUGAUGUUUUCGGGUUUGGUGUUUUCAUGCAAAAGCUUUUGACCGGAGAAAAAAUUUUGAGGAGCUUUGUGGUUGGAAGAAUUGGAGAGAGAAGAACAAGUUUCCGAAGUGGUUGUCCUCGUACAUGGGAGAAGGAAGAAUGGGUGAGAUCGUAGAUCCAAAGAUGAGUUUGGUUUUAGAAGUAGAAGAGCGUUGUCUAAUGGAAGCUUUUCUUGUCCUCUCAGAAAGAUGUAUUGGUCUUAGAGGGGAAGUUCCAAAAAUGGUGGAAGUGGCUAAGGAACUAAGGAGGUCAUUAAAACAAGGGGAAUAGAGAAAAUCACGAGAGAUGUUGGAGAGGCGUAGAAGUGAUGAUAGGUUCUGUUUAUUAUGUGGUGACUGACUUUCAAAGUUUUGAUCUUAUUUUCGGGUAUUUUUGCUAUAAGAAAAAGAAUUUUGAGUCAAUGAAUAAGGAAAAAGAAAGAAGAAAUAUGUGAUUUGAAUCAUUAUUUAGUCUUUUUUUUUUUUUUUUGAUAAAAGGACGUUAUAUUUUUGUAUCAAGGGGAAGAAAAUUUUGCCGACAUGUUAGCGUGUAACAUCAAGAGCAUGCAUCGCUGUCCAAUGUGGGUCGAGGUUGCUUAGCUAUUCAAGAACCUCGUAUUUAUGUUCUCACUAGUUAUUUAAAAAUAAAUAAUAAUUCCCAAAUUUAGUUUGUCUUAUGAAGGUUUUAUAUUCAUGUUUGUUAGUUUUGAUAAUUUUAGUUUACGUAUGAAACUAAUGCAGCUAAAGAAAUGAUCACAUGCAUGGUCGGCUUUGGUGAGAGAUGUCUUUGCGAGUGAUUGAUGAGAUUGGGAUAUCGUAGUGGUGCUUUCAGCCUCGCAAGGAGGCAAGAGGCUUGGAUUAGCUGACGCUGGGUUUGGAGUGUGGCUCGGUGUUUGGUUCGGAACUUGGUUAGGCCUUGUUGAGACAGAUACUUGAUGAUUUCUUGAAUGAUUUCUGAUGACUAAACAAGUGACUAUAUAUUCUAUUUCCAUAAUUUUCUAAUAGUUUUACCUAUUCAUAUUACAAAGUUGCGAGAUUUUUCGAUUAAUCAUUCGGAUUUCAAAAGUGACUACAGCUUUCACAUGAACAAAGGUUGAAGACACAAGCAUAAGCUGAGACUAGAGGCCAAUUAUACAUACAAUCUUUCCUUUCUUUUAGAGAUUUUUACAAUGGAGAAUAUGGAGUAAAAUCACAUGCAAGAAAGACAAGGUAAUACUUUUAUUGUUGUUGUUGGAUUGGUUGCUUCACUCCAUUAAGAGUUGUCUAUGCCGAAUGAGACCGUCAAGGUACGAGGAAGAGGUAUGAUCUUGUAGGUCACACCCGUCGAGACUCACUGUUCUUGCUCCGCCGUGCGGCUCAGCUAACCGGUCAUUCCCACGCAAUAGCUGCACCAACUACAUCCAAAACCAACCCAAUUCAUAAGUUGCUUAUUAUUAGAUCAAACACUAAUGGGACUAGUUUGGCUUUGGAAAUGGAACAUACCCGGUUCAUAUCAGGACGCAUAGUGGCUACAUGGUGUAUGCACAUUGAAGCUGUUUGCAUCACCCUUCUCAUCUCAGUUUCAUCAAAGUCAUUUCCUAGCUUAGGAUCAACUAUUUCCUCCAAGCUGCUCUUCUCCAGAAGUGGUUUCACCUUGAAAAAUAAGCAUUUCAAACUGUCUUAAUUGUUGUAAAAUGCGUACAAAGAGAAGAAGAAGAGCAGUUUCAGAUCAUUACCCACAUCACAAUGCUUUGCCUGCUAUCUGUAUCAACCGCUCGACGACCAGUUAUGAUCUCUAGAAGCAACACCCCAAAAGCAAACACAUCCGUCUUCUCAUCAACAACCCCAUGCAUAAAGUACUCUGGAGCUAGAUACCUGUAAGAGAAACAAAGAACCAAACCUGGUUAAGAUUUAAACAUCAAGAAGAGAUUGUGUAGCCGUGGAAAUCUGUGUCUGACCCGAAUGUGCCUUCGAUAGGGAAAACAAUAUGUUGAGGACAAUUCUCUGGGAGCCACUUAGCAAGUCCAAAAUCAGAUAUCUACCAAAAAAAAAAAAUUCAUAUCAGAUUCAGCUAAAACUGAUUAGUUUUUGAUUGUUGAAUUAAUCAAUCAAUAAAAAUACCUGAGCUUCAUAAUCUUGACUUAGCAAAAUGUUGGAAGCUUUGAUGUCACGGUGAAUAAUCCGUCUAGGACAAUCAUUAUGAAGAUAUCUCAAACCAUCAGCUACACCCAAAGCCACUUUAUACCGUUUCUUCCAAUCCAAACACUCCUCCUCAGACCCUACAAAGGUUUAAAAGAAACAUAAACACAAUUAAUAAUGUUUUAAAAGCAUUUUUAUUGCAAUGGAGAGUGUACCGAAGAGUAGAGAAGCGAGACUGCCGUGCGGAGCGUACUCGAGCACGAAAUGCAAACCGCGGUCGCUACUGAAACCGCGAAGCCUUGCUGCGUUUGGGUGGUUAACGUGUGCGAUCAUCCCUAGUUCAGAUAAGAAGUCGCUGACUCUUUCUUCUUCUUCCAUGGCGUGUCUCAUCAGCUUCUUGAUGGCCACCGUCUCUCCGUCAGGUAAAACUCCUCUGUACACCUCCGCAUGUCCUCCCUUCCCAAUCAUAUUCUCUAACAAAAACACGUACAACACAUCAAGAUCCAUGCUAGCCACUAGGAGACACAAGAACAUAACCAGGACCGGAUCUUGACACAUUCCAGGGAAACAUUGGUCUUAUCCCGCAAUUUUUUAUUUAAAAAAACAUUUAUAUAGAUACAGAGCAUUCUAAUUAUUUUAAAAACUUUAUUAAAAUUCUUAAUAAAAAUCUAUAGAUCUCAAAAAAAUCUCAGGACCGGCCAUGUACCGAACCUUACCGGGAUUAAAACUGUUUAUGAUUCUUAAAAUCUUUAAAAUUUUAGGACUGGCCAUGAACAUAACCUUACCGAACCUUACCGGGAUUAAAACUGUUUAUGAUUCUUAAAAUCUUUAAAAUUUCAGGACUGGCCAUGAACAUAACCUUACCAAACCUUACCGGGAUUAAAACUGUCGGUGGCGGCAACAAGCUCUUCGUACGUGAAGUUCCGCCACGAGGGUUUAGCUACGAGGAUUUGGUCGCAGUCAACAGGAGAAGGAGAUAGCUUAGGCUGUUUCCGCCGCAUGUUUUUCCUCGUGAGCUCGUAGCUGGCGAGGAGAGGAAUGACAGAGAAUCUCCUUAUGGACUUCUUCUUGAUAGAGUCUAUCAUCUUGUUCCAUUGAAGACCGUGGUGCUGAAGAGACGAGACGUUCGGAGGAGUUGUAGAUAACGGCGACGAUGACUUAUCAGGCGAGCACGAGCUGCAGCUGCUGCUGUUGUCGGAGUCCGAACUCGUUAAUGGGAUUUCAAGAACGCAUCUCGGCGAUGGAUCGUCGAUAGAUAAUGAGUCGCUGUUCUCCGUCUCCGUCUUUUCAUUGCUUCCUUUGUUCUUCUUCUUUUUCUUCUUCUCCAUCUCUGCACAUAACAUGUUUGAGUAGAUUUUUUCAUUAGAAGACAAGGCAUAAACAUAAUGUCGUAACAUUGACUAUAUAGCCUUACCUUCAACAGCCAUGGCCUUCGUCCUCUUGGAUUCUCUGUGAGAAGAAGCUUUGAAUGAUAAUAUUAAAAAAAAAACUCAAAGCUUCAUGAAAGUUUCUCCGAAGAGUAACAUCUCCGUGAGGAGAAGGAAGAGAGUCCGGAGAAACAGGAAAGCAGAGGUUUGUCUUCUCUUCUAAUGUGUGGUUUCUGAACCGUUGUUUUUUUUUCUUUUGCUUCUUGUCUUUGUUAGAGAGUUUUAUCUUUAGAAAUGUUUAUUCUUAGAAGAUUUUUAGAAAGCUUCAAAGUGGAAGAAGAAGAAGAUGAAAGACCAGGUUUAUUAUGACUGGUAAUGGAUUGGAAUCUAUGCUAUAUUUAUACAAAAUCCACCACAUGCAUGCAAGUCGAGAGUUCUGUUUCACUUUUUUACAAAAGAUAAGAGUUCCGUAACUAACGCUAUCCAACGAACGAACACGCCGACGGUUGACAUAUAUUAUCUGGAGCUGGUCAAUGGCAUUUUCCGUAAUUACAGUGGAUGAGAAGACAAGACAUCCUCUGUGUUUUAAAAUAUAGUUAUGACUUGUUGUGAGGCCACUAACAUUGUUUUUAUUCUUUGUUGGGUCUCUUCAAGCUAUUUUUUAUUAUUAAUGCAACCUUUAAAAGCAGCAUAAGCGAAUUUAAAUGGCGGACUGUGUGAUCCCCCCUCCCCCAAAGAAAUAUGAUACUCAUUCCGUUUUAAUAUAGAUGAUGUUUUAGAAAAAUUAUUUUGUUUCAAUUUAUAUGAAGUUUUGAGAUUAUAUGAUUAAUUUUAACUUUAUUAGAAACUGAUCAACUAAUUAGAUUUUACCAUCUUUUUUAUAAUUAGUUAACUGAUUUUAAAAUUAUAUUUUUAAAAUAUUUAAAAAAUAAUAAUUUUCUUAAUCUUUAUGCACUAAGGCAAAACAUCAAGUAUUAUGAGCGGGAAAGAAUAUCUUGUUUUCAGUUAUCGUGUGGCACCACCAUAGAGACUAGUAUGAAACACAAAGGCAAUUAAGCUUUAACCACCCUAGACCUUAUUUUAAAAAUAUAUUUAACUUUCUUAUAUAAUAAACUGGUCAAUAUCAAGAUAGACAACAUUCAUGAGAGUGUUCUGGUUGACGACACGACCGUCACGAGUCAUCAUGGAGCUUAGUUAAAAGACGUUUAUUCGAAACACAUCAGGCGCGACAUCAUUGGACCCACCAUCUCAAGCUCUAACUUAAGUGCAUAAAAUAGAAAAAUCUAACGACGAAAAUGAAAAGAAUAGGCAUGUGUCAAACUUUCUACAUGUGUGGGUUAAGUACAUAUCAUCGGAGAAACAAAUUCAUAAUCUAGAUAAGCACAUAUUAAAAUAAUAAGUGAAGUUGUUGCGGGAAAAUGAUUUUUUUAUAUGUAUCUUUCGUGAAAUGCGAAUUUGUUAAGGCAAUAACUACAUUCUAAAUAAAGUUACUAGUUAAUUGGUAAUUUCAGUGUGAAGGUGUAUCAUGCAGAGUGGGUGAACCAAACCUCUUAAUAAGUAGACUCUCCCAAUCUAAUCUAAUUUGCUUUAUCUUUCUCCAUUGGGCCCCAAAUUCCAAAUCAUAAUAGCCACCAAACUCACCAAUGUCAAGUUCUGUCUGAGAAGUCAGUCUAACCAAUCUCGUUCUCACUUGAGCACUCUUUUGCUUCAAUCCAAAAGUCAGCUAGUUUUUUUUUUUUGUGAAUUCUGGUUUGACGUUUUUUUAAAAUGUACUAUAAGUCUAUAACUAAUAAAUACUAGUAACUAAAUCAAAGUAAAACCAAGCCGACAAGCGUUAAUCCUAUUUUUUCCAAAUAGGAAAGUGAUAUAUAAGCUUAUAUUUUUAAAUAUGCCCGACUGCUUAGAGAUAAUCACUUAACCCAACAAGAGAUUAGAGAAAAGUGUACUAAGUAAAAUGUUUACAUGUCAAUAUGUCAUAUACUAUCUAACCGAACCACAUAGAUAGUGGAUGUGACAUAGAAUCUUUACGUCUCCGUGGAAAAUAGUUAAAUUCAUCAACGCAAAAGCCUAACAAGAUCUUCGGCCUUCUGCUUACGAAACAAAGCUCUAUCCACUGAGCUAUAAACGCUAAGUUAGGACUAACUAAACAAUGUUAUUACCAACAGUUUGUAGCUUAAAAGUAGUUCCAAAAAAAAUUAGUCCUAACAUACACCUUCUCUUCAUGUAAAAAGGCAAUUAAGAAAAACAACUUUCACUUGCUAUGCCAUCUAAAGAAGCUAGUGACCUUUCACCAUACCAUCACUCCCGAGUUGUAUCGAAGAUUCUCUGAUGAUGCAAAAACAGAGAAUUAGAAGGAAAAAAUAUUUCAGAACGGUUUGUGUCACUUUCAGGUGCUAUGAAAGCAUAAAAAUCUCUUAAUAGGCCUUGUCCAGUUUAAAAGAUUAUUGGGGCUAAAAUGCUCUCAAGUGGGUCAACUAGUGCCUAAAUGGGCCUUGUGGCAUUUUCAAAUAUUCCGACAGCUGACCGACAUACUCUAAGGUAUUGGUCGGAGGAAAAAUGCAUCGGCGAUGAAUUGAAAUUGUCACGGGGGAGUGAUCGCCUUCUCUAGAAUUUCAAGCUUAUUUGGUACAAGCGACAGUUCAUCGGUUGCACACAAAAAAAAGACAGUUCAUCGAACCCUAUUUUAAUAUUCAAUCUAGGCUUCUCUGCAUCACGAGUAACUUCUUAACAUGGCCAUUUCAUAUUGAGUCAUUGACAAUGGAAAUGAGGCCACCGUUUUUUUUUUUUGUAUUUGGUUGUUACUCUUGUGCAUAUGAAUGAAAUAAUGACAAUGUUACAGUUUUACAAAAAUAGAAAAGGGUAAACUGUUUUUAUGAUGAAAACGUAGUUUAUUAUUAUUAUUCUCAGAAAAAGUAACAAAUGAUUCAUUGUUCAUUUUGAGCAUUUCAAAGGAAAAUGAAGCUUUUAGUUGUUAAUUUCUCAGUUGGCGAUACUUAACUCAAAUCGAAAUAUUUAUAUAUAGACCUUUAAAUCUAGUAGUUUGGAGUUUAUUGCGUUACUAUAUAUACAAAGUAAAAGUAAUGACGUGACAAAAAAAAACAUGUAACUUGUUUUCUGUUGGAAGCUUUCUCUUCUUUCUUUCUUUCUCGUCAUUAUCAAAAGACGUUAUGUUGUGAUGAGGUUAUGACAAAUUUCAUAUUUGUGCUUAGGUUCGACGAACGGCCUCACACAUGUACAAACUUCAUAUUAUCUCCUCCUCGCAAUUGGUUUAUAUUUGAUUCUUGUAGCAAAGCCGUGAAAUAGCGACAUAUUAAAUUUACUCAUAUUGCAUGAUAUAACUAGGCAGUUACAUCACUUGUAUUCACAUUCAUCAUGCUCCUUCACUACCUAUCCGUUUCAUUAAAUUAUCACAAAAUACUUCAACAUGUUGUAUAUAAAAGUUAUUUAUUUUUUAUAAAUUACAUUACACUUUAAGCUUAUUAUUUGGCUAGUUAAUGUGGUGUCUCGACCAAAAGCAAGAAAAGGUUUAUUCUUGAUUUAUAUUACCUUUUUAUGAUGAUUUAACAGAGGAAAACUAAAAGUUAAGAUAUCCGAAAGACAAUGAUCUUCUAAAGCAAACUUACUAAGAGCAGCAUUAACCCUUCACGGGUUCUUAGUCGAAUUUUUUUUUUAAAUUUUUUUUUUUUUAAUUUUUUUUUCUAAAAAAAAAAUUAACUAAUUGUGGGCCACCACGUGUCAGUGGGGCCCGCAAACAGUGCUAAAACUAAGUAAGAGGCACCUCUUGCAGAAGAGUAUUAAGAGGUGCUUUUUAUCAAAACUGUGGGACCCACCUCUUAAGAACCAAGCUAAGAGGUGGGGUUAAUGCUGCUCUAAUGAUCAAUAAAAAAAAGCUUAUUAGAAGGAGAAUGUAGUAUUGAAAAGUGCCAACAUCGCCUUUUUGUUUUGGGAGUAACCAACAUCACCUUUUAAGUGACCGGAACCUAUAAACAUUAAUUCUUGCAGAUGUGUGUGUGUAUUCGUACAGAUAAAUGAUAUAGUUAUCUAUCAAAAUAAUUGGAAUAACAAAAUUACUCUUGUGAUUUUAAAAAACAUAGCUUUGUCUCUAUAACGUUUAUGAGUGAGCUUAUAAAUACAAUUAUAGUCAUGACUAAAUUCUAACUUUUGUUAGUUAAACUAAAUCGUAAUAAAAUUAUUUAUAAGAAUAAUUUUUUAGACAUUUAUAUUUCGUUUAUUUGUAGUGAUUUUGACAGAAUUUAAAACAUAUACAUUAUAUGUGUUCAUGCGUACAUAUAUAAAAACCUCAUGUGUAGAGAGACUGCAAAAGAAGGCUAAGGCCUGCUCUCUGUGUUCACGUAGACUCGACAUAGUUCAGUGACUUCUAAGAUGCUAUAUGCUUGUAUGUACAUUAAUUAGACCACACUUCACUGACAAAGUUUUCAUGUAACAUCAGUCUAUAUUUUCUACUUACAGCACAACUAUCGAUGUUGUAACGAAUAUUACACUGUCUGGAAUUAUUGAGAUUUCAUUAUUCACUAGGGCACAGUUCAAUUGAUGUGGAUGGCAAAUUUCAAUUUUGGGUAUAAUUAGGCUCAGUUAAACUUAUUAAAUCAAGUAAAAUGAAUUGAUUGGUAUUAUAACUAAUCUCAAGGAGACAUAAUCUGUUUACUGAGAAUCACAUUUGAAGAUUUAUUUUUAAUUAGUAUUCCGUCCAUUCCUAAAUACAAGAUGUCUUAGAUAAAACACAUUUAUUAAAAAACUUGUUUUUAUCUAAAAAAUAUAAUUGAAAUUUAAAAUUUAAAAUUACUCAACCAAUUAUAAAAUAGAAUUAUUAAAUUUGGUUGGUUCCACAAUAUUUGAUAAAGUUCAAGGUACUUAAAAAUAUGAGAAUAUCUUAUAUAUUAGAACAUAAAGAUUAUUCUAAACAUCUUAUAUUUCAAAACAAAGGUGAACCAAUUAGUUUUUUUUUUUUCUGAAACACCAACCAGGCAACCACCAAUUAGUUAGUUGAGAAUUUCACCACUAAGCUCAAGUCCAAGAGCCUUUCAAUAAUUAAGCUUUAAGCACAGUAAAUCCUGUUUUGAAUUCGCCCAAUAUUAAAAAAAAACAAACUAAUGAAAAAGUUAGAGAAUCUAAUACAGUAUAUAUCUAUCAAUUCUUGAAUUUUGGUUUUUGUUUACAAAUUGAAACUUAUAAUACAACAAUAGUAACCCAAACAACAACAACAAAAGCUUACUACAAAGAACACCCAAAUAAAACAAAACUACAAACAUAAAUAUUUUUGGAAGUGACAUCACAAACACACAUAGUUUUAAAUCUUGAUCAUAUAAAUAUAGUUUAUCUUAAACUUACCAAGAAUCAUGGCAAAGCAUUAAUUAUAAUGAUUAAGAUCAGUCCAAGCUUGAAGUCCAUUGUUCCAUUGAUCGCUUCCUCCUGUGUUAUUAUUUUCAUUGUUAUUAAUCACCCUUUCGUUGUCGUUAUUAUUACCAAAGUACCACUCUGUCUGAUUCUCUCCUUUCUUAGUUGUCGGCGACGGCGAUGAGUUAACGAUCUCGAGAUUCCGGUAAAGAAGCGGCUGUGGCCUCUCCACAACAACAGUCUCUUCUUUAGAGUUGCCAAAAAACAUAGCCAUCCUCUGUUGCUGAAGCCUCCAGUGUAAAUCUUGGUUUAAACAACUCAAAGUUUCUAUCGACGUAGCUAAGUUUCCAUCGGUUGUGAAAGUCGCCGGUGAAUGGUUGUUGUUGUUGCUGUUGUAAUCUCCGAAACCCAUUAGGGUUAAACCUGAUCCGACAUCAACAGGUGUUGUUUCGACCUGCUCCAUGGUCGUCCUAAGGCCAAGAACUUCUUGAUUAUUCAUAAGUUGAAGAUCGUUUAUUUUGUUGAGAGAUAAUCCAGCGAGCUGAAAAUCCAUUGCUGUUGGAGGAGUGAAGAAUUUAGAUGCUUCUUCCAUGGUUGAAGAGAAAAAUCUCUGAGAUGAAGAAGAAGAAGGAGCUAUAAUGUUAGGUUUUAUUGAUUUUUUGGUUUUCCGACAACCGCCACCGAUGGGGACGUUUCUUAAGGAACCGCCACGUGUCCAGUAACGGCGGCAAGAUUUGCAGAAGUGACGAGGCUGAGAGAGGCUGUAGUUGUUGUAGUAACAAAACUUUGUGUUUGAGGAGUUGCAACGAGGGCAUUUUAGGGUUUGUUGGUCUUGAGAAGCGGUGGAAGACGGUGGUUUUUUGGUAUGGGACGCACCGGUGAUACGGUGAUCCGGUUUAGGAGAGUGGAGAUUGGUAUGGGAGGACAUGAUAAUGAUGGGACGAGAGAAAUAAAGGAACAAGAAAAGUAUGAUGAGAGCGAGAGAGAUUGAGGAACAGUUGGUAAAAAGGGUUUCGUCUGGUGUGAAUUUAUAUAUAAAAUGAUUCUGCAUGUAUGUGAGCUUGUGUAUGUUUUAGAAACGUUUGUUUGGCUUAAUUAUUUAUAGAUAUUGAGUAAACAAAAAGUGGCUUUGUCUUCAAAAAGUUGGAGACGUAAAUAGUUAUUUUGUUUAUGAGACUUAAAUCACUUUAGUUUUCUUUUCUUGUCGAGUUAAUUAUUUGAAUGUUUUUGCUUUUGUAGCAAAAAAAAUUGUCUUUGUAUUUAUUAAUAUUAAAAGAGUGUGUUUAUCAAAAUGAAACUUUAAUAUCCAGAGUUUUAUCAUUCAUUUUAAGAUAUUAAAUGCAAAAAAGAAAAAUCUUAACGAAUUACAAAAAGCGAAUGGUACAAAUUAAUAUGAGCAUAUAGAUUUGUUAACAUGUAUAUAAAAUUCAAUAUUUAUGUAUUAACAACUAAAACUAGAAUUACGAUGUUGCAUGUAGAACAUGUUAUAAUUCUCUUGCAUAAUAAUUACCUCGACAAUACUCAAUCUUUUCGCUAAAAAGUAGAUUUCGAACAUGUUUAAACAUUUUUUUUUACUUUGUGGACUAUGUAUUUAAACAUGUUAUAUAUACUAUGUUGGUAAUACUCUUGUGUAAUCUUAAACCGCCAUUGUAGUAGACUUGUAUACUCAUAAACCGCCAUUUUGUCAAAAAUGUACAUUUUAUUACAUUCGAUAUAUGAAUUUCUUUGCAGGUAUAGUCUUUGUAUACGUAGAGAGAUGAGUGAGGGAUAAUAGAGACAAAAGGAGAAGAUGAGAGAGAGGCAUGAAGUGGCAGAAAAGACAGAAGAACAUAUAUAACUGUGCAAUUGAUCGGAACAAAUCGGAUAGAAUUUGUUAUCUGUCGUGUUAUGUUGUUGCGGUAACGUUUUUUCAAUGUGUGAAGUGUGCACUGCACCGGUCUUUAUACGUAAACUAUAUAUUUUAUACAUAUAUUCAUUUGUGUUACAAAAAAAAAAAAUACAUAUAUUCAUGCAGCCAGUUAUACUUAUUAUAGUUGUCAGCAGUAUGCAACUCUACUAAGGAAACCAUAACUAUUUGAACAAUUUAUUUAUAUAUCCUUUAAGUUAUUGUUGCCAAGAAACUGAGAAUACAUAUACUAACUUGUCGAUUUCAAAUUUAUAUAGUAGACAUAAAUUUGAUUCGUAUGAGUUCACGUUUAAACAUUUAAGCACGUUUUUAAAAGUUUAACGAGUAGGGUUUGUUACAUUAGUUAACUUUCUCUCACAUCUUUGUAAAGUUUUCCUAAUAUAAUUUUGACCAUUAACUCCAAAAACUUCUCUUGACACCUUUUAUCACCCCCUUUUUUAUUUUUAUUUUGUAACGGUAAUAUAUAAUAUGAUUAAAUUAUCAACUAAAACUUGCAAUAUUUGACGUUUGUGAAGUGAAAUUGCAUCAUAAUCAGAUUCCAUAGGGUUUUAGUAUACGUAUUAAUUCCAAUUACACAGUUAGUGAGGCCAUGUUCUCAAUAAUAUGCAUAUAUCAAUAAAUAAUACAUCCAAAAAUAGAAAAAGAGAAGAUUGUGUUUCGAUGAUUGAUCAAGCGUCUCCAUCUGUGAAGAAACACGAGAGAACGGAGAAGAAGAAAUAGGAAACAUGUGAGAGCUUCAAGAAUGGAUCUCUCGUGAAACUGAACCGAUCAUCCUCUCUGAUACAUACAGCUUACACCCACUUUUGUUUUGAACUGAUAAUAAAUCCAAAACCAUACCGCAAUUGCAAAUGAGAUUCAUACACGCCCGGUUUAACUUUUAAACUAUUCUUCAUAUGUAUCUCCAUUAGCCUUUUUUCAUAAUAUCAAAUUACUAUUGAAACUUGAAGAAUAUUUACAAAAAAAAAAAAAAAUUACUACUGAAAUUAAUCUACAAGGAGCAAAAUAAGUAGAUAUUUGCAUCGGUGAUAUUAUUAGAUGUUCUAACCCCAACAAUUUAUACUACUCCGAUCCAUAUAAAUCCAAACCUGAUAUACUUGGCCAAAAGCACAUUUGUAUCACAAAAUAAAAUAAAAUAUAUGUUUGUUCUUUUAUUUAUUUUGUAUCAGAGGUUUGGGUCUUUGGCCUAUAUUGAUACAAAACAAGUUCUUAACAAACUAAUAUUCUCCCCAAAAAGAAACUUUGUACCUUUUUAACAUCUGGUUUUCCUUUAUUUGAUAUCAAUAAAUAUUGUGAGAGAUAUAUAUAAAAAUAUAUUAAAUUAGUGUAAAGACGCAGUUUCAACAAGGAUUGGUCAAAUGCAGUUCAAAUGUUAUAUCGUUAUCAAACGUUGUAGAAGCAUAUACCACCUGAUAUACCCGGUCUGUUCCCAUUUAUUCCAGCCGUAAUCUGAUCCUCCUUUUCAUUGAUUGUUUUACAUUUAUUUAUAUGAGUUCGGUCCGAGUUUAAUGCUCUACUGGGAUCUUGAAACAGGAAAAGAAAAACAAGAAUUAAUAUUGAAAAUUGUGAAGCUAAUCACGAGAAACGUACGGAACGAGAGAAGGGCUGAUUCGUGGAGGCCCAUUAGUUUUAAACCAACCAUUGUGCUUACAAGCUUGAACGUACCUGUAUUGUCGGAUUUUUAGAUUAUUUCGUCUAACAAAUAAUUACGAUGUGUAUGGGAACUUAUGGACUUGUAGCCCAUUAUUAAAAAAGGACAAAAUGCACUAUGGCUAAAAAACGCUAGAAGGAGGAUUCGAACCUCCGACCUUGUGGUUAACAGCCACACGCUCUAACCAACUGAGCUAUUCCAGCUUUUGUUUAAGCAAUUAAGAACGUAUUAACAUAAUUCGUCUUUUUCUAACAAACUAUUAAAACAUAAAUUUUAAAGUACGAGAUACAUUUAAAUCUACCAUCCAUCCCCAUUGGAGAUGCUCUAAGUUCGUGAAUAAUUUUGUAAGCAGAUAACUCAUUUCUCUGUCUAGAGAGAGACUACACAUUUAAAAAUAAUCAAAUGGGAAUUACCCAUUUAGUAUACAAGAGCAAACAAAAAUAAUAUUAACAAUUCUAAUCACAUUGACUUUAGUAAUGUGAAAGCUGGCACUAGAGAUGUAAGAAGAUACGAACUAAUUGUUAACUUGAUUUGCAGCGUACAAUGAUUCAAUGAAUAGUUUUGGACAUGUGAAUAAAAGAUGAGAUGUGACUUUGAUUAUGAUUACUUCAGAAACUGUGAUGGAAAACAAAAUAAAUUCAUAAUAUAUUCAUAAACAGGCAUAAUUAACUGAAUCUGGCUCGUGUUCUCGUAAAGCUCUCUCCUAUGCUGUAAUAGUUGAGUGACCCUUGUCUUAUUUUUUACCUGUUCGUUCCAUUGUUUUUUAUUUUACAAGUCGUUUCCUAAGGUAAUGUACGACAGAGAUCGUGUCGAAUAAGAUUUAUAUGUCUCAUAAAAUAAAAUAAAAAUUCAGAACUUUUGACUAAUUUGAGUUUUCGAAUAUGCUGUCCUACAUUAUCGCUAAGCAAAUAGCUUCGGUUUUGUUUUAACUGUGGAUUUAAAAGGCUUUAUGAAGAAACCAAAACGUUGAUUUGAAAAAUCGAGCUUCCCUUCUAGCUUAAAUCUACACAUAACCACUUUGGGGAGUUAAUCAGUGAUUAACGAAACGUAAAGAUUAGGUUGAUGGUGUGGACUCUGGAGAGCAUAGACGAUGUCUACAGACUCUACACGGUGUGUAUGCAAUGUGAUAAAUACAUUAUGUCUAUCCAACACGGUAACACCAUACUGUUCAUAAAUCAAAAGAGUUGUAAGUCUAACUUUUCACAGUAUUUGCUGUCGAUAAUUAUUUGAUUUGGAAUGGUUAAACAGUUAGUAUAGGAAAUGAAGCUAAGCAUAUUUGUACUUUUAAAACCGGUAGAAGAAUUUUUCUUUUUUUUUUCAAAAUGAAACUAUUGAUUAUUCUUAUUUCUUACAACUAGAAAAUGCAAUUUAUUUACUGUAUUGUUUAUAGAUCAUGUUAUUUAUUUAUUUAUUUUUUACAGCGAAAAAUUAUUUUACUACUCAAGUUUGAAGUGGUAUGGAUAUCCAGACCAGAAUAGAAUAACCAACAAAAUGAAACUCUCUAUGAAAAAGAAUAGACCAUGUUAUUCAUCAAUAGUAUAUCAUACUCUAUAUAUAUUAUUCAUGUAUAAAAAUACGAACCAUUUGAUUCGUUUUUAUUUUCUCUUAAGUUUUAAUUAUAAAACUGUAGUGAGGAUUAAAACAAUUUUAAAUCAUAAGACUAUACAUUUAAUCGCCUGAAAUUGCUUAUAUAUAACAUUUGCUUGAAUGUUGAUUUUCGCUUAUUAAAUGUCUUUUUCAUAGCUCUACAAAUAUCUUUAAAAUAAUACAAAAUAUAGGCUUCCCAAAUUUGACAAUCAAGCGCAUAUUGUCUGGAGCUGCAAGUAACUCUGAUAUAAAAUCCAACAAUUGUAAGAGUAGGUCUAACAACAAAAAAUCGUUUACUUCAUGAAAAACCUUUAUACAUUUUCAUAUUUCAUUGAAAACUUUUGAGUUUUAUCCAGCAUCUAAAUUUGACUCUAUCGAAUCCGUGUAGAACAUCCUUGUUUUAAAUUUCUAAUAUAUGUUUGCUCAAAAAAAAAAUCCAGCAUCUAAUUAAGUGGUCUGAAUAUUAUAUGCUUUUUUAUAUUUUUGUAUAUCGAUGAUAACUGAAACAUGCAUGCAGCCGCCAAUUUGAUAUUCGCAUAGGUAGCAUUUUCACUAAGUUGUGACUCGAAGAUUUAGAAUAUACGAUACAGGUAUAUGAUCUUUUGCCCCUCUUUUCACGCAAAGUGCAAAAUUUUAUAACUGUACAAAAUUCCGAAACAGUUUAGUUCGCACGAAUAUAUGACAUCAGUAGAGAGGAGGGGAGAUUAAACCGAGGGACCAGAGAUCGUGUGUAUGUGUGAGUCUACGCUAAAAUCUAAAAUUAUGAUGCGACACUAUGUUCUGAUGAAUUUUUAUAUUAUAGAGGGGAUAUGAUAUAUGAUGGGACCAACCAGGAUUUAGGAGUCGUUAAUAAAAUGCCAUAAGAGGUAGCUUGAUUGUAAUUAUGAAUGAAAAUGAUGUGUGUAACAUGAUGACCAUACGCGAGCUCCUACUUUAACGUACACUUUAUAUGGAACGGAGACUAUGACGUUGUCAUUUAACUUCUUGUUAAUCAUACGCAGGCUCGUUACUUUAUCUACUAUAUAUUAAUGAUCAGUAAAUGAAAUUAUGUUAAGCAAAAUUACAAUUACGUGGAAAAUUAAGGUUUAGGUUACGCUCUAAAUAGUUUACAUAGUGUUAGGAUCAACCAGCUCGCAAUACGUUCGAAUGCUUUCAAUCUCACGAUCUUUCUCUCUCUCGAUGAAUCAUAAACAGAACAAUGACACAAGAAGAAGUUAUACGAGUUCAGGCCCUCAAGAUAGAGUAAUAGCCCUACGUCUCGACUGGUAAAUCACCAGUGUUUCACUAUGAAUCAAGAACUCGAAUAAUCCCUCUCUUGCUCACCUUUGAAUGUAGCUCACAAGAGAGAGGGGAUAAUCCACAUACGCCCUUUAUAUAUCAGGGACUAAUCACUCACAUUAAGCUGACUAACACACGUCAUAAACCAUAAGCUAAACUCCUAAUUGAACCGGCCAAACCACCUUUUCCAAUCUUCAGCUUAUUGACAUUCCUUGUCUUGGUUUAAGCUUAACCGGAUUGAUCUUCCAUCACCAAAGCUCUACAAAACCCCACCUUGAUGACAUCAAUCUGAGUAAGCUCCUUAAUGCGGCAAACGUAUGAACUCCCAAGCCUUACGGCUUAUCAUCAGUGACUUGCUACUCCGAGAAAGCUCAACGCCUUCUCAAACUUCUCAACUGGAAGAACCUUUGUCAACAUAUCAGCAGGGUUCUUCUCUGUAGCAAUCUUCAGCACUCUUACAUCACCAAGCGCUAUAAUGUCUCUGAUGAAAUGCAUCUUCCUACUUAUGUGUUUCGUUCUUUCAUGAUGAACAUUGUUCUUCGCUAGGCAGAGGGCACUUUGCGAAUCACACCACACAUCAAUACUCCUCUGUUUAUAGCCAAACUCUUCAGUUAAUCCUUUAAGCCAGACGCCUUCUUUUACAGCUUCCACCAUAGCCAUAUAUUCCGCUUCAGUCGUGGAUAGAGCCACCACAUAUUGUAACCCUGAUCGCCAACUGAUAGCACUUCCUCCUGCCGUAAACACAUAACCUGAAAUUGACCUUCUCCUACCAAGAUCAGAUGAGAAGUCUGAGUCGCAGAAACCUUCGACUUUGAACUCCUUUUGCUUUCUGAACACUAGCUUCAGACUCUCUGUCUUCUUCAAGUACCUCAGUACCCAUUUCACUGCUAACCAAUGCUCAGAACUUGGAUUGCUCAUAAACCGACUGAUCAAUCCUACUGCAUAGGCAACAUCACAUCUAGUUCCCAGCAUUGCAUACAUCACACUCCUUAUAGCAUUAGAGUAUGGAACAUCGUCACCGACUGGUUCUUGUCCAUCAUCAUCCUUAAUCGCAGAUAAUCUGAACUGAGCUCCAAUAGGUGUAGUAACCAACUUUGCUUCAUCCAUGUUGAAAGCUUGAAGUACCUUCUUGAUGUAUCCAGACUGAGAUAGAGUAAGUACCCCACCUUCUCGGUUUCUUACUAUAUCCAUACCCAGUAUCCUCCUUGCUGGACCGAGAUCUUUCAUCUCAAACCUACUUGCCAACAGCUUCUUAACUGAAGAAACUUCUUCUUUAUCCUUUGAUGCUAGUAGCAUGUCAUCCACGUAAAGAAGCAAGUAGAUUCUAACUCCUUUCUUAGACUCUUUUAUGUAGACGCAAUGAUCAAACUCACUCCUCCUAAACCCUUGGUCAACAACGAACUGAUCGAAGCACUUGUUCCACUGUCUAGGUGCUUGCUUAAGUCCGUAUAAAGCCUUUUCAAGUUUGCAUACAAGGCUUUCUUUUCUUUUAACAACAUACCCCUCUGGUUGUUCCAUGAAGAUCUCCUCUUCAAUAACUCCAUGACGAAAUGCAGUCUUGACGUCAAGCUGCUCUAACUCUAGAUCUUCAUUCACCGUAAUUGCAAGGAGUAAUCUUAUCGAGACAUGUUUAACUACAGGUGAGAAUACUUCUUGAUAGUCUAUUCCCUCCUUCUGUGAGUAACCUUUUGCAACAAGUCUUGACUUGUGGCGAGGCUUCUCUACUCCUGGUAUUCCUGGUUUCUUCCUAUACACCCAUUUACAGCAAAUCACUUUCCUGUCUUUAGGUCUUUCAACUAACUUCCAUGUUUUAUUUGCCUCAAGAGAACUCAUUUCCUCAUCCAUUCCUUCGUUCCAGAGCUCCUUAUCUCUGCUUCUUAUUGCUUCUUGAUAAUCCCUUGGCUCAUCUUGACUAACUUCAAUAGCCGCAAUCAAAGCAAAUGCAGCUAAGUCAUAAUCACCAUACCUAGCUGGAGGUAUUAUCUCUCUUCUUGGUCUGUCUCUGGCUAUGUUAUAGUCUCCAUGAGUGUCUGUAGUCGUUCCACUACUAUCACCUUCCUCACUGUCAGACUCCACCUCUUGAUCUUCUGGAGAUACAAUCAACUUUGAAACUUCUCCUUUAUCUCCAGCUUCCGUGUCCACUAAUACAGAGCUUCUAGUUCCCAUAGCUUUAGGAAACUCUUUUUCACUAGACAGCUUUACUUCAUCCUUGUAAACUUUGUCUUCCACAAAGAUUACGUUUCUACUAAUCACACAUUUCUUUUCUUCUAGAAGCCACACUUUAUAUCCUUUAACUCCAACAGGAUAGCUCAGAAAAACUCCUUUUACUGAUCUUGGCUUCAACUUCCCUUGAUCCGUGUGUACAUACGCUAAUGAACCAAAACUCCUCAUGUGCUUGUAGCCUGGCUUCUUCCCUAGCCAAAGCUCCUCUGGAAUAUUGUAAUCAAUUGCUGAUGAAGGGCUUCUGUUGAUUUGAUAGACAGCUAUAGAGACUGCUUCGGCCCAGAAUUCUUCUUCAAGUCCAGACUCAUUCAACAGGCAUCUCACUUUUUCCAUUAUGGUUCGGUUCAUGCGUUCUGCAACGCCGUUUUGUUGUGGCGUGUAGGCGCAUGUCCGAUGCCUUUCAAUACCUUGUCCUCUGCAGAAGCUAUCAAAAUCUUUGUUACAGAACUCAAGCCCGUUGUCUGUCCUUAGGCACUUCACUUUCUUGUUCACUUGAUUUUCUACGAGCUUCUUCCACUCACAGAAACUCACAAACGCAUCGCUCUUUGCUGCUAGAAAAUAAACCCAAGUCUUCCGUGUAUAGUCGUCUAUGAUGGAGAGAAAAUACUGCUUCUUUGAUAUGCUUGGCGUGACAUUUUGUGAGCCCCAGAGAUCGGCAUGUAUAUACUUGAGAGCCUCUCCAGUGUUGUGUUUCCCAAUCUGAAAGCUUAACUUCUUGUGCUUCCCCAUUACACAAUUCUCACAGAAGCUCAUCUCACUGAUCUUCCUUUUGUCUAAAAUUCCUUUCCUUGCGAGAAUUUGCAGAUUCUUCAGGCUCAUGUGACCCAAACGUCUGUGCCACAGGUCAGUUUCAUCACUUGACUUCUUAACCUGCACAUUAUUACUCUCCCCUGCAACAACAGUUUCACCAUCCAACAAAUACAACGAUCCAGAAAGCGUUCCUUGUAACGCUAAUUUCCCAUCUUUAUAGAAUCUUGUUUUUCCUUUACCACCAGCAUGAUCAAAACCUAACCUAUCUAAAGUUCCAGUCGAGAGUAGAUUCCUUUUGAGUUUAGGAACGUACCUGACAUUGUUCAAGACUUUCACUGUUCCUCCAUAGGCUUUGAUCUUUACUGAUCCAACUCCUUGCACAUCCACUGUGGAAUCAUCUCCUAGCGCAACUCGUCCUGAGGUUACUUCUUCAAACGUAUCAAACCAGUCUCGUCUUGAGGUCAUAUGAUACGAGCACCCCGAGUCAAUAACCCAUUUCUCUUGGUGCCAUGAGUCAGAAACCGUCAACGCAUCAAUAACCACAGCUGCUUCCGCAUUUUCUUCUCCUUCCAGUUUCUUCUUACGUGCAUAACAGUCAGCCUUCUUGUGACCUUCUUUCUUGCAAUACCAACACGUAAUCCUUGAUCCAGAACCGGAUCUUGAUCUGCCUUUCCACUUCUUGUUGCCAGAUUCUCUUUUCUCAGGUCUUCCUCUUGCCACAAGAGCAUCUCCACUCUUUGCUGAUGCAUUGAGUUCUUGCUUCUCUCCCAACUCUAGCUCUUUUGACUUUGCAGCAUUCAUGACACUCUCAAUAGUAAGAGUGUCUCUCCCAUACUUCAAUGUCUCCUUGAGAGAGUUAUACUGCGCCGGCAACGAGUUUAGCAACAAGAUUGCUUGAACUUCCUCCGUGACCUCUACACUCAAGCUACUCAAUCCAGAUACAAGCUUUAAGAAAUCGUCAAUGUUCUGAUCCACAGACUUUGAUUCCACCAUCUUAAACGUAUAGAACUUGUGUUGCAAAUGGAUUCGAUUCGGAAGAGUCUUUUGAUUGUAUAACCUUUCAAGAGCAGUCCAUAUCGCAGCGGCGGUUGUACAAUCAUCGAGCUUCCGUAGAACAUGAUCUCCGAGAUUCAAGAUCAGCAUGUUCAUAGCCUUCUCAGCUCGCUCAAGCCGUUUGACUUCAUCUUCCUUUAGUCUUUCUUGAUAGACAUCUGGAUCUUCUUCUUUCUUCAUCGGUUUGGGAUCUGGAAUCGAUUCUUCGAGCGAAUCCUUCAAUCCCAAGAUCGACAGGUGAGCUAACAUUCGUUUCUUCCACAUUGAGAAGUCGCCUUGUCCGUCAAAGAUCGCAACCUUGACCUUCGCCAUCGAAUCGCCCAUCGAGCUUCAACGCGGCUCUGAUACCACUUUGUUAGGAUCAACCAGCUCGCAAUACGUUCGAAUGCUCUCAAUCUCACGAUCUUUCUCUCUCUCGAUGAAUCAUAAACAGAACAAUGACACAAGAAGAAGUUAUACGAGUUCAGGCCCUCAAGAUAGAGUAAUAGCCCUACGUCUCGACUGGUAAAUCACCAGUGUUUCACUAUGAAUCAAGAACUCGAAUAAUCCCUCUCUUGCUCACCUUUGAAUGUAGCUCACAAGAGAGAGGGGAUAAUCCACAUACGCCCUUUAUAUAUCAGGGACUAAUCACUCACAUUAAGCUGACUAACACACGUCAUAAACCAUAAGCUAAACUCCUAAUUGAACCGGCCAAACCACCUUUUCCAAUCUUCAGCUUAUUGACAUUCAUUGUCUUGGUUUAAGCUUAACCGGAUUGAUCUUCCAUCACCAAAGCUCUACACAUAGUAGUUCGGAAACGUCGAUCCGAAUAUUUUAUAUUAGUUGGAAGGCAUUCAAUAUUUGGAUUAAGAUUAGACAAUAUAACAAUCAAUCCAUUCUGCACCAUUAAAUAUAUUUUUUAUAAGUGACUGGACCAGUCAAUAGAGCAAAUGUUUUUUUUUUUAAUAAGUAAACGGUGUUAGAAUUGAUAUGAAACUCGGUUGGUCGUUUUAUCGUAUAUAUGUAUAAGUUUUCAAUAAUAUAUCCCUUACUUUUACGUAGAAAAAGUGUUAAAGAUUAUAUCAUCGCUUAUGUCUACGCUAAUAAUAACAACAUAAACUAUAAUUUUUUACUAUACCUGCAAUUUUUUUAAAGAAGUAUACUGCAAUUAAAUAUCUACUGGCCAUGUUUCAGGUUUUAACCAUAUGUACGAUUUCAUUAUCUUUUUUUUUACCACAUUUCAUUAUCUAAACAGGGAUUUUCAGUUUCCCUAAACUUAUUUUUAUAACACUCAAUAUAUGUUUGGCUAGUACUUUUAACAAAAUUUAUGAAAGGUAUUGUCUUUUAUGUCCUUUGAUAAAAGCAUUAUUGAUUUCUUUUCGUUCCUCAUAUAUGUUGUAUACUUGUAUUAGUCAGUCGUUUAACCUAAAUAUUUUCUUUGUUAAAAUGUUUAAUCUAAAUCUAAUAUUUUAUAUUGUAAAAUCAAGAAUUAAAAUGUGUAUACAGGACGAGCUGGCUCAAGAAAUUCCUAGUUUGAAUAUACUUAACAAUCUGGAGAGAGAAUUUAGCAACCGGCUUUUAUCUCUGACUCUGAAAUAAUUAAUCAGACCAUAAGGUCUGGAUUAUCUUCUGAUCUUUAAAACAAAUUAAAAUGUAAUUUAGGAGCCACAAACGGCCCCCAAAGGAAGAAUUAUGUGUCUUUCUUUGUUUACAAAAAAAAUAGUGAACAAUGCAAAAGAGAAAGCGGUUUUGAUAAGAGAAUGUGGCUAAACUAUGGGCUGUCCACCGAAUUCAUGCAAUGCAAACAAAAUCUCCCUACGUACGUUUUUUUUUAAAUACUAUUUUUGCAAAAACAUUAGAUUCUCAAUCAAGUAAACUAUAUAUUUUAUCUACAGAUUCUCAACUCCAGCCAAGAAAAAUAAUUAAACAUUUUCGUGUUAGAUUAAAUAUUUAAUAGCUGCUCUGUUCUUCUUCCAUACGACCAUACCUCUUAAAUAAUUAGUUUUGGAAUAAACACGGAAAAUUCCUACAAUCAUUUAACGGUUCUUUUCGGUAUGUCGAUAUUCAUUAUCAUAUAAAGAAAAACAGUUAUUUUUAUUAAUUUGGGGGUAUGUUAAUCCACAAAAGUAGGUACAGUACACUGAUAGAUCCUAUUUUCGAAUAUGCAAAUAUACCGUAAGUAAAAUCACAUAUCCGUGUAGAUAUCCAGAACAAUAUGACUUAGUUUCAUACAACAGGUGGAUCGAACGUAAAACGUGUUGGCAUUCCAAAUCCCUUUCUUUAUCAAAUGACCACAAACCCCAAACAAAUAGUUGUUCAUUUUUUUUAUUAACCUGAGAAAAUAAUAUAUUGUGCAGUACCUUCGUUAAUAUUUUAAUAUAAUACUAAAUUUUGAUCUGUUUUCUAGAAUUAUUUUUGGCUGAAAUAUUUUUUAUGAUGAAAAUUGGAUAUACAUUUUUUAUGUAAUCUAUAUUUAAGUUUGUAGGUAUGAUUUAUUUUAGUUAUUUCUCUUAGGUGAACUAAUCAAAUCAAAAAUUAUGAUGGUACAUUUAUUUAACCUGUUUAUUUAACAUGUUUUGAAUUGAUUUUAUUUUUAAUAUUUUUUUAAAAAAUAAGAUAAUCAACUUUUUAACCAUUUUUUAUUAAUUAAUUUUAGUGUUUCAUAAUACAAAUAUGUUAAUAUGUUUGUUCAACCCUUUAUACUUUUUUUUUGGAACAUUUCAACCCGUUAUAUUUGAUACAUAUUAAUAUUGAAAUCAUGUUCAUUAUGCCAUCAUAUGUUUGUUCGAUGCAAAAAUUUCUAUGAAAUGGCUUUGGUUACUAUUGACAUCUUCUAGACCAUACAUGCAUUUACUAUCUAUACUAAUACUUAUACAUAAAAUAUGAAUUGUUCUAGAAAAUGAUAAAUAUAUGUGAUUGACUACGGAUGUAGACCUCCUAAAAAAAUCUUGAGACUAACAAUGAGGAAAUAUUUAUAAAUAAUUAGUCUAUAAUCGAUGAGGAUAUCUCUAUGAAAAUGUUAACAAAAUCAUGGGUAGACUAAAUUGAUUAACCAUCGCUAAAAAAAUGACAAAAUUGGUUAAUUAACCAUUUAUAUAGGAUAGUUGCACACGAUUUUGUUAGUCUUAAAUUGCACUUUCACUUUACCCUUUAUGAGUAACUAAUUUUUAGGCAAAUUCAUGAUGGCACAAAAUAUAAUAUCCAAAAAAAAAGACAAAGUUGCACACGAUUUUGUUGAUCUUAAAUUGCACUCUCACUUUAUCCUUAAUGAGAAACUAAUUUUUAGGCCACAAAAUAUAAUAUCUCAAAGAAAGCCAAGAGAAAAUCUAAAAAAUGAUAAUGUUUUAAUUGUAUUGACUAGAUUAUGAACUGAGUAUAUAAAACGCGAGAAUAUUUUUUUAACAAAAUGUAUAAAAAUCAGUAUGUUUUCACAUUUUUUAUUUUAUUAUAUUUUAAUACUAUAUAAUUAUAUUAUUUUGUAUUCAUAUUAAAUAUGAAACUGUAUUAUAUAUUACUGAAUUUUGUUUUUCAAUUAUUUCAACCCCGUUUCAUUAUUAGUUUUUAAUAAAAUAUCUGUAAUUUUUUUUUAAAAUUGUGUGAUAGAUAUUUUGAUAUAUAUAAAUAAAUAUUCUAUUAAUUUAAUUUAUUUCAUAUCAAAUAAAAUUAUUUUGUAGUAUCUAAACCUAUUUAACAUAGUUGUACUUGUUUUUAAUAUUUUCAUAAAUUAUUUGAGUGUUUUAGUCAAUUAUUUGAUUUAACAAAUAAUUUAAAAAAAUAUUAAUAAAAAUUUAUUAAAAAUGUAAGACGUAACGUUUUAUAUUGUCUGGAUACAAAAUCAAUUAUUGUGUUAGAAAAAUAUUUAGUAGCAUAAUAUAAAUUAUCCUUAAUAACAAUCUAAUGUUUUUAUUAAUUAAUAGUGACAUUCAAUUUAAUAUAGUGUAUAACUAAAAGUUAAAUCCAAAUAAAUGUUUUUAUUUUAAUAAGAGAGAUUUUAGAGGGAAAAAAGGAAGAAAAUAGUAUGCUUUCUUGUGAAAGUCAAAAUAGCUAUUCCCCGAAAUUAAAAUAAACUGUGUUCAAGGAAACCAAAAUAAACAAACAUUGUGCGCGUCUGCAUCGCAUCCCUCCGAUUUAAGCUCUUAACUAGAUUUUGACCCGCGCUUAAAAGCGCGGAUUAUUUUUUGGUUGAUAAAAAUAUUUGAUAGGAAUUAGUAUUUUUUUUUUACAUUAUUAUGUUACAAAGUCAUAUUUUAUCAAAAGAUAAUUUUUUAAUUUGGUUAUUUAAUGUAAUUAUAUUUUCAAUUGCUUUUAUUAAUUAUUUUUUAAAAUUUUAUAUGGUGUGAUCAAACUCAGCAUGCCUAUUUUUUAAAUUAGAUAAGAAAAAAAUUUAUAUCAAGUUCAGACCAACGGUCAAACCGGUAAACAAUAACUUGUACAUAAGUUGGUUGGGAUUUAAGGAAAACUCGUUAAUUUAAAGCAUGCAAACUUUAAAAAACUCGCAAUCAAGUGUGAUCUGCGCUUAUAAACAAAAAUCUCGUUAAUUUAAACCGGUAAACCAAUUUUUGAAUUGUAUACAGUGAAAUUAACAAUAAACUCAAUAAUAGUUUUAUUUAAAUUCUAUCAUCAAUUUUCAUUGAACAUAAUUGGUUUUACAUGAUAUUAAUUUGUAGCUGGUAAAAAGUUGAUGAACACAAAUUUAUUGAUGAAAUACUUGUAUGCAUGUAUGGUAAUAGUGUAGUUUGAAGGCAUUUAAUUUUGACUUCUAAAUUUAAAAAAAAAAUUGUAUGGAGUAAUUGAUAUCCAAAUAUAUGUAAAGAUAAUAAAUGAUGAAAUGCAUUUAUAUAAGAACUAAUCGUUGGAGGGCUUAGCAAAUAAUAAAAUAUAUGUAAAGAUAAUAAAUGAUGAAAUGCAUAUAUAUAGGAACUAAUUGUUGGAAGGCUUAGCAAAUAAUAAGGGAACCUAAUAACAAAUUUUGUAUAUAUAUAUGUUUAAGUUUCUAAUGAAUAGGUUCAACAAACUUUUGUAAGUAGAUUUUUUAUGAUUUCUUUCCUUUUAAUAGUAUUGAUGACACACUAUAUAUUAUUAAAAUAAUUGUUAUUCAUAAACUUUUUUUUUGUCCAAAAAACAAAAUUCAUAAGUUGUAAAAUUACUAACAGUUACUUUUUGUCAGUAACAAUUUUUUUGUCAGUAACAAUAACAACUACUAUUAUACAAGAGCAUUUUGUUUAGUUUCUUCGCAUUUUGUUAUUUUUGGCGCAUACGGAAAAGAUGCGUGGUCGCUUGGCAUUGUUAACUCGAACACGUGUGCGCUUCAAAGAAAGGCUAUGUAUGAAAAUUGCUUGGAGAAUUCACGUGGUCUUGGCCCCUUUUCUUUGUCACACAUUCACCUUGAGGAACAGCCCAUAGUUUAAUAUCUAAAUGUUAUGCCUUUUUAUAAGUAAUUCUAAAUGGUAUGUUAUAUAUCAAAUAAAUUAUAUGUUAUAUAUAUCAAAAGAUAUCUGGUUAUCUUAUAGAACACUAAGUCAUCUAUAAUUUGCUAAUUGUUUUGAUUAAACUGUUGGAACAUUGUCUAUUUAGCAUUAGUUUAUACAUCACCACCAUCGGUUUAUUGUCUAGCCCCUAACAAUAAGCAUUUUCUUACUAACUUUAAAAAUAAUUAUAAUGUUACAAACUAUGAAAACAGAAGGUUGUGGCAUGUUUAAACUACAACUUUUCUUUCUGAUAAUCUAACAUUUUAAAAUAAUGAAGCCAACUACUUGACUUAAGUGAUGAGAUUAGGGCUUAUACAACAAAUAACCAGCACUCGUUAUUAACUGGCAGUAUGUAGAUGUAGUAUUAUAUACUUUAACUAUCGUCUCUAGUUUUAACAUCUAGAAGUUAAUCACGUUUCUCAAAAAAAAUCUAGAAGUAAAUUAUUUCCUUUACGUAGAUGAAUAAAUAUUAAAAAUAAUCAUUAAAAUUUGUCGAACUAUCCCAAUCGUCGAAAUUUCUUAGAUAAGCAAGGGGGUUGACUUAUGAUUAUAGUCCAAAAAUAAGUUAGUGGAAAUGACGAGUAUGUACAUGCAGAAGAUGAAGACGAACUUAUAAUUAAUGUUUUUGACGAGCAUCUUUUUGGUUAGUUGAGUCAUGUGAAGAGGAGGAAGACGAAGAUAAUAGAGGAGUUCAUUAAUUAGGGACAGGGUCACGAUAGAUAACAGUUCACUGAAUGUGCCCCAACAAAUUCUCACGCAUAUCACAGCUUCCGAAUACAAACAAGCCUCGAUCCAUUCCACAGCCUUGUCCGUCUCUUCUUCUUCACAACAUUCAUCGUUUCUGAUAAAUAUAAACACCUAUCCUAUUAUACGUAUUAGAAGUGUAUCAAUAUUAUUAAAAGGGAAGGAGUCUAAAAAAAUCUACCUAUGAAAGUUAUUUGGACUCUUUCAUUUAACUCAUUAUUUUUUGGUCUUACCUUAAAUUUAAACUAACAAUAUGUUACCAUAUAUUUCUCUAACAAUAUUUUAUUCAAUUCUUUUAUUUAUUUAAAUCUCACUCCUAAAUCCUAAUCAUUACUAUAUUUACCAUUUUGAUUUUUAAUCGUAAAAGCAUUGAAACUAAUGUUUUAUAAUAUCACUUUUAUUAUAUAAUAUAUGAUUUAAAGCAAGAUAAAUUGCAAGACAUAUAUGUGUACAUUCUAACUUUCUCUUUCGUUUAUAAUAAAGUAAUCAUAUAAUAUAUAAACUUUCUCACUAAAAUCUCAUAUCAUAUAUUAAACUUUCAACCGUCUAUAGUUUGAUAAUAUUUUCAUAUUUAAAAAUAUUUUUUUCUGAAUAUUCAUGUUACCUUCAAAAAAAUGAAGAAAUUCAUUGAUUCUAUUAAAGCUAACCCGACUUCACGAUAACAGUAUUGAUUAUUCAAAAUUUUAAAAAUUAUUGGUUUAGAUAUUAUACUUUUAUAUACUUUUCACUUAAAACGAAUCAAUACUAUUAAAAGGGAAAGAGUUUUAAAAAAUCUAAUAUAAAAGAAAUUGUUGGAGUUAUGUAUAACUAUUUAUUAUUUUUCUGAUAAUACAUUAAUCAUUCUAAACAUACAAUAUUUUAAAUAUUUUUAAUAGCUCUUAUAUUAUUUCUUAUGAUACCUUUACUCAGAAAAAUAUUUCAUCAACCAUGUUUUUGUACAAUAACGUUAAAAAUCUAUAUCAAAAGGUUGUUGGACCUGAUAUGGACGUAAUAGGUCCACAUCUGUUCGAGUAUUUAGGAUCCUAAAAGAAUUCGAAAUAUCUAAAAAAUCUGAAAAAUAUCCGAAACGCGAAAAGUAUUUGAAACUCCAAACAAAUACCAAAAAAAUUCAAAUACCUAAAAAUUUAAAAUCUUAUUCAAACGAUGAACUGAAAAAUACUCAAAAUUUUAUCCAAAUACGCAAUUUUUUUUUUAAUUUGAAAAAUUUACCUGAAAUCAAAACUCUAAUCGUAAACCAAAAACUUAAAAACAAUAUCCAUAAUACCAGAAACAUAUUCGAAAUGUCCAAAUAUACCUAAUAAACACAUAUUUAUGAUCGGGUCUAGGUAGGAUCCGGACUCAAACAAAGACCUGCGGAUUCAAAAAACCCAAUAGGUUAUCUUCUCUGGACCUGAACCAAACCUAUAAUUUUGGGUCGGUUCGGUUUGUUUUUUUAUCUGGAUAUAAUUCUCAUAUCGAAAAAAACUUACAUAAAAGUGUACAUAUAAAAUCUCAAAUAAACUAAUUUGUAAAUUAUAUAGCUGUUAAAAAUUAUGUUUUUCGAUAUAAUAAGACUUUGUAUAUUAUAAUAUAAUCCAACAACUCCGCGCUUUUCAAGCGCGGGUCAAAAUCUAGUAUAUACUUAUAAGUUACAUUCAUUUGUUUUAUUGUUUAUGUGUGCCAGAACCGGUUCUAGAAAAUAUUAGACCUGCAAUUCAAACUUUGGUUGGAAGCAAAAAAAAGUUAAAACCCUUAAAAUUUUACCACUAGACCAAAAGAAAGUUUUGGAAUUUUAUGGCCGAAAUUGUUCUUAUAAUUAAGUGGCUAAAAGCAGUGGCUUAUUCGGCUUGGUCCAAGGACCGGCUCUAUGUGUGCCUAUAAAUACAUUUUGCAGUAUCUUUAUGUUCUUAGUAAGUUUUUAUCAAGCAACUUGUUUUCAGUAUGUAUUGAUAAUAGACUGACUGUUUUAUGUUGAAACAUAAACAACAUGUUUGUUUGAUACUUAAAAUUCUACUUUUCAUCAAAAAAUAAUAAUUGUUAAUGCAGACGACAUAUUAUGCAGUAUAUAAUAAUAUUUUAAGCACAGAACAUAAUUCUUUUUUUUUUAACACAGCACAGAACAUAAUUCUAAACAUAUAUAAUAUCACAUUAUUACUUACGUUUUAAUUAAUGUGGCAAUCUUCUACAAUAUAUAUAUAUAUAUAUGGCAGCCUAUCAGGCACCAGCAAAUGUAUUUUUAUCACAGGCGUAUACUUUUUGCUUUAUUAUAAAUGAUGUUUAAAGUUUUUUUUAAUACGCAUGUCAAAAAUUUGUUACUUGUACUAUAAUACCCGGUCUUAUUUAAAUUCAAAAUUCAAUUAAAUAUGAAAUGAUAAAAUAAAAAUAAUCACAAAAUAAUUUUGUAUUAAAAUUAUAAAUAUAUUUAAAUAACACAAUAAAUUUUGUCUAAAAUAUCCAAAAUAUGAUAAAGAGGAAAUAAUACUAAACAAAUUGACAAGCAACUGAGCUAACAAUAUCCAAACAGAUAAACUAGCUUGUGUUUUCUCUUUCACAAUUAGAAAUACUUUUCUUUGAUCUAACUAAUUAUAUAUAGAAGAAUUUUUGAACUUAUAAAUUUCAGAAAUUCCAAAACUUUACUCAUAAACUCUUGCGGUAUCUAUAUAUAGUCAACCAUUGAUAGUGUUACAAAAAAAAGUGUUACAAAAAAAAAAGUCAACCACUGAUAAUAUCAUAUUCAAAAUGUAAAUCAUUUUUUCUUAAAUUGAAUUGAAAUAGUGAUCGUCACCAUCUUGAAAACUUUCAAGUAUCACAAGAUCACCAUCCAUAUUUUGGUUAGAGAAUUUUGAAAUACAUUAUAUACAUAUAUAUAUGUAAAAAUACUCACACCUGUACCAUAGAAAUGUGAAUGUAUAUAUAUGGGUUUAUUAUAGAUUGAAAGUGAGUGAACUGAAAGGACGGGAGAGGCCUUAGACAGCUUGUUUGUUUUCGUGAACAUGGAGCUUCGCUUUGCCAUGUGCUCUCUCUUCUUAUAUUCUUUUAUUUAUUCUUAUGUUUUAUACACAACUAGACAUUGAUUCGCGGGUAUUUAUUUUAUGUUUUUAGUUUUUUUUUGUUUAUAUUAAAUGAUGCAUUUGUAAUAUUAAAACAUAAAUUUAUAUUGAAAAUUAAUUUUUGCAGUUAUAAUAAAAAUUAAAAUUAAAAGUUUAAUAAAAUAUUCUGAUAUAAAUUUUAAAUUUCCUAAUUAAAAUAAUAUAGAGGUGGUCAAAUUUUUUUCCAAUUUAAAAAUCUAAGUUUCCUUAAAGACAAAGAAAAUAAAUUUAUAAAUAUAUAAAAUAUAUAAACAUAUUUGGAACUAUAAUUUCUAUUAAAAUAAAUUUGUUAAAGAAAAAUAAUCUUGCUAUUGUUAUUUUUUCUAGAACUUGAUCUGUGACCGUAUAAAUAUAUAUAUAUAUAUAUAUAUAUGUAAAUUAAAAUGUAUUACACAAUUGUUAAUAUAACAUUUUUAAACAUGACAACUUUAUUUAUUACUUUGAAUAAUUAUAUUUUGUGAUUUUAAUCGUCUAUUAUAUCACAAUGUAUAAUAUAAACAAAUCUAAUAUUUAUAACUAAUUGGACUUAUAUUAUGAAAUCAUUAUACUAAUAUAUGAAUAAAAUAUUUUAUAUUUUAUUUAUAUGUUAUAUAAAUUGAUUAUGAUGUGUGAUUUUUUAUUUUUUUAUUUAUUACUUGUAAAUAUUAAAAAUAUUGAAUAUGUUAAUAUGAAAUAUAUUAGGAAAUUUAGUUUGGCUAUGAUUUGAUAAAGAAAAUCUAUUAUUUAAAUUUUAAAAAGACAUUAAAUGCUUAAAUCUAUUAUUUAAAUUAGGAAAAGACAAGCAUUCUUAAAUAUAGGUUCAAUAAAUAUCUCAAUGAUAUUUUAAUGUAAAUAAAUGGUAAAAUUAAAAGGUAUUUCUAUUUUAUAUUUCUCUUUUAAUAAUAUAGAUAAGAAUGACACUGAAGAUGGAGCAUGAAGUGUACAUGCAAACAUAGAAAUUAAUAGAAAAUGAGAAAGCUACAUUCUAGGCAUAUAUGCGUGAUUGUCCACGGAUUUGUUUCGUAUAUAAAAUACCACCCAUAUGCUUAGCAGUCAAGUAGCUAGAUUUGCUUCUAUAAGUGUGUUUCUAAAUUAACCCUUAACUUUCAUAUUUGCUAAACUACAUCCCUAAUAGUGCCCUAGUUAAUAGCAAACCAAAGUUCCAAUUUGUUGGGUGAUUAGUUUAUAAUAAUUGCAGCUUACAGUCCAUCUGAAUUAUGAAAACAUGACUUUAAAAGCGUACAAUUAAAAGAUAAACGUCCAUAUCAAAUGUACGUGAGACAAAUGUGAACAUAUACAAUAAGGCAAUUAUUUCUAUAGCCUAUGUUCCAAUCAUUUAAAAAAGGUUGGGAUUACUAUUGACAAAAGAUACCUUGAUUUAAGGGUCGAAUAGUAACUAAAACCAAAACUGAGGCUAAUUAUCGAAUUUAGGGUAAGAUCGACGCAAUUUAGUUAUUUGCGUAUACACAAGAAUAGACAACUACGUACCCUGUGUGACCAGAUAAUAGUAAUUUCCUCUGAAGACACUAGUUCAACAUUAGUUUGUAAAUAUAAAAAUAUGUCAGACAAAAUAAAUAAACAUAUACAUAAAGAGUAUAAAUAAAGCAAGAGGGAGUCGACAAUGUUGAUGAUCCGUUUUCGUCGAGACAGAAAAUUUGUGGGAUCAAAGCUUUCCUGUAUGGAAAGGGAUUAAUCAAACGUAUACUCUCUCUCCUUUCUUGUUGUUUGUCAUUUACGUAUAACUAAUUAUUAGACUUUAGAUAAUUACAUUUUCAUUUGUUGAUAUAAGUCUGAAUUUGGGUCUUUUUUUCUUCUUCAAAACAACUUAAAUCCUCCUUUUUAUUGAAAGAGAUAUUAAUUUAACAUCAUGUUAUGUAACCACUAUUAUUACAGAAUUUCGUGAUAAACAAAUCUCCAAUUGUAAACCAUAUAACCAACGUACACAACUGAAGUUUACUAAUUCCGCAAUCGUACGUAUGAUACUAUUUAAAUAUAUGGAUAUGCGUGUAUGAAUCAUACAUAAAAGAAAAAUCAAUAUAUAAAACACUUUAUAUGUUGGAUUCUAUAGUGGUAUAGUGGUUCAAAUCAAAAGUGUUAAGAUUUUUAAGGAUCCCUACAAUUUCAGCAAUAAUUAACACCAAAUGUAAUAAGAAACGAUCACAUGUAUGAUGUAUAUAAUGAAUGAAAAAAAACAAAUUAAGAAUGGCGAAAGAUUUCACGUUUUAAUGGGGGAAUAGAUAGUGUAAACCUAUAGAUCUUCCAUCUUCGUUUAGACAUCUUAACGUUGCAUCGUAUUUAUAUAUAUCGACAUAGAACCUCUAGAAAUUAGAAACCGCACAUACUGCAAUAAUAUAAAUCAUCAAAACUAAUCUCUUAUAGAAUUCAACUAUGGCUUCCUCCUAACUUUCUACAAACUAUCGAGUAUCCAUUUAAAAAACAAAGACUUAUGCGUUCUAUUAUAUGAUUUUUGAGUAAAACUCGAUUAACAUUCGCAUCUUUAUUUUUGCAUAGGCACUCGGCAAAAUAAAAAUUACAUCGAUUUAUGUCAAGUCUUGUACCAAUAUAAAUAGCUCAUCUACUCAUCAUAGCUAGACAGAGGUAGAGCCUAGAGCUAACGAAAAUGUUUUUUAUUAGAGCAAAUUAGCUCAAUACACUAAAAAGAGUGAGAUACCAUUGAAUUAAGGGAAAAUAGUAGUGAUGGGGGGAAAAAUUGAAGAAAAAUAGUGUAUGGAGUGCAAAUAGAGAGGAAGUUGUGUGUAGGGAGUACAAAUACUCUUUUUAUUAUUCGUCACGAGAAAUAAUUAUAAAAUGUGUUAAUCAAACCAAACAAAGCCACACAUUAUAUAAAGCCCAAAUUAAGACGAGUCUUUAAUUUAAUCAAUAGAUUUCUCUCUCACUGAAACAUCUCUCUGGAUUUUAUUUAUAAAUACGCUUACGCUUCAUCUUCUUUAAUCCACAAAACUCUUUAUCUCUCACACACAUACACACUGUAUUCUCUUCCCCUUAUUACAGAAAAAUGGAACUGUCGACUCAGAUAAAUGUGUUCGAAGAGCUUCUUGUUCCGACAAAGCAAGAAACCACCGACAACUACAACUACAAUACCAGCAUCAACAACCUGAGCUUUAAUGGCGGAUUUGAUCAUCAUCAGUUAUUCUCAAAUGGAUGGAACAUUGAUUACCUCUGUUUCGACAAUGAAGAAGAAGACGAAAAUACUCUUCUGUACUCAUCUUCUUUCAUGGACCUAAUCUCUCAACCUCCACCGUUGCUUCUUCACCAAACACCACCUUUACCACCACCCUCAUCUUCAUCUCCGCCGUUAAUCUCCUCCACGGCCUCAACAUUCGAUGACCCUUUUCUUGAGGCCCUACAAGAGAUUAUAGACUCUUCUUCCUCUUCACCACCAGUGAUGCUUCCAACUUCCCAAGAAGAGAGCUUCAUUAAUCACUCGUCGUAUCCAUCUCCACUGGUGGAGUCUGAUCAGAGCAAAAGCUUCAGUGUUGGAUACUGUGGAGGAGUAGUAGAGACAACAAACAAGAAGAAGAGCAAAAAACUUGAAGGCCAACCUUCAAAGAAUCUCAUGGCGGAGAGGCGUCGAAGAAAACGGCUUAACGAUCGUCUCUCUAUGCUCAGAUCCAUUGUUCCAAAUAUCAGUAAGGUAAAAUAAUAAUUCUAACGUUUUAUGAUUUAACCUUUUUGAAUAAUUAUAAUCAUAAUGGUCAAAAUCAAGAAAAGAUUCUUCCCCUAUUUUUUUUAAUUAAUGGGAGUAAUGUAUUUUUUUCUAUUAUUAUAGGGGCCAAUAAACUGAUAAAGAGAUCAGUCUUUUUAAUCAUUAUGUUCGAACUUAGUUAAAUCUCAAAAUUUAAACCCUAGCUAACUGUAGUAUUUGUUUUAUUUGAAGAUUUAACGUUUGGUUCAAAAGAUUCGUCCUUUAUACAUCUUAUAUAUUAAAACAGAAGUCACAACCGUGAUUCAUGUGUAAUUUAAAAAAAAAAAAAUUUAAUGGACAUAUUCCUAAAAAGUCAUAUUAUAUUUAAUCUCUAAUUUUAUCAUUUAAAUUUUGAGUCUACCAGAAAUUUUUAUUGGGCUAUCAAUAAUUGAAUUUAAACAAUAGAUCCAUUGGAUUUAUAGAUAAUAUAAAUUAAAUAGAUAUAAUUUAAUGUUGUAAUAUUAUAUCUUCAUAUAUUAAUUAUUUAAAUAUUUAUCGAUGUUAAAUUUUAAAAUUAUGAAGAUUUUUUUUUAAUAACAAAAAUCAUAUUAUCUAACAAUGAUUAAUCUUUACUACCUUAAACCAAUGAAAACAAAUUUUAAACUAUAUAGUUUAUUUUAAAAAUUAAACAAAAACUAAAUGUUUAAUUAUUUACUCAAUAAUAUAAAUCUGUCAAGUAAAGUUUAAUUUUUAAAAAACUUUUUAAAUUUGUUAAAUGUUACAAUAUUUUUGAAUAUGACAAUAAAAUAAUAUUUUACUAAUCUUUAUAUAGUUACGAUUUUAAUAAUGAAAUAAUAAUCCAAAAAAAUAUAUAUAUAGAAGAAGGUAACAAUACAUGUGAAGGUUUGAAACAAUUUAUUCAAUGAAAAAAAAACCGUAAAUUUAUUAUGUUUUAAAAAUUGAUAGACACAUAUAUAUUAUAAUAUAUACCAACUUAGAAUUGAAAGCAAAAUGUUUAUAUACAAAUAAAUGAAAACAAAAACACGUGUGGUUGCGUGGAUCGAGAUCUAGUUAAUAUAUUAAAAGUGUUUUCAUGAAAAUAGCGUUUUCUAUGUUUUCAACAUUAUAUGUUUGUUUUUCUUGUUUGAACCUUUUUUAAGACUUGUUUAAUUAUCGUGUUCUUACUUUUAUGGGAAUCUACAGAACCUGUUGAAAAGUAGAUAUAUAAAUGUUUAAUAAUUUAAAAGUUUUUAAGAUAAUGAUUAUUGUUUUCUUCAAAAUUAGAUGGACAGGACAUCGAUACUAGGGGAUGCCAUAGAUUACAUGAAGGAGCUUUUAGACAAAAUCAACAAGUUACAAGACGAGGAACAAGAACUCGUAGUUAGCAACAGUUCACAUCAUUCUAAGCUCUUCGGUGAUAUCAAGGAUCUUAAUACAAACGAACCUCUGGUCAGAAACUCACCAAAGGUAUAGCAAGAAUGAAUUUUUUUUUCUUUUCAUGUCAGUAAUCUUGAUUUUUGUAGUUUUACUUGUGAACUGUUACUAGAAAUACCCUCGAAGUUUCACAAAAUCACCAGUGGAUGAAGACUGAUUUUGUUAAUUUCGUUAUGUUUUGGAUAGUUUGAAGUGGACCGGAGAGACCAAGAUACUCGGGUUGAGAUACUUUGCUCACCCAAACCGGGAUUGCUUCUAUCAACUGUUAAUACACUAGAGACUCUAGGCUUGGAGAUUGAACAAUGUGUUAUUAGCUGCUUUAGUGAUUUCUCUUUGCAUGCUUCUUGUUCCGAGGUAGUAAGAAUAUAUCAAGAUAAUAUAUGAAUACGAUAUCCAAAUAAUAUAUCUGCAAGGGUAAGAUUGAUGAGUUUGUUUGUGUUGUGUGUCUGUCUUUAUAGGUAGCUCAGCAGAGAGAUUUCAUCAACUCCGAAGAUAUUAAGCAAGCAUUGUUUAGAAACGCAGGUUAUGGAGGAAAAUGCUUGUAAGGAGUUAUUAUGACGAAAUUAAUGAACCAACAUACUAUUUAUUUAAUGCUUUCAAAAAAUUAGAAGUUUGGUGUCUAUUUCCAUUGCGAGCUUGAAUUUUCUAGGGGGAAAACAUUAUGAGUUGUUAAAAGAAGGAAAGAAAAAGAUAUUUUCUUGGAGAUUAGAUUUGUAGAUGGAGGUUAUAAUCUUAAUUAAAAGUUCAAGAUCGAAAAGUGUAAUGAUGUAUCAAUGAAUAAAAUAUUGAUUAAUAAAAGGUAAAAGUUUAUACUGAAUUCAAUAAUUGAAAUUAGGGUUUGUAGAUGACAGUGCAGAUGUCUCCGAUCAGAAAGAUACGUAUAAUAAACAGCGUAUUAAUCACAAAGUUUUAAUGGCUAAUGAUGGGAGUGAUUAUAAUGUUAAUCCCUGUGCCGUCAGGCCCACCAUCACACGCAUUCAUCAUUACAUGGUACUGUAUCAGUGUAUCAACAUUUAAUCUUACCGAUUUUUCAUAAUUAGGAAAGAAAAAGUUAAUUCACAGAAGCCUAAGGCGUAAGCAAAUAAACUGGACAGGCCCAUAGUUAUAAUGCUGUAUCAUUUGGGCCUUGGAAGGAAUAGAUAUUGUUUUUGACUGUCGAGAUCUUGCAUGGUUUUUGGAAGUAGAGAAUAGUUUCUCUCGAUUUAUUUAAUGAAACAAACGGAAACUAUAAUAAUUGGACUAAGAAUCAUCGCAUAUUUGGAAUGAAGUUAAACUCCCAAGAAAAGGAAAAUACUCACACACAAAACAUUAGUUUUUAGUUGAGAAAUGACUCCACUUGGGCACUAUGAAACAACUUGUCACAAUAACGCUCACUACCACAAUGAAAAGAAGGCUACCCACAAUCCGGAAACAAAAGACCAUAAAAUAUGUUCAUCUCGUUUUCUUAGUUAGAUAAUUAUACUUGAUCAGGCAAUGAUUAGAAAACUGAGAAAACACAAAUCAAAAUCUCCUGUAAAAAUACAAUAAGACUGGUUUAAAGUAGCAAAUAUCAUCAAUGCUAUAUUAGUAAAGUCUAAUUACGAAUCUUAGUUAUGCAACUUGCACAAGUAUAGAUAUUAAGCGUGAACUGUAUAACAUUUGUCCACAUCCCUGUUUCAACAUCAUCAACAUCUUGGUACUAAUGAUGAAACUUUUUUGAAUUGUGGUUUAUCCCCACAAGUUGUGUAGCAGCCCUUUUACAAUCAUGCUUGACAGAUAGUAUUACAGAAACAAUAAAGUCAAAAGAGAAAUAAUAGAACAUAUAUGAAUUGAUGGUUACUUUAGAUUUUUAACUAUGAUAAAAAUCUAAUAAAUUAGAAAGCAUCAUAUAAUACUUUCAAAUUAAUUUUGCUUGUAGAUAACAAUAUUGUCGAAAAUACAAGAAACUAUCAAUAACACGUGAAUAAUCUAAUUUAAUGAUCUUUACAUGGAAAUGAAAGAAUCUGGAGUUGGUUACUUUAGAUUUUUAACUAUGAUAAAAAUCUAAUAAAUUAGAAAGCAUCAUAUAAUACUUUCAAAUUAAUUUUGCUUGUAGAUAACAAUAUUGUCGAAAAUACAAGAAACUAUCAAUAACACGUGAAUAAUCUAAUUUAUGAUGGAUAAUAACCUCCAAGAGGUUAUAGUCCACAAACUACAUUAACUGGCAUUAUUUAACAUCUGAAUGCUUUAUAAUUAUUUGGCCAAUCCCAUGUUUCUAAGCAAAUUGUGUGUGUAACACCAAAAGAAAACAGGGGUUGGUAUUAAUCCAUGUUUAGUUUUAAGAUCGUAUUUAGAGAAAAUACACAAUCUUUUUGUUUUAUGUUCGAAAGUGAAAUGAACGAUGUAUUUAAUAUCAUUGUAGCUUCCUGCUAAUAUAUAACAAAGAGAGAGAAAAAAGAGAAUAAGAAGAAUGAAGAAAAAUGAAAAAGGUGGCGUCAGAAAUAAGGGAGCGAUAAGAAAUGUUUCCCCAUGUGAUUUGAUAUUCUUCAAUCUCCGGCCCGCGCUUGUCUUGCUUAUCAUCCGUACGUUUUACAUUAUACUCCGCUUUUUUUUUUUUGAAGAUAAUUAUACUCCGCUUUUCAUCCAUUUAAAUUCAUUUUCUUCUAGUUUAAUUUAAAUUAUUUCAAUGACUUAAAAAUUUUCAUUUGACUAUUUAUUGUUGAGUUAUUUGGAAGGUUUUGUAUUUUCGAAUAGUGAUAACUAAUUCUUUUUUCGUGAAAAAAUGAAAACGUUCAUGAAAAUGCAUGUUUUCUUAUUUAUUAAUCAUAUUAUUCAAUAUUCUCUGCAAUUAUAGCUCUAAAAACAAAUAAAGAAAUGAAAUGGCAUGAUCCCUAGGUUUCAGCGGUGAUUGCGGUGCCCUCACAUGCUUUCAUAUGACUACACAGUAUAAUAAAUUUGUUUUUCAUGAUAAUAUAGUAUUUUCAACAGGAAUAUAUAGAAUAAAAUCUACUCUCUCUUUUUUUUUUACAACUCUAGUCAAUUAAUUAUACGAGUUUUCCUCCAUCUGUUACACAAACAAAAUAAUUCGUAAGGCACGAAAUAAAGAAACAUCGUUUUAAAAAGGUAGCUUAAAUGAUCCAUAUUCCUUUUUCUUAACUAAUUGAGCAAUAUUCUUUUUGUUUUAUAAUAGGUUUAAUUCAUAAAACAUCACAUAUAACCAUUUGUAUAGAAUAAAACUUGAGAUCAGAUAUACUGAAACAAGAUGCUUUCAUGGGAUUGUAAGCAAAAUAUUUAAUUUUGUUUUAGUUUAAUUUAGCUAAUUAAUUAAUUUUAAAUAUAAAUUUGAAUACUCAUAAAAUAAUAUGGGAUAUGAAAGUUUCUUUAUAAAAAAAAAUAUCUUAGCUGAAAAAUUCUAUUUACUCUAUUCUUCAAUUUUUUUAAUUUAUUUUUGGUGACUUCAUAAUCACUUUGAUUUCUUAGCGCGUAAUGUAUAUAACAAAUAUUUAAUACCAAAGCUUUGUUAAUUGAUAUUUAUAAAUUUAUUUGCCAAAUAACAAAAAAAAAGAUUAAUUUUUUAAUAAAAGAUUAGAGAGAGAUAAGAAAAUAAAUAAAAAGAGAGAUGAUGUUUUUGGUUAGAUAUCGAAUUUAUGUUUUUUUUCAUGGUUAUAAGAUGCAAAUUCUUUAUUAAUGGGCUUAUUGAAUACCAACACAAUAAAAUACCCGUAAACAACAACAAUUUACAAAAAUAAAAUAAAACGGUUGUUGAAGAACCGCGAAGCAUAGAUAACGUCAUCAAAGGAACCAAUCCCAGUUUUGUACUUUGCAGUAUGACUUACUUGACACAAGCACUGAUUACUUUGCAUUUUUCGUUUUUUCUAAAAAUAUACUAUAUGGAACUCUCCAAGCAUUUUUUUUCUUUUUAUCACGAUGACUCUCUGCAAGCAUUUAAUAACUCAUUCGAGAGUGAAUUUAGUUAGUUCUAACAUUUUCUGGUACUAUUAUUUAUGUCGUUUGAUGGGUCAGAAAUUUGAAACUUGAUAUGAUAAAAAAAGAGCUUUGAUUCGAACUUUCGACCUGACCUAAUUUAUUUAACAUUUGGUGUUCUCUUUUUUGUUGUUGUAUAAUUGAUAAUUAGUGGACUUGAGCAAAAGGUAAAUCUCUAUCGAUCAGAUUCGGAAGUAUUUGGGUUAGAAUAUUAGGAUAAACCAAUGCAUUAUAAAACUGAUAUUCAAUUUAAAAUGACAAAUCAGCAAAGUAUAAGAAUAAUAUGUAUAUGUAUAACAGUGAAUUUAGGUCAUGAAGUGGAUUGUUAAAUUGGAGGGGUCAGUGGUGGGGAUGUGUUUUGAGCACUUGGUUAAGAAACUUGCUAGUGACGUCAAUUUUGGAUUCAUAACUUUAGUGCCAAAUUUAUGAAGUUUUUAUAUUUUGAGUGACUCGAACUUUUUUUCUUUCUUUUUUUGUGUAAAAGUGACUCGAACUUUAUUAAAACAAAAUGGUUAUGACCGAAAUAAGGGUCGUAAUUAACGGAGAGCUAUAUUGUUAUCUUCGUCCGUCCAUACUGUAAAUGUAAUAAUUAAUUAGCUCUUAUAGAAUGUUUACUAUGUUCAAUGAUUAAUCAUGAGGUUUCUUGUUAUGACGCACAAGCUUUGCAAUUUAAUUGAUAUGCCUGUUUUCCAUUUAAAGUAUCAAACGUGGUUACAGAAAACACCUUUUUAAAAUUGGACUACUAAUAAAGAACGGAAAUGUGAAUAUAAAUACAAUCUGCGCUAUUUCUGGUACAAUUCAAACAAAUCUCGAGAUAUCCUAAAUUAGUAGUAAUCUAUAGUAUUAUUUUGGUAAAAACAACAGUAUUACAAUAAAAAUAUAAUAGUUUUUUUCGGUUAACGUCUAUUUCAUACAGUAAGUAUUUGUAAUUUUGUAUAGCCAAAGGAAAUAUAAUUGAAUCAGGACAUCGACAUCGAAAAUAUCGUCCGACGAAACGUGCCAUGUGUUUUGUUGUUGCAUACAGCAUUCAUAGAUAAAUAAUAGCUCAAAUCGAUGAAUAAUAUUCACCAUUAAAAACAAAAUAACCAUGUAGUUUUACCUCAGUUUUAAGUGUGCGAGUUUAUAAUUUUUUUUAACCAAUCAAACAAUCAUGUUUUAAAAGAAUAACAUCUAACUACAUCAUUAGUUGAUUAAUAUAAGUGUCAUUCUCUAUAAAAAUUUCACACAAUCAAACCACUUCAUAAUGUUGCCAACUGAAUACAUAAAUAAUAAAUCAGAGAACAAAAUUAAAUUUAUAAUAGUUUCAAAAAAAAUUUAUGAUUUACAUGUACAUCAAAACGAGAUAUUUCGACAUUUUUCCUCCUUUGUGUUAUCUUUUAGCUAAAUUAAAUCUAACAAAGAGGAAUGGGAAAACGCGGCGGCUUAACAGGUGGUGAGAACGGUGGACUUUGGACAUCAACGGUGAGGUUCUCUGGCCGAGGUGGUGCACACGGACACGGCAAUGCUAUAAAUUUAGGCGUAUUAUCUCCAGGCAUCACCACCGUUAUGCUUAGAUCCUGGGGUUUCUUCACAUCCUGUUCACAAUAGUUAUUUUUAGUUCAUAAUCAACUCACUAGAUUUAUAUUUAUAUUUUAUUUUUUACUUUCUACUUACUAACUAAAUUUUCAAAAUUCAACUUCUGGUCCUUAAUAAAUUACAAUUUCAUCAAGAUAGUAAUGUAUUCCAUAUGCUUUCACUUACUUUUCGAUUUCUAAAAUAUUUAUAAGAAACCCUAUUUUGUAUUUACUCGAAAAAAACGUGAACUUUUUUUAUUAAAUUUAAUAGUAACUAAAAUCCUUCAAACAUACGAGUUUUAAAUCCUCGAUGAGAAAUGGAAAUAAAAUGUUGUGGCAAAUAUGUUUUCCCUUUUUUUUUUGUUGGUAAAAUCGAAAUUUAUAAUAAUUUCAGAAAAUGGGAGAGGAGACUAUACCGGAAAAAAGGGUCUAGGUUUGAACGGAGAGGACUCUAUGUCGGCGGAGGGAUGACCAGAGGCAUUGGCCAAAGAACGGCGGAGCGAGCGAUGUUUGUCCCAAUGGUAACAGCAAGAGAAUAUCCCGGAAAGGCUGAAAAUGAUUAUGAGAAGCAGAGCUGUGCCGAGAGGGAAUCCUAGUGACGGCCGAGAAGCGUCCAUGUGAGGCGGCGAGGAUCCUUGAGUGUUCUCCAUCUAAGCUGGCGAUAUAACCGAAGACUGAGAUUGUGAGAUGAGUUUGUUCUCUCAUGCGUUAGAGAGAUAAACAGAGAGAAGAGAGAGGGAACUUGUGUGAGUUUGGAGAAGACAGGGGACGGGGAAGGAGAGGAGAUAUUGAGCGCUUAUUUAUAAAAGAAAAUUUUCACUUUUAAUUUAAUUUAUCUUACUACUAUUAUAAAUUUAUGGCCUCAGUAGAAAAAAAAAAGCAAAAAUGCUGUACAAUAAAGUUGUCACUUAUCUUUUUCCAUUGAAAAUUUUAUUCCCGUUAGCUAUUAUAUUAUUAAAGGAUGAAUUUCUUAAAAAAAUGCAUAAGGAUUUUAUAUGUUUCUUGACUUUGCUGAACCAUUUCUAUUUUAUAAUUUGUGAUGUUGCGGUAGAUAUUAUAAAUGAACUUAUACUGAAAAAAUAAGUUUCACUGUCUGAGCUAGAAUUAUUUUUUAAGUGAAAUAUCAUUAUUCUAAUAUGUUAAGUUAGCAAAAAAUUUAUUCGUUAGAAAUGUUGAUAGGCAUAAUAUUUGAGAUAUUUACACAAAACAAAAUUUUGGAAGUAAACUUUUGGUAUCAUUAUUCAUGUUUACUUUUCCGAUUUAUAAACAAUUAUUUAAAUAAAUAAUUAAAAGAAUUUCAUUUUUCGAGUUAUACAUUUUUUAAAUUUGAAAUUUUUCAUACAAAAUUAUUUUUAUUCGAAUUUUCUUAAGAAACUAUUUUUAAAAUUUCAUUUAUUUAUUAAAACCCUAAACUUCAGCCUCUAAAAUCACAGCUCUCAAGUUUAAACAAAAGUCUAGAUUAUUUAACAUUAGAGUUAUAAAUGUUUAUUUAUCUGUUUAAAACUAAAGAUAAAUGUAGUUAAAGCAAACAUGAAAAGUGAUACUAAGAAUAUGCUAAUUUAAGCAAUUUCUAAAUUUUUAAGUAUAAAAAAACAAACCAACAUGAGAUUAAUAAUAUUAUAAAUAAUAUAAUAAGAUGAAAGAAUUUAGUUAACAAUCAUUUUUUAACUGGCUUUCUAUAUUUUUUUGUGUUUUUAUCAAUACACCCUUAUGUUUUCUUAAAAGGAUAUAACAACAUAUAUUGUGACCUGAAACAACAUAUAAGAGUAUCUCCAACUAUUUAUAUAUCAUAAAGUAGAUUUAUUGAAAUAUAUGAUUCUAUAAUAAUUUGUUUUUAUUUAUAUGAGUAAAUGUAGAAAAUGUUAUUUUACCUCUAUAUAUAAUAAUUGAAAUAGCUUUUUCUUUAUUUUCUUUAUAAAUAAUGAGACUCUAUUUUAAAUAUAUACAUUUCUAUAGAUGGAUUGAAGAGAAUUUACCUAAUAAUGAAAUUAUGUUUUUGGAUAGUCUUUGAAUGUACAUGGAAAGAGGAGAGAGGGAGGCUGCCUGUACGGAGAAGACGUGGACUUAAAGCUCCACCAUGUUAACGUUUUUUGCCUUUGUUACCUGACCUAAUCUUCGUUAAUUACCCUAAUCAUACUAUUAUCUGCGCUAGCUACUCCUACAAAAUAUAAUAGCUUAAAUUUCCGUUGUAUCUGUUUUAUAAGUAAUUAUUUACACUUCCAGAAAAUUCAAUUUCAUGUUCUCUUGUGUAUGAAACCCACACUGAAAAAAUUCUUCACAUCUAUGCAAUGCGCUCUCACGUGUUUUUGCGGUUUAGAUACACAUCAAGUCGGACUAGAAAGAGUUCAUAACAUAAUUCUAUUAUUCUUUUUAAAGUUAAAGACGAAGAAAAAUCGCUAUAGUUUUUGUUUUUUGUUUUAUGCAAGCAAUAACGAAUAGCGUUAGCUCGUUGAUGAGUUUAUACAUUUUAUAAUACUCUUUGGCGUUUUUAAAUACGAUGAAAAGCAUAUGCUGGGUACGGGUACUAUUAUGCUACCAAACCAAAACAAUUAUCACAUGGUUUGUCUCUAUUGAGAUCGAUUAUUUUCAACGAUUACAAUAAUUCUGAUAGAGAUUCGUACAUCACUUAAUAUAAUAUGUAUCCUGACGUGAUAAAUAUAUAAUUAUUUUAUUCACAAUGUUAUGGCCGAGAUUUUAAAAGCCUUUAACAUUUUUAGACUAGGUUUAACAUAGAGAAAUUUCAAUAAUUAAACGUCAUAUUACUUAUGAUAUUUAAAAAAAAUUGGAGGGCGUUGACAAAAAAAAAAUUGGAGGGCAAGACAAAUAUUUCAUCGGAUGUGUUCAGAUCUGCUCUUGAUAAUGUAAAUGCCAUAAGCAAAUCCUAACGACAAUUUGGCCUAGACAUGUUAGUGUGAUAUAGGCAUAUAGCUAAACUUCUACUCUAUAUGAAAACAAAUUAAUACCAUUUUAUGGUCCUGUGCAUUAAUUUGUGUGGGCGCGUGCUAACAGGCACACCCAAGUUGAAACGAUUGGAAGAGAAGUUGAGUACGAGUUCCUUGAUCAUACGAACGUCCUUUCGUUUUUGUAUUCGUUGUUUGUAAAAGAAAAAUAUACAAAUCAAAAUGAAAAAGGUGCUCUUUUUUUUUUAAGAAAACAAACAAUAAGUUGUGGUAAUUCUGUUUAUAGUAUAAAUUGCUGAACUUCAAAACCGAUAGUGUGGAAUUGUCGAAUUAUGUUUGGUUCCUACACCGCCCAAGACAAACCAGUCCCCACUUGGUAUAUUGAACCAACUGAAAAAGAAAUUCCGGAUGACUAUGAAAUAACUUAACUUACGUCAAAUGUUUGGGACUUUUGCCGGCACUGAGUCUCACCCUCUUCUUCCUUUUACUUUGUCAGUUUGAUUAUUUUUAUUAUUAUUAUUAGAAUAUAGAUUUGACAUUUUUAUAAGAAAUGAAUAAAAAUGUUGUCUAAUGAAGAAAACCCUUGCUACUCAAAACUACCACUGAAAUUACGAGAAUGGACCUGACCGUUUUUGUGGUUGGUCCUUUGGCCUUUUGAGUUCCUAAGGGUCAAAUAUCAGUCCAUGGAUUUUAAACGACUCAACAACUGAAAGUACAGAAAUCCAUGACAAGAUAUGAUCAUGGGAAUUGCUUGUUUGUAGUAUUUUAUUAUGUUUAUGAUAACAGUUGACGUGUAUGUCAUAGCAAUAUAUAAACGUAACAUGUAUGAUCGUUGAAUAUGCCUAGAAAUGAUAAAGAAAUGCAAUAUAACAGUAAUUAAAAUAUUUGACCACAUGGGACAGUGUCAGUAACCCAUAAAUACUAUUAAAGUCAAAUUUAAAUUGUAAAUUUUACGGCUGCUAUACAAAUCUAAUGAAAAAACAAAAGAGUAGCUGCCGUGUGGAACUUCUAUUUGACAAUACUCUUUACUUUUCUGACUUUUUUUUUAAUAGCUGUAUUUUUGUUUUUUUUGUGCAAAUCUGUAUUUUUGUUUUUGCAGUUUUAGUUGCAAAUAAUGCCAAAUUCAGCGAGUCUAAAUUUUACGAUUAAUAUUUUUUGCCUUUCAAGGUCUCACAAGUUUUGUAAUACAAAAAUAAAAGAUCUCCCAGUUUUUAUUUUUAUUUUUUAUUUACGUUUCCUUCAGGCUUAAAUAUUUCACAUUGACAUGAGAACUACACAAUUUCAUGCUGCCACCAAUCCUUUUCUUAUAAUGGUUAACAACAUUUAUUAAGUAAACUACCAUUGUUUCUUUGCAUUUUCACGCUGUUUGUCCUAAUCAUUAUCAUAUCUGGUAUAUAUUAUAAAACAAAAUAUUAUUAGUCUUACGAGAUUUACUUGAAAAAUUGAACUAGACUUGCUAUUUAUAUUUAUAUGCGUGUUUCUGUGUCUGAACUGUAAAUGGGUCUUGAACUGGUCACCGCCGUUACUUUUAAGGUCAAUGAGUGUGUUAUCCACUACACAAACCCAACUGACACUUUAAUAUUACAACUUGUGUCUUUGCUUUCUAUCAAGCUAAACUUCCAUAAAACGUUUCUUUUUAACUAUCGUAUUCAUAUGUAUGUUUUCAUAUAAUUCAAUGGACUCUGUAUCAUUUACCAAUUACGAUCUCAAUGGGUAUGCAACAUGCUGGACUUGUUUUGAGAGUGAUACCAGUCCUUUUCUACUCCAAUCUACUCAACGAUGCAUAUAGAUUUUCUGAUUCGGUGACAUCACUUAUAGAAACUAAGAUAUUUUCAUUUAGCAAACAAAAAUCCUAAGAUAUUUUCUUAUAUAGAAAAAAUAUUUAAUAUGCAUUUAUAUUUUUACAGGAAAAUCCAAACAUAUUGCACAAGUAAAACUAAGCUAUAUGGGACCAUGUUGACGUAGACCAAGACCCAUUGAGAUAGGUACUAAUGCUAAUACAGGUGUUAUUCAAUAUACAGAAGACGAAAAAAAUCCAAUUCAUAUACAGCUAGAUAUACCAACAAUUUUAUAUGUUAUCUUAUGUAAUAGUUUAUUACGAGGGAUGGAAUUAUAUGUUACGAGAGAUUUAUAUGUGAAAACUCGAAGGUGUAUCUGAUUUUGGCCAAGUAUCCUUGUAAACGCGCUUAGUGGCCCUGGCCCAUUAAUAAGAAAAUGAUCUAUGGGCCUAUAAUUAAAUCGGUGUAAUAUAGUACAAAAUAAGGCGUCAUGAUACUAAAUGUAAUUUGUAUGCUUGUACAAGUCUGGGCCCUGGUAAGAGUCUAACGUGUCUUGUCGUAAAUCUCCUUCUAAUUAUUACUCCCUCCGUUUUUUUAUAUAAGUCGUUUUACAGAUAUACACGUAGAUUAAGAAAACCAUUAAUUUCUUAUAUUUUCUAAACAAAAACAUCAUUAAUUAUUUACCUAACCACAAUUGAACCAAUAAAAAAAUAAAAGAUAUAUUACCAUUGGUCAUAUAACAUUAAUUACUAAUAAAUUUUACAUAAAAAACCGAAAACGACAUAUAAUUUGGAACAAAAAAAUUUCUCUACAACGACUUAUAUUAAAAAACGGAAGGAGUAGUAGUUAGUUUAAUUAAUUAUAGUGUAUGCAUCAUUAAUGAGGUAAUAAAAUAAGCGUGAAGGACAAAAGCACUACUGGACCCACUGUCUUGUCUAAACCAGCAUUAUUUGUACUCGCACUGCUAAUCUGAUCUACUACUGCUUUUUUUUUUUUUUUUUUAAACAAAUCUACUACUGUUUACUUUUGCAUUUGUGUAAUAAUUUUAUCAGUAUUGCUGUUGCAUAUUUUUACUAAUCACUAGUAUUUAAUUAGCCACACAUGUUUUAAGUACAUGUAAUAUUAAAUACUGAAAUAUAUAAACUCCGCUUUGCACUCUUCUUUUCUCACUCUCCCAGAAAUUCCGUUUUCUCCUGACUUAAAUAUUCGACAUAUAUAAAAUAUGAGGAACAAACUUUAUAAAGCUUGGGAAUGUUAAGAAAACUCGUAUACUUUUUGAAGGUGCAUAAACGUUCAUAUAAUUUAUUUUGGAGAUGUUUAUUACUCCAUGUUCUUUUUCGCAAAAGAAAAUUACUUUUUUUUUAAUAAGAGGGUAAAUAAUUAACGUGAGUUGUACGGAAGAGUGAUGAUUUCCGUCAGAGAACCUCAUGAUGGACGGACACAGGCCUCCUUCCAUAAUAUUCAACGGCCAGAUCUUUUGCUUCCCAUGCGUGUUCCAUUCCCAUUUUCACCGCCUGUUAUUAUUACUAGAGUUUUUAACCGCGCUACGCGCGGAUAAGAUAUUAUAUGUAUUUCUCAAUUCUAAAAAAAUAAUGUAUAAUAUUGUAUUACAUUAUUUAAAGAAUAUAAAAUAAGACUACAUAACAUAAAUAUUUUUUUUUUAAUUUUCUUUGUGAAAAUUAUUAUGUUGUUUGAUUGUUGUACUUGAUUUGCAUAUUUUGCAUAGAUAUAUGUGAUAGAUGAAUAACUUUAUUUUUAUUAUCAGUAAAUAAUAUAUAUUUAUUAUAUAAUAUAAGAAAAAUAAAAUUAUUUACUUUCUGAACAACCUUGUCUCAUGUUGGGAACUCGGUUAUAGACAUAUCAUAUUCGAAGAAGACAUUUUACAGUUAUCGAUCUUCUUAAAAGUCAAGAAACAAAUCUGAAUAUCAAAACAAUAUCUCAUACGAUCUCUUUGUGGAAUAACUACUCUAAAGUAAUUGAAUUUAGGCAUCAAAAAGGACUGGAAAUGGAUGUGCAUAUCUGUUAUCUAAGUCAGCAUUACAAAGUACUAUUCAUAGUUCAUAUAUCAUUUAUGUCCAUCCUAUUUUUUUUGUCCAUCAUUUCUUAAAAAUCUUGAAAUAAUUGAUGCUAAUUAAUAAUAAAAUUUUGGCUGGCAAAAAAAAUCAAAUUUGUCUAAUUAUCGCUAAAAUAUUUUAUUAAUAUUGUCUAAGAAGCUUUCAAGUGAUAUCAUAGUUUAAUUUUUGUUAGUUUUUUUUGUCAAUUUUUAGAGUUUUUUGUAUUUAAGAUUGUUUUCAUAUUAAGCUUCUAUUUCUUUCACUGAAUUGAUAUAUAUAUAUAUAUAUAUAUAUAUAUAUAUAUAUAUAUAUAUAUAUCAUAAAAAUUACCAUCAAAUCAUUUUUACUAAUUUAUUAUUUUGUUUUUAAUGAAAAUACACCUUUAAAUAAUUUAAUUUAAAAUAAAAUUAUAUAUUAAUUUGUUGUAUUCUAACAAUUUGAUUGAUUUAAUUAAUUUGCUUUGGUGGAUAACUUAAAAAGUUUUCAUAUGAAUCGGAGAAAGCAAUCUUAUGUUGUUAUAUUAUAUUUAUUUGUGUAUAUAGAAUCUAUAUAUAAUGCUAGUGUAAUAAAGAAAGAACAAUAUUUUUUGUAACUUCAAAAAGAUACAUUAUUAUAAUUUGAAAUUAAUUAAAAUUGAAUAAAAUGGUAAUUAAAUAUUUGUAAAUCUAAUUGUUUUUUUUUAUCUUGUUCAGUUCGAUUCUCAUGAAAAAAAAUCGAUAGGUUAAACAAAUGUUUCAAAAUUUGAAAUGUUUCAAAAUUUGUUGUGUUAUUGUUUUGUCUAUAAAUUACAAAAUUUAUUGAAUUGAUAUAUUUAACUAUUGCACCCUUAAAUAAUAUUUUAUUAAGACAUUAGAGAACUAUGUUUUGAGUUGUUUUGUCAAAAUUGUACAAAAAUCUAUGCUUUUUCAUAUUUGUCACGGAAAUUUAUAUGUUAAACUUACUUUUACAAAAUUCUUAACUUUGUCACGAAAACAAAAAUCUAUGAUUUUUCAUAUUUUUCAAUGUUCUCACACUUUCAAAGAAUAUAUUAGCUUAGUCACUUACUUAUUUUUUUUUACAAAACAAAGUAUCGGAGUCUUGAAUGUUGAAUUCAUAUUAUUGUAAUUGUACAUAAGAGUUUGUGAUUACAUACUUAGUGAUUCUUGUAUAUGUGUUCAAGAAAGUUUCAAUGGCUUAGUGGUAACUGUCCUAUAUUAAUGUCAUAAUAACCCGGGUUCGAUCCUUUCCUUCGCAUUGUUUUUCAUUUUUUACGAAAAAAUAAAUGAAAUGACGUGGCAAUUUCGGGCUCUCUGAUUGGUUGAUUUUUCUAUCCUACGUGGACACCCUCUCCAUUGCUUAUAUUUGCCUUUUAGUAUAGUAUAGAUGCUCCCUUCUCCAACCUAUUUUACUUAUUUUUUUGUAUUAAUUAUAACUUUAAACUCGAACGGUGAUUACAAGUUACAUAAACAAUUUGAGGUAACCACAAUUAACACCGUCAAAUCUCCAGACUUUGUGACCAAUGAAGUAAAAAUAAUGUAAUGAAAACAUUAUUGAAUGAAGCCUUUUCUAAGAAAAAUAUAAUUAAAUGCUAUAUUAUUCUCAUAAACUCGUCUAAAUUAUUGUAUACAAACUUAACAAUAACAAACUCAGAACUGCGAAUAGUUAAUCAUUUAUAUAUUAGACACAAAGUGUCCCACAUUGGAUGUUGGAAAAGAUCUUUAGUAAUAUAUAAGAUAGAUAGACCACUCUACUUAGCACCAAUUGAUUUUAGGUUAGAAGUCCAUCUAGCUUAACAUGGUAUCAGAGCAUGAUCCACACAGUCCAACCCGAUCCACAUCAAUCUGGCCUAAAGUUGACCCAUCGAUCUUUGCCCGAGCAUUCUCAGAUUGACGCUCAAAGAGCCAUCAUCUCGAGAGAGCGUAUUAUACACAGAGUGUCCCACAUCGGAUGUUGGAAAUGAUCUUUAUCGUAAUAUAUAAGAUAGAUAGACCAUUCCACUUAACACCAAUUGAUUUUAGGUUGAAAGCUCAUCUAGCUUAAAUAUAAUGAACCAAAAAGAACAAAAACAUAAGGUAAGUAAAAAAAAGAUAUUUGUAUACAAAAACGCAAAAUCAUUUUUAAAAAGGUUUAGGGGACUAACAUUUGUCUAUUGGACCCCAUCUAGUUGGGCCAAUCUAAGUAAAAAAUUAAAGCACGAUAAGGAAGUGCAAUAAUGAAAGUUAAAAAUAAAUUAGGAAGGUGGCGGAUUAACAUUAACUAGAUUUUGAUCCGCGCUUCUUAAGCACGGGUUUGAGGUUUUUAAUCUUUAAUAAAUUUUAAAUCUAGUAUAUUUUUUUUGUUUCACAUUAUAACUAUUAACUUUUAAUGUUUUUAUUAUUCAUUACUUUUUAUAGUAUGAGAUUUGUUUGAAAUAGAUUUAAAGAUGAUAUGUAUGUUUUUAGUAGUAAAGAUAUUCAUUAUUAAAAAUAUAUAUGUUAAUUAUUGAACUGUAUUAACUAAUGUUUUGAAAAUCUGAUCGGACCGUACGAUCGAACCAGUCGGAUCCUGACUCGCUCUUCUAACUGGUUCUGAGUUGUGCUAAAAACCGAAUUUGAGUUAAAUCGGACUUAGUUCAAUAUUAAAACCCAGUUUUCGCAAAUUCAAGUUAAAAAAUAAAAAAAAUUUGCAAAUUUUAAUAAGAUUUCAUCAAAAUUUAAUAUUGUUUUCUACUACAUAUAUAAAUAAAUUAGUUUUAAAAUGGGACAUUAAUAUUUAAAAAUAUGUACAUUAAUAUUAAUCUGUUUGUUAUGACUAUUUCCUUAAGUUAUUUUCUGUAUUAAGAAAAUAAUAAUAAAAUCUUUAGGUAAAAUAUUGUUGUUAGUUAAAAUAUCUCUUUUUGUACAUUAAGGAAAUUAUGAGUUGAUGUAUGAAAUAUUACUUUGACUUAAAAUAUGCUGAAUUAUAUGGUGUUAGUAACUAAUAGGUCCAAACAACCUUGUAUAAGUAGAUUUUUUAAGAAUGCUUUCCUUUUAAUAGUAUAGAUUAAAAUGAAAAAGGAAAGACUAUCAAAAAGAUUAAGAAGUUAAUUAAACAAAAAAAAAAGGAAAUUAGAUUAUGAGGAGGAGGAGGUUAGAUGUCCCAUUCACCACCCGGCAAACCGACUUGGAAUGCCGCUUUCUUGUCCCCUCUCACUCCUCUUUUUCUCGCCUCGUAAUUACCACUACACCCUUCACACUUCGCUUCUCCAAAUCCCCUCUACACUAGAUUUGGGCAAAAACAACCGGAACCAAAGAACCAAACUAGAACCGAACCGAAAUAUCCGAAACUAGAACAAGAUACUCGAACAGUUCUUAUAAUUUUAUAUCUGAAAUAGCCGAACUGAACUAAAAACCGAACAUGUACCCCAAUAUAUAAAAAUAUUAAUUAUAUAGACAUACAUAACUAUGUAUAUAUAUUUUUAAUUUAAAGUCUAUAUAUAUAUAUUUAAUUUAAAGUAUAUGAAAAUGGUUGAGGAUAACUAAAUUAUUAUAAAGUAUCUGAACUAUCCGAAACUACCCGGAUAAUUUUAUCUGAAAUAUCCAAAAUAUCCAAAAAAAUUGUCUAAUUCAUCCUAAUUAUUUGAUAUUUUACCCUAAAUAGCCGAUAUUAUAUCCAAAUUAUCCGAACUCUGAAUCCGAACCGGAUCCAAAUGAGAACCAAAAUUUUCCGAGCAUUUUCUGGUUCCUAGUUUUACUAUCCGUACCGAACCGAAUCUGAAACUAUCUGUACCGAACCGAAACUAUCCGAACCGAACCGAACUGAAAAUAGGUCAAGUAGUAAAUGAAUCUUCUAGCCCCCUACUCAAACUACCCGAAAUAUCUGAACCGAACCGAGCCCAGGCCUAGUUCACACUACGCUUCUCCAAUCCCCUUCACAAGGGUAAUAUCGUCAUCAAAGCAAAAGGGCAGGAUCGGAACCAUCCCCUUUCGGGAGGAGCAAGAAAGUGGUUUAAUUAAAAGAGGAUCCGACAAUAAAUCAACGGCUCAAACAACUCACCACAGAUCCUACAGUCCUCGUCUCUCCUCUCGAUUAAAUCUCAUCCGUCGGAUCAGAAUCCAUCAACGUCCCUCCACUUAUUUACAACCCUGCCACUUUCAUAAUUUUUUAAUCACUCUGCAGCAGCAACGAGUUUUCUGGGUGGAUGAUGAUAAUUAAGCUUUUUUUUUUGUAAAUGCUUUAAUGGAAGGACCUUGACUCCACACCUCUCUCUCUCUUUUCGAGGUAAAAACUUCUUAGCUUCUUCGGAAUCGAGCUUCGAUUCGUUGAUUGUUCGUGUGUUGGUUAGAGAAUCUCUAGAUCUACGAGCUUAAUCUUCGAUAUAUUAUCUCGAAUUGCGGUUUCUGUUAGCUGUUAUUUAGAUCGUAGAAGGUUGAAGAAGAACGUAUCUGAUUGGUUGGUAUGGUUUAGAUUCUGAAGCGUGAUUUAGGAGAAGAGUGAAUCCUCGCAUUUCUAUUUUAGGAAACCCUAAUUUUGAUAUGGUUUCUAUUUUAGGAAACCUUUUAAAGAAAUGUUACUGGAGAAAGAGCUGCAGAGUUCAUCACCAGCUAGCGUCUCGGGAGCAUAACUACCUGGGCCUCUCUGACUGUUCCUCUUCCUCUGUUGGAAGCUCGACUCUCUCUGGCCUUGAUGACAAAGCUGCUAUUAGCCUGAAAGCUACGGAGCUGACGCUUGGCCUUCCUGCCAGAGAGACCGAUGAGAAGCCUUUCUUUCCUUUGGUUCCUUCCAAAGAUGAGGUUUCCUUGAAGAAAAGAGGCUUCUCUGAUGCAAUGGAUAAGUCUAAAAGUUCGGUUUAUACUGAGAAAAACUGGAUGUUUCCUGAAGGGGUAGCAGCUAACCAAUGUGUAAUGAAGAAGGAGGCGACGCAGAACAUGCCCAAGGGACAGGUAAUGUAGCUUCUUUUGCUUGAGUUUUGAUAUGCAGAAGGGUAAGUUUUUGAUUUCUUUUCUUCAGGGCACAGAUUGUUGGUUGGCCUCCAGUGAGAUCCUACAGGAAGAAUACGUUGGCCACCACUUGUAAGAACAGUGAUGAAGUUGAUGGGAAGCCAGGUUCCGCGGCGGCCCUCUUCGUGAAGGUCAGCAUGGAUGGUGCUCCUUAUCUGAGGAAAGUUGACCUGAGGAGCUACACUAACUACAUGGAGCUUUCUUUAGCCUUGGAGAAGAUGUUCACCACUUUCACUCUUGGUGAGAUGUUUCUCUGUGAUUUUGAUAACUUUUCAUGGUAGAUCGAUUAGUGAGUGCAAUGGAUUAUUUUGUGUUUAGGUCAAUGUGGAGCUAACGGAGCUGCAGGGAAGGAUAAGCUCUGUGAGACCAAACUCAAGGAUCUUCUGAAUGGAAAAGACUAUGUGCUCACGUAUGAGGACAAGGAUGGAGACUGGAUGCUUGUUGGAGAUGUUCCAUGGGAGUAAGUUUUAUGCUUUUGGAAUAAAAUCGAAACAUGCAUUGGAAAGAUACUAAUUGGGAUUUGAUUAUUCUGAUAAAAAAACUACAGGAUGUUUAUUGAUGUCUGCAAGAAGCUGAAGAUAAUGAAAGGCUCUGAUGCCAUUGGUUUAGGUGAGUCUUUGUUUCCACUUGUUAACAUGUUUAAUGUGAUAAUCGCAAUGUCUUGUUAUAUGAUCGAUAUCGUGAUGUUUUUGCAGCUGCAGCUCCGAGAGCAAUGGAGAAAUCGAAGAUGAGAGCUUGAAAAUUAGAAGCUUUCAAGUUAUACAGAUUAUGUGCGGUUGAAAUAUCUCUUUUGGUGGUGUUUUAAAAAAUUUCAAAACAUCUUUAGCUUCUGAUUUUUUUUUCUAUUAUAAAAACUACGUUUGUAAGAAAUGAAGAAGAAUUGACUACGCUUUAGCCGAAACAGUAAAGUGGUCGCUGUUUCUACUUUCUAGAGUCUGGUCUAUGUUUGGUUUGAUUUGAUUUCGAUGUGUGGUUUGACUUUUCUAUUUUGGGAUAUUAAUGUAAUGUUAUUCUGCCUCUCCGCCUUCUUUAGUUAUCAGCUUCGUUUUGUUAUAAUUAUCCGGCUUUGUCGUAAACAGAGUUAUAUUUAAGUUCAAAAAUAACUUAAAUUAGAUAGGAUUAUUUUAAAUAUGAAACACCCAAUUAGAAUUUAUUCAAUUUGGUUCGGAUACACUACAUUUGGUUUCAGGUCAGAUUCUCAAUUAGUGAAACUAUUCAGGUGACACAAAAUUUCGGUUUAGUUUGUUUAUACGAUAGCAUUUUUUUCUUGUCCACCUCCAGUUACGAAUUAGGAUUGAUGCAGCAGACGACAUGUUAUUUUUGUCUGGUUUGAAAAGCUGAUUGUCAAGAAUGGAACCCGCAGGUUUUGUUUGCAUGCAUGCAUUCGCAAAAACAAUUUUGAAUAUCGAUCCCUACUUAAAUCGUGGAGGUGGGUUAUUAAAUUGUAAAACAUUUACAUGUGGAAGAGCGUUAAACCAAAAUGCAUACGUUAAACCAAAAGCAUAUAUAGGAUGGAAGGCAUCACCAAUGGAAAUCAAUUAGCUGUUCAAGUUAACUAUCCAGUUCUAAACUUCUAAUUGGUUUUCUCAAAUCUGCCACUAUAACUUUUGUGGAUAUCUACGUCUAUCUUAUUAUAUCAAGAAAAGAUGCAGAGAAAUUAAUGCCUAUAUCUUCUGGCAGUCGGUUUGAUAUGCUGCUAAAUUAUUGGCGCAAGUAGAUCCUUGAACCAACAUUAAUAAUCCUCCUCGAAGACCCAAAUGCUACGAGACAAAGGAAGAAAGGUUUGCGCAGGGAAGUGUUUGAUAUCGUGACUUAAAAAUUUAACUUUCCAUGAAACUCUUGACCAAACCUAAAAAACAAAACUUCAUGAGUGUUAAACUCGUGAAAGUUAAACUCUCCAAGAUGAAUAUAUCAUAGAUUUCAAAAGCGGUAUCAGUUUGAAAUUCAGUGAGUACAUUUUACCCAGAUUUUAAUAGUGCAUUGAACUCCAUCGUUUCACAAAAUAAUCAAAGAUACAUGAACAUAUUGAUGGGAUAUGGACUGUAUUAUAAUAAAUACUCUCUCAUCCUUCUCAAAUUAUUUUCUGUACCCAAAGAUGCGAACGUAGUGCGCAUUAGACUUUGGCAAUGGUGGUUUGCUUAUUAAUAAUUGUUUUAUAAACAAAUAUUUCCAUGAUCUCAUUUAUUGCCCAUUUUUAUAAUUUCCAUUAGCGUUGACAAAACAGCAUAUAGGUUAUAGUUUUAUCAUCCUUUGAAAUAAACCCUACCCCAAUGAUGGUUAUAUUCCAAGUACCAAAUUUCGAAGAUGCAUUAAUUAAUCAAUUCCAGCGCAUAAAUUCGAUCGAGAUAAUUAAAUACUCAUAUACUCUAAUAACAAAAGAAUCUACUGGUCGAAUUUAAAUCGUUCUUGUUACUUUUAUCCAAAGAAUUGGAUAGAUGUGUGAUUCUUAUAGCUUCAUGUGAAGCCUAGCAGUAUGCGCAUAAACAAAUAGUCAUUGCUUGUGAAUCUCAUUUAAUUCGAUUCGAUGCACUGACUUCGAAUGGGACGGACUAUAUAGUUUUAUAUAAGUUGAUCAACUAUAUAGUAUUACUGAACAUUUCUAAAAUUAAAUAUGACAAAGACUUAGGGAAUGACAUGUCAAAUUUGUCUCCAAAAAUAUGAAAUGAAGUAUGCUUCUAAACGAUGGAACGUGGCGUUACCUUUAACACUCAUUUAUAUUGGUUUCCAAACUAUCUCUAUGUACACAACUAUUUAUAUACAGAUGAAACCAACAAUCACAAAAUGCCAACUAAAAUGUUAAAAUGGUAACUUGUGAACAUAUUGUUUUGGUUGAUACUAGGAAUGUAUUCAAACCUUGUAGCAGUAAAAGGGUAAACUCAGACAUAUCAAUGUCAUUAUCAGGUGUUUAAAAAAAAUUAUAGUACAUUAGAUUUAUCAAUCAAUCUCACAUGAAUCUAAUAAUACAUAUACAUACGAACAUAUAAAUCAACACAGAUAAACUAUAUACAAACGAACAAAUUGUUUACACCUUUUCCCCACGUAAGCGGUACAAAUCGCGUUCUCUCACCUUGGCUCUUCUCAUUUGAUAAUAAUAUAUAUGUAUGGUUAGCACUAGGCGUUCCAUUAACCACCCAAUAUGUUUGACCCAAAGUUUAGAACAUAACAGUUCAAACGCACACUGUUGGAUUCAAGUUCUAGAAAAACAUAUUAACUUUGUAUUCGCUCUGGGAUGAACCUAGUGCUAAUAAGUGCGUAUAAAUCAUAUAAAUGAAUUUUCAUAAAUGCAUAUACGAUCAACAGAAUGAGUGUUUUUAUUUGGUAGACCUUCGACAACCCACCGAAUUGAUGGUAUCCAUGUAUUUCUUAUCAGCUAUCAAUCAUGGGAGGUCGUGAUCUAUUUAUUUAUGGACAAAAUAGUAUCAGCAUUAUUAUUGUUCAAUUUUUCUUUUUCGUUUUGGAAGGUUUGAUUAUCAACUUUGUCCGGAUAGUAACCAAAGUGUGUAUACUUGUGAUGUGUAGCGCAUUAAAAGAUCUCAUUCAAUUUUAUAAAACCUAGUUAAGUUAUUUACGAAGUAAUAUUUUCGUUUUCUAAUGGAUAGUCAAUAAUUCCAUGGCGUGCACGCAUGAAGUCAUGUGAUGUUCAUACAAGGGUAGCAACUUAACCUACCAAGCAAUUUACAAAUCCUUACUUAGUAUUUUAAUUUAGCCAUAACUAGUUAGUUUUAAUCCGUAUUGUUUCCUUCAUUCAUUCAUGUGGCUCAUCUGCAAAAUUCCAAAAUACUCAAAGCCACAAACUUUAAUAAUGUAUGCUUUGGAGUUUAUACCACUGAUCUAGUAAUAUGGAGUUAGUUUAGGCACUGAUCAUCAGCCAGUAGAUCUAAUGGGUAUUCGAAAAGAUUUUAAAAGGGAUAGUUAGAACUUAGAACUAUCCCAGUCAAAGGAAACCACCAUUUUUGCCAUAGCAAGAAUUCAAAAGUUUGCUGGACCAGUCUAAUCUUUAUGUCAUAUCAUUAGCUCUUGUCGUCACCAUAUAAUUUAUUAUUAUUUGGAGCAUUCGAAAUGUGGACAAAUUUAAAUUAUUUUGUUUGUAAUAAUAAAUGCACUUCUACCUUUCUCCUUCAAACAUACAAAAUUUUCACAUAUAGUCCAAAACCAAAAACGUUAAUUAAGUUAAUCUGUUCAGUCCGUAUAUAGAUGCUAUAUAAUAUAGUUAAAGUUAGAUAAGCUAAACUCAAAUGGAAGUAAAACAGUAGAAGUGAAUGUGGAAAGAUACUUGACUUUGAUAGAGGGUACAGACACAGUCAGAAAAAUAAAUGCCUCUAGACCUACAGAACUCUGGUCAUCUGCUAAUUACGACGCAGUUCUGAAAAAUCUCUCUGCAAUCUUCAUUUUUAUUUAUAUAUUCUUUUGUAAUUUUUAGAACAUGCUUCACCGUUUGUUGCUCAGAUUCUAUUUCUAACAUCACGUGCCACAUGAACAAUGUUUGACUUCUCUUUUUUCGGCAAAACAAAAUAUCAGAACAACUAGACAAAGUCGAGAAAGUAAGGUUUAGUUUCUUCUACACUGAACCACAUUGGAAGGUAAAUAUGAAUCCAAAUACGCCAGGUUAUAAUUGUUUAGUGUUGAGAUAUAAUAAUCAAUUCAUCAAGUUAAAUUUGGUUAUCAAAAAAAUAAGUGAAAAUUUUACAAGCAAAUGGAACAAAGAUUUACAUGCAUGCAAUUUUUUUUUCCAUGCAAAUGGAACAAAGAUCGCCGGGUCUUUAGUCAAAUGAAAAUCCCAUAUGCAUAUGGUCGGUUCCAUCGUUGACCUUUUUUUAUUUUAUCGUCCAUCCCAAUGAAAACCAUUUGAAAGAUCAAACCCAAAUAUAAAAGUAUGUAAUAUGACCUUCAUAAACAAAGAUUAUAGUUUAAAAAAUAGGAAGGGGACGUAACAAAUCAGUGAUUAUUUUUCUUCGAGGCAAGAAACUAUGAAAGAUUUACAUGCAAAAUGCAAACAAAAGCCAUUUCAGACGCAUGAAGUCAUAAUUUUCACCUUUUAAUAUUGCUUACAAUAAAAAAUAAUUAAAUGUUUCUAAACGUCAGUAAAGAAGAAAUAUCUUUCUCUCUCUCGUCUUUAUCUUAUUUAAUAUCUCCAUCUUCCUUAUGAUCAAUAAUGCCCAAAGCUCCCUUCAUCUUCUAUAUAAUCACUUAGAGAAAAAAAGAGUGGAAGAUAGAAAGAACUUUUUUUCUUCAUUUGUUUAGCUGAAAAUGGUGUUUGGUUGGAGAAAAGCGUUCUGCACAUCCUUUCCUAGUAAUCAAGACAAAUCUCAUCAAUCAUCAUCAGACCUUCUCCACACUGAUCCACCUAUUCCCACACCAAGACUCCGAUCAAAGUUCGGUUUUUUCUCAAACCCAUCAACUCCCCGCCUCCGAUCUCGCGGCGGAGGUGGUGGAAACGGAUGCCGCUCCGUCGCUUCAACCGCAGCCGCUACUCCAUCUCUUCCCACUAGUCCCAGACUCCAAUGCAGGACUACAAGCAAUGCUACUCCGAGGACAAGUAACCCCUCGACUCCUAAGUUUCUCUCUAACCCUUCUUCUCCCAAAUCAUCAUCUCCUUCCUCCCACGCCGGCGUCUCUCUCCUCCGUGCCACACUUCUUCUCAACCAGGUAAGAAGCAUUAUUAAUUUUUUUUAAAAAAAAUUUCUAAUUAGUUUUAUUUUCGUUUUAAUUUUAGAGUCUUCAGCAUACUAAUCUAAAUCUCUGUUUUGUAAUAAGUAUACUAAUCUAAAUCUCUGUUCUGUAAUAACUAUGCUAAAUAAAGGCUGUUUAGUAAUAAGUAUAUUAAUCUAAAAGUACUAAUCUAAAGUUCUUUGUUUGGGAUGCAGAGCAAUAGCAACAGAUGUGGGAUAUGUCUACAGAGAGUUCACUCCGACCAAAUCAAUUCGACGGCGAUUUUCACGGCGGAGUGUUCACAUUCGUUCCACCUCUCUUGCGCCGUUAGAUUACAAGACAAGCGCUGUCCUUUCUGUUCCACCGCGUGGAGUCACGCUCCGAGGAAAGAUCCCCCGACUGCGAAUUUCGGAUCCGACCCGAUUAGAAAACCCGGGAUCCGAGAAAUCAAAACCGGGAAGUCGCUGAGAGUGUACAACGACGACGAGCCGUUAGCUUACUCGCCCGUCUCUCUCGCUCGGUUCAACACUAUACUAGAAUCAGACGAAAACGACGACGUAGAGGAAGACGACGAGUUCCCCGGAUUCUUCCCCGAUUCUUCGAUCACGCCGGCGGCUUCGAUCUCCGGGAACCUCGAGGUUCAAUUGCUGCCGGAAUCCGCCGUGGUGGAGACCGGGAAAAGGAUCGAGACGCACGCCGUCGUCAUGAAAGUGAAGGCCUCGCCGAUGAGGGACGCCGUUAGAGCGCGGCGGCCGUCGAUCGAUCUGGUGACGGUUCUCGAUCUGAGCGGCGGCGGAGCGAAUUUGCCGACGGUUAAGCACGCGAUGAGGCUGGUGAUCUCUCUCCUCCGGGAGAUGGAUCGGCUCUCGAUCGUCGUGUUCUCGGCGGGGUCGAAACGGUUGAUGCCGUUACGGCGGAUGACGGCGAAGGGACGGGGGUCGGCGAGGAGGAUCGUGGACUCGCUCGGCGGAGUUGAAGCCACCGGCGGCGGAGGGAUGAGCGUUAGCGACGCGUUGAAGAAAGCGGUUAAAGUCGUUGAGGAUCGGCGGGAGAGGAAUCCAACGGCGAGCGUUUUGGUUUUAUCCGACGGUCAGGAUCAACCGGAGGCGGUUUUGAAAGCUAGGCUAAGCUCCACGCGCGUGCCGUUCGUCGUUUCCACCACUCGCUUGUCUCGUCCAAUGAUCCCUGUUCACUCGGUUUGGAUCGCGUCUCCAAGCGCGUUGCAGUACGCGCCUCUUCGGGACGCGUUCACGGAGCGAGUCGCUGCUUUGUUCAACGUGGUUUUGCAUGACGUGAAGCUUAAUCUAGGUUUGGUCUCCGCAUCCCCGUUGACCGAGAUCUCAGCGGUUUACUCUUUAACGGGCAGACCCGAGAGUUUCGGAUCCGGGUCGGCCGUUGUCGUCGGGGAUCUGUUCGCGGAGGAGGAGAGAGAAUAUCUCGUUGAGCUCAGAGUACCGACUUCUUCGAGCGGGUCCCACCGUGUGAUGUCCGUACGGUCUUCGGUCGUUGACCCCGCGACGCUUCAGCCGUUUCCUUGUCCGAACGAAAAACGGUUUUUGAUCCCGCGGCCACAGACCGUCCGAUUCGUCUCUGCUAGCAUCGAACGGUUGAGGAGUCGACACUCUGUCUGCCGCGCUGUAGCUGAGUCACGUAAGAUGAUUGAGCGUGGUGAUUUAGCCGGAGCCUAUGAGGUUUUAACAGCGGCUCGGUCAAACGCGUUGGAUGAGAAUGAUAGCUUAAAGAGCUUGGACGCUGAGUUAGCCGAGCUAAACCGGUUGAAACCGAGAGACGGUACAGCAAACCGAGCCGAAGAGGAGAAAACCGAGCAACUAACGCCUACUUCGGCUUGGAGAGCCGCUGAGAAAUUGGCGAAAGUGGCUAUCAUGAGGAAGCAUUUAAACCGAGUCAGCGACAUGCACGGCUUGGAAAACGCCAGAUUUUAAGUUGAUUAUUAGUUGGUAUGUAAUUAUUUUAAAUAUUAGUAACCAAUAAUUGAGUAAGAUAUCAUAAAUAAAAUUAUAGAAGCAUGAUUUUUAGAAAGGGACCCUAUAGGUGCAUGACAGCGACAAGCAGUAGCCGACGGGUGUGGCCUUUUUUGUAAUGCAGAGAUUGGUACAUUGAGAGAAUUAAUUGGUCUUGUAGCUUUUAUCAUCUCCCUUUUUGUAAUUUUCAGAAAAUCCAAAUUUGUGACAGAAAAAGUUGGAAGAAAAUAAAUGAAGUUUGAAUUUUUUUUAUAUACUAUAAAAGUGUAGUGGAUAAUCAGAGAGUGGAUGCAAUGCUGGACUUCAAAAUCAAAAGUAAGUUUGUACUUAGUUUAUAUUAUCGUGCCGUUUAAAUUUCAUGAACUUAUUAUACUUUAUAUCUUUACAUACGAAAGAUCAUGAUUAGUCAUGUGAUCAUCAUUAUAGGCUAGCAUAUUGUUAUAGAAAACUUUAAAGGUUUACCAGAAUAAAAAAUAUAUUCCCAGUGGUUGUACUUGUAUUAUAAUGUAUGUCUUGUGACAACAAUGAAAUAUAGAAAACUAAUGAUUAAUAUCAUGAGAGACCCAAAAAAUUGAUUGGUGGUGCUUUGCUGUAUUUUUAGCUCAGUAGGGCCAAAUUUUGUAAAACAAAGAUGAGAGAAGUAGGUAUUGCCAAGCCCGUUAAGAUAAAAGAUUGAUGUUGGCCCAUCAAUCCUUAACCUUUCAUGCCACCACUCUAUGUCCGAUAUGUCAAAAGAUAUAAACUAUCUACCAGCAAGAAACAUAAAGACCCACAAAUAAUUUAGUGAAAAUAACAUUUACACUACACUAAACCGGCCCAACAAAAUGCCCUUUUUCAAAAAAACAAAAACAAAAUGGACAUAUUCACCAAAUCAUGUAAUUUAAGACUAGCCAGGAAUUAAGAAAGUUAAGCCUUUUUCUAAACAUUUUUGUUUUGCUGAAGCCUUUUAAAAUUUUAAUUUAUUUCAUGCUGAAUACCAGUUGAUUUUUAUUUUUUACCAGUGGACGGCAGAUAAAAUGUACUACCUCCAUUUUAAAAUGUAAUAUGUUUAAAAAACAAAAUGUUUCUAAAUAUAAGAUGUUUUCAAUAAUUUAGGAAACUUUCAACUUCAUUAAAAACUGUACACCCAAUUAUAUUUUAUAGUGUAUUUUAUAAUUGGAUAGCCUAAUUUAAUAUCUGUUUCUGAAGAGAGAGAGUAUCUGUUUAUUGAAAUUUUAUCAUUAUUUUCUUUCUGAAUGUAGUAUUAGUGGUAUAAUUAUUUAAUUUAAUUACUCAAAUUUUAAUUAUUUGUAAAGUUGGUCAACUCUAAAAGACCCACGUCUCAUAGAUAAGGCACCUGAUCUGGUUGUGAUUAGGUCUGAAACUUUUAUCCGAGAUCCGGAUUCGGUCCGAGAUCCAGAUUCGAUCCGAGAUUCAAUCCGAAUCCGAUCCGAAAAUCCGGAUAUCCGGAGAGGCCGAAUUCGGAUAGUAAAAUGUUGGAUUCGUCAAAUCCGGAUCCGAAUCUAGAUAUCUUAUUUUUUUAAUCCGGAUAACUGGAUCCAUAAAUUUUAUUAAUAAGUAUUUCAAAAAUAUUAAUAUCUAUAUAUAAAAAUUAAUUUUAUUGAAUAUGUUUUUGUUUUUAUAAUAGUAUAUAUAAAUUUUAUGUAAAUUUUGUAACAUUACACAUAAAAAUAAUUAAAACAUUAUAUAUAUAUAAAUUAUUGUUAAUAUUUUAUAUAUAUUAUAUUAUUAUUUAUUUAUUUUAAAAAUCAAAAUCUGGAUCCGGAUAUCUGCUGGAUAUUACAAUUUUCAGAAGGACACUCGGAUAUCCAAAAACGCUGGAUCCAAAUAAGAAUAGUAAAAUUAUGGAUCCACCGGAUAAGGAUUCGGAUCCGAAUACCUUAAAAUUAUCCGGAUACCUGAUCCGUCCGAGGUCUGGUUGUGAUAUGCGAAAAAUUGUCCAACGUUGAAAUUCGGAUCACCGUCCCUUGAAAUCGACUUCGCAGAUCAAAUACUGACACUUGGCUUUCUAAAAGGUUAUCUAUAUCUAAUUUACUCGAAUUUUAAAGUAAACUUUUCCUAACUACAGCCCACGAUUAAUUAUUUCUGGAUAUUUCUUUUUGAUGACUUGUGGUUUGCAACCAGCGGUAUAAACAAUAACCAUGUUUAUAUUUAUUUAUUACGCUAAAUACAAAUGAAAUGCCAUACAUACUUACAAGUAAAAGAUACGGGUUUCAACUUCCGCGUAACAUUAUAAAUAAAUUUAUAGGGAAAACAAUCCAUUUUGCAUUUGAAGUUCAAAUAGUCUUCACUCACUAUUUUUGUCUAGAGAAAGUAGUAAUUUUUUUUUAUCAACUGGUUACUUUCAUUAAAAUAAAUCAAAACAUAGAAUUAUGGCCUCGGGCCCAAAUAAGAAACAAGACAUGAUUUAGCUAAAUAAUCCGCUGGCCCAUUACAAGCCCGCGGGGUGAAGGUGAAGGAGCAUGAGUGGAAGGGGGAGGAGGCGGAGAACGCCAGCGAGUCGAUGUCCGAUAAAAUUCCAUAGAGUUCCGUCGAUCGUCUUCUCGUGGUGAUAGCUCUGACGAGCACUUGAGAAUCUGUGCGUAGACAGAUGUUGGUGAACUGGAGGGAUGAGGCCUGGAUUAGCGCCUCUCUGAUUGCUAGGGCCUCAGCCAUGCAGGCGGAGGAGAAGUUUGCUUGGGGCGUGGAUGCUCUGUGAAGUUCCUGGUCGUUCGGUCCGUAAAGAUCCAACUCAAACCGGCUGCUUUUCGGUCUGAUCGCCAUGCGGCGUCUGUGUUUCCAAAAUAAUUAAAUUAUAUUACUACUUAAGUUGUUUUUAUUACAUAUACACGCAUAAUGAGUUUAACAGUUGAUUUGAUAGUAUAUAACCUAGUUUCCCUCAUAACUGGUCGUAUCAGUAAAUCAACAAGGCCAAAAUCAGAUUAUAUUUAUAAUACAUUAACAAAUAUUUCCACUUUAGCAUGUUAAAUUAUCCACAAAAUUAUCGUAUAAAAAUGUGCCGUACCUUGAAUAAAAACAGUAUAUAUUAUUUCAAGUCAAACAGCUGAAGACAUGAUCAAUCAUAAAAAUCGAGCUUAAAAUAUGUUUGUAAUUUGCACGGAUAAGAUUUUGGAAAACGACAUUAUACAUUUGAAAUACAAACAUUGUGAAGAUAAGAACUUGAUGAGCAAGUCUUAGCAAUAUUCAAAUGCUAACCAAAGAAUAACUCAGGUUAAAGUAAGGUUUACUUGGGGUUGAGUUAGCAGACUUUGGACCAAAGAGAAGGCUCACUAUUGGUGUAUAGGUCUGAGCACAAAGCAGGACCGUUUGUCUCUAUGCGUUUGGCCAAGACCAAGGUUGCUUCAUCCAUAAAUAGAAACAUUGGUCCAGAGAGAGAAAGUAGAGUAGAAGCGAGAGUGUGUGAGCACACAAGAAGCAUUGUAAGGGUGAGAGAAACAAGAUGUAAAGGCGUAAGCCUUGGGUAGUUUCUAAGGGGUUUUACAGAGUGGUUUCCUUAGCCAUUCUUAGGAGAAUCACUUGUAACCUCUUGUAAUCCCUUUGUUCUAGUGGAUUCCGAGCAUAGUCUCGGCGAGAUGUAGCGAUCCUCGUUAAUGGGCGUGAAAUCGUUAAAUGUCUGUGUGUUUUCCUUCUCUUAACUCUCACACUCUCUUAUCCAAAGCUCUCUCUGUUUCAUUCAUCUCAACAUAAAUCUGUUCUGUAUCUUUAAGUUAACACAACUAGAGUCUUGUCUGUUGAAGGAAAUCUUAACAAACAUAUUUUCAUACUGUUCUACCGGGGUGUAUUAGUUGAAUGUUACAAUAGUUACCCGAAUAGUUUCACGAUUACCAACGUAAGACAUGAACAUAUUCAUCGGUCAAAACGGAUAUAUGUAAUAUGCAAAUUGAUCUACGGUAGAUCAUCUACCAUGUGCAAGCACAAGUUAACUAUGUGGAUAAACCAACGCAACGUCUAGUCAUCUUACCAUAGUAGACUAAUAGUAUAUAGUAGUUGUAAACAACUGUCUUAUCUACAUUCUACAAUCAUGUAUACACAUUGCUACAUGUGUAACGUGAUAAUCAUCAUUUAACUAAGUCAAACCACGUUUAGGCAAGUUAAUUGAGACGCGUUUUCUGAUAGUCAAAGGAAGCCUAUAAAACGGCUUCUUCUUCUUUUCCAUCAUCACCCAUUAAUCUCUUCUCCUUUCAGACAAAUCUUGUUUUUUGUUUUUGUUUUGUUAUAUAUUCUUAUUCUUCCACAAAGAAGAAGACAUUCCGGUAUUUACAUUUUCUUCAUAACUCUUUUUAAAUUCAUAUACGUUUAUAUAUUUGUGUGUGUGUGUGUAAAAAUUGUGUAAUAUUUGUGUGUGAGCUAAUUGUAUAUAUUGAUAUAUUCAUCCCCACGUUAGCGGACAUGGCGGGAAACGGAAACACUGACGGAGAAUUCAGUUUCUCGGCUGCGGCUGCGCGUGAUGCGCUUCCUCGGAUCACCACGGAGAAGGGAGCCAAGUCUACGACGUCGAGUGACGUGUGCCACGACGACACCGCGUCACGAGGCAACUUUCAGACCAUCGAUCAGCUCCACAGUCUCCAGAAGAAACGAUCUGCACCGACCACUCCUCUCAAAGAAGGAGGUGGCGUAGUGAUGGGAACCAGUGGCCCUACCACUCCUGUCUCCGGUGAGAGUAUGCUUCAAUCAGUCAGGUGUGUAAAUUUGUUAUUAAUAUAACCCAAGGUCCUAAUGUUUUUAAACUUUGUGAUAUGGAAAUAAGAAAUGUAAUCAAGAAGUCAACAGAAAGUUGGAUCUUAAUUGAUAUAUUUAUAACACACAAAAUGGAGGAAUAACAAAUAUUAUACGGUGUACGUGAUUUAUAAAUCCAGUAUAUAAUAUGAUAAUAUGAAAUAUGGGAAAACAAUGACAAUGAACAUAUAUAAUUUGUUGAUGAAUCGACAGUGCAUCGUUGGCUUCGUUGACGAGAGAGACAGGACCGAAGGUAAUCAGAGGAGAUCCGACGUCGGCGGCUAAAGUGGCACACGUGCCACAAACUCCUACGUCAGUUCCGGCUGCUGACGUCAGCGACAGUUCUCUGAAAUUCACUCACGUCCUUCACAAUCUCUCUCCCGCAGGUAACCAUCCAAAACGCAACCCAUCUUCAUUAACAAGAUUUGAUUACAUAUUUUACAAAACAAAACGUCACAUUUUGAAUUUUAUGGUUGCAGAAUUGUACGAGCAGGCCAUAAAAUAUGAGAAAGGAUCGUUCGUGACUUCCACCGGUGCGUUGGCCACUUUGUCGGGAGCCAAAACUGGUCGGUCUCCUAAAGACAAGCGUGUAGUUAAGGAUGAGACAACUGCGUCCGAGCUCUGGUGGGGAAAGUAAGUCCCUCUCUAUCUUAAACUUUAAACUAUGAUAUAAUUUAUUUUUAACUUAACGUUGACUUUUACAUUAUAUUACAUUAUUUUUAACAGAGGCUCACCAAAUAUCGAAAUGGAUGAACAAAGUUUUUUGGUGAACCGAGAAAGAGCUGUUGAUUACUUGAACUCUUUGGACAAGGUAUAACUCAAACAAACAUCAAAGACUGCAUGUUGUCAAGAAAAUUAUUUGCACUAUUAGGGAUAAAUACAAACAUUUAUUUAGUUAUAUUUAUAUUAUAUCGUCAGGUGUUUGUGAAUGAUCAAUACCUAAACUGGGACCCAGAGAACAAAAUCAAAGUCAGAAUAGUAUCAGCAAGAGCUUACCAUUCACUUUUCAUGCACAACAUGUGUAUCCGUCCAACACCCGAAGAGCUAGAGAAUUUCGGGACACCUGAUUUCACGAUCUACAACGCUGGAAAAUUCCCAUGUAACCGUUUCACUCACUACAUGACAUCAUCGACAAGUGUCGACAUAAACCUAGGAAGAAGAGAGAUGGUGAUUCUAGGGACACAAUAUGCUGGAGAAAUGAAGAAAGGACUCUUCGGUGUGAUGCAUUAUCUGAUGCCUAAGAGAAAGAUUUUGUCUCUUCACUCCGGUUGUAACAUGGGAAAAGAUGGAGAUGUUGCUCUCUUUUUCGGUUUAUCUGGAACCGGAAAGACUACAUUGUCUACCGAUCAUAACCGAUAUUUGAUUGGAGAUGAUGAGCACUGUUGGAGUGAGAGUGGAGUCUCGAAUAUUGAAGGUGGUUGUUACGCGAAAUGCAUUGAUUUAUCGAGGGAGAAAGAACCUGAUAUCUGGAACGCUAUCAAAUUUGGAACUGGUACGCACAUCAUUAAAACAAAAAUUCUUUUUACAAAACUUUUUUGCCCUAACGUAUAGCUCACGUUUCACAUUUUGGGGACAGUUUUGGAGAAUGUUGUGUUUGAUGAGCAUACAAGAGAAGUGGAUUAUACAGACAAAUCAGUGACGGAGAACACACGUGCGGCUUAUCCUAUUGAGUAUAUCCCUAACUCAAAGAUACCGUGCGUUGGACCACACCCUAAGAACGUGAUCCUAUUGGCUUGUGAUGCUUUUGGUGUGCUGCCGCCAGUCAGCAAGCUGGAUCUUGCUCAGACUAUGUAUCAUUUCAUCAGUGGAUACACUGCUCUCGUAAGUCUUCUAUCAUCAUCCAAGACUCAGCUAAAUAAGACGUUCAGGUUGAUGAGAAACGAAUCUAUGGUUUUGUAGGUUGCAGGAACAGAGGAAGGAGUUAAGGAGCCAAGAGCGACUUUCUCGGCUUGUUUUGGUGCUGCUUUCAUUAUGCUUCACCCAACCAAAUAUGCAGCUAUGUUAGCCGAGAAAAUGCAAGCUCAAGGAGCCACCGGUUGGCUUGUUAACACCGGCUGGUCUGGUGGAAGGUACAACCCAUCCAUCUCUACUUCAAGCUCUCAGAAAACCACAAAAAACAUGUGUCAUUGUUAUAACUUUGAAAUGUUGAUAAAUUUGCAGCUAUGGAUCUGGAAGUCGCAUCAAGUUGGCGUAUACAAGAAAGAUUAUUGAUGCUAUACAUUCGGGUAGUCUCUUGAAUGCAACUUAUCAGAAAACUGAGAUUUUUGGUUUGGAGAUUCCAAAUGAAGUUGAAGGAGUGCCUUCUGAGAUUUUGGAGCCUAUGAAUGCAGUAAGUUAGAGAGAUCAAAUUUAUAUUUUAUUUAACAUGAGUCAGAAUAAACCCCAUAUAUUAUAAAAACUAUGAAAAUUGACAUUAUUUGGUUAUGUGUGUUUUGGUGCAGUGGGAAGACAAAGUGGCUUAUAAGGACACAUUGUUGAAGUUGGCUGGUUUGUUUAGAAACAAUUUUGAGACAUUCACAAGUCAUAAGAUCGGAGAAGAUGGAAAGUUGACUGAAGAGAUUCUUGCAGCUGGUCCAAACUUCUAAAGUGAUGAAGAUUAUGAUGAUGAACCAACAAUGUUUUCAAAAAGUACAACAACAUAUAAAAAAAAUAAAGUGAAUAAAGGAGAGAGUCGACGAAUUUCAAGAAAACUCCAUUUGAUUAUCAAUCAUAUAUUUUUCCAAUUGAAGUGAGAACUAUAAUUAUUAUUUUCUUUUCAUGAAUGUUUGUUUACUCACAAAAUAAGUUUACAUGAUUUGUUCAACCAAACUAAUCUAAGUAUCCUUUUUUCAAAUAGCUGCAAUGGCAGCAAGUAUUUUUUUGGUUCUUGUAUUGUUGAUCUAGGUUUCUUGGGAUUUAACUUGGAUUCAAAUUGUUGCAAAGGUAACAAUUAUGAAGUGUGUAUGAAACAAUGAUUGGUUUUUAACUUUUGAGUUAAAUGUAAGAAACUGAAACAGUGAAACCUAUCAUCCACAUGCAAAAUAUCUAUAAAUCAAAAGUCUUCAAUGUUUUUCUGAUGAGAUCUUUUGCUAACUCUUUUCCCUUUUCAUGAAGCAAUCUCUAGUCUACAAGAUGCAUUUAUGAUUUCUGCAUCAUAAAUAUAAACCACACCAACUUGUAUUUAUCUGGUUUCAUUUGGGUGUUUAUGUCGAUUUGUAUAGAUUUAUAUGAAUCUUAUACUUCGUCUAGGUUUCUUAUUGAAAUUUUUGGGUCAAACAUACAAAACUGUUGCUAUCAUAAUGUUUGCUUCCAUCUGAGCAGCAAGGUUUUGGUUUUGAUCAAAAAGUUCAAGUAUGAGACGACACAGCACCCUAUGCAUGAUAACAUAUAACAUAUGGCUAUUGUACUAAAUUUUGAUUUAGUUUACUGGUUAAGUUUGUAAGUAUUGAUGAUGAAAGAUCCUACAUUUCUUUUAUCAAUUAGCAGGCAAUAUGCUUCAGUUUUGAAAUGUACAAGUUCUUGUUUUGUUAAUUGUAUAUUGCCAGUUUGAUCGUAUAUAUUGAUGUUUUGUUUAUUGUGUGUUAAGGAUUUGUUUGAAGGUCUAAAGCUUAUAGAAAACAAGAUGGUAAUAUCUUUUCUUCCAUCUAGUUUUGUUAGGCUACAUACAAUGAGGGUGUUUUUUUUGUAACACAAUAUUUUCAUUAAAACAAGUUAAAACCCGAUGUUUGAAACAGAUGACACAACAGCGAACAAAGCUUGCUUAGCAAGAGCAUCAACAUCUUUGUUUCUGUUGCGAUGAAUCCAAACAUAGAUAAAAUCAAAAGUUGACAUAAUGCACAAAAUAUCUGACAAAAUGCCAUACACUUCUGAAAGAAGCACAUUUGAUUUAGGGUUUGUACGAUUUGGACUGAGUCUGAGGAAACUUGUAGGCGUUGAAUAAGUGCAAUGAAAGUGUUGAAAAAAAAAUGACAUGGAGUUUUUGGUAUUGAAUCUUUUCAACAUUUGAAACAAAAUUAAAUGGGACCCACAUUACUGUUGUGUUAACUUUGUAUACUUUUACGAGACCAGAAAAAACAAGAAAGUAUUUAAAAAAACAAAAAGAAAGAAAACAAAUAAUUGGUACAAAUAUAUCUGUUUUAUUGGUUCACACAUUUUUAGAUUUUUAUUUCAUCUUAUCUAUCUAAGAUCAAUUAUUUUUUUACUAAAUUAUAUUCUUAGAAAAUAAUAUUUAUACCAUAAUUCAUAAAUUUUUGUGUUCUAUAAAAUAAGAUUUUUUUUUAUUUGGAAAUAAAAAUAUUUUUUUUGUGUUUUUGUAAGUUAUAAUUAUUUGUUUUAAUAUGUGGAAAAUAAAAAAUGAUGUGGAAUGUUGAAAUGGUAAAAUAGGGUGUUGAAUAAUCUUAACCAUUGUACAUUGUCAUAAGUGAUAAGACUAUAGUUUGAGAAAAAAAUCUCUUAUCAAUGUUUUUUUUUGAGAACUAAAUCACUAUUUAAUUUUGAAUUGUGUUUUCCUUUAGAUUAAAUUUUAUUUUUGAAUUGUUUUGUCUAUGGAAUGUAUGAAGAGUGAUGUGGCUAAAAUCAGAAAGGCCAAGGAUUGAAACUAAAUAACGUGUGAAAUAAGUGAACAAAUCCGCAUUGAUUUGCCGGUUUUUUUGCUUAAUGAGUGACAGCUUAAUUAUACUUUACAAGUUGGCGUUUACUGAUUAUACUAAUUACUAUUGUUUAAUACUACCAAAAUAAGUAUAAUCUAACCUCCACUAUCUUUGUCCUUGGACCGACACAUUUCCCUCCUAAUCCUGUUCAAACCUAAAAAUUACCAAUUCAUGAAAUCAACUCCUAAUCCAAUUGUGUUUCAUGAGUUUUUUUCUGAAAUUUAUUGGGAGUAAAAAUUAUAAAUGCUAUAUACGGAUAUACUUGUGGAAGAUCUUAUCAAACACAUUAACCUUCUAGCGACAUGAGGAAACGUUGAACUUUAUGCAAAAGGAUGUCAUGAUUAUCUCAUGAUUACGAUACAACAACAUGUUUUAUGGAGUAUUAAAUUAUUAUUAGAUUAGUCAUUAGUGUAACAAAAAGAGGGUUUAUACUUGUCACGAGAGUCUUAUCAUAGAAGUAGGAUUCACCUUCUUUUGCAUAGAAUACUUCCAGAAAGUAAAUGAAUCCUAAAAAGUACCAUCAGGGAAAGAGAAGAUAAAAUCGUGGAAGAAAGAAAUAUGCCUUGAGAUAUAUAUUGUAGUGAUCUUCCUCUUCUGUAUCUUUACCUGCUGUUUGACAAUUAUUUUCCUCCUCUUUUCACUAUUUUUAAAGCUGUUUAGUAGAUCAUUCAAUUUUAGUCAAUCUUGUACGUGUUAUCAUCAAAAAUAUUUUCUAGAUGGAUUUCAUUUAUUAAGAUAAUUACUUAAAUCAAACUAGAAUGCAUAUGAUAUAAUCAUGGAUGGAUUUCGCAGAUCCUUGAAUACUAGGUUGAAAAAAAAAAUCAUGGAUGGAUUUCGCAGAUUCUUGAAUAGGGUCUUUUCAUAGCUUGAAAACGAAAAUAACAUAUAUAGACAUGACUUUAGAAUAUCAAAUCCAAUAUAUUUUUUUCGCUAAAAAUCGCUCAUUCAGCAGUACGUCUUAACUCCUAACUUAAAGCAAACCACAUUAUUAAUAUAUGUUUUUAACAUAAUUACUGAUAUAUGUUUAACACAAAAGUUUUGGUUAUUAUUGAAAUUUUAAGACACUAAAAAGAACCGUAGGCUUAUUGAGCAAAAAAAAAAAAGGGGGGGGGAUUGAAUUAGCGUAAAUGUCAUAUAGAAGUAUGGAAAAUUCGCAAUAACAUUAUAAAAAUCUCAAAUAGUAUAAUUUUUUCUAAGUUUAACAUUAUAGAUGCCAUGAUCCACAAAGUUUAUUACUAUUCUUAUGGGAAAUUUGGAAAAGAAGGGAUGGCCUACGCUGCAAGACCAAUUCCUGUUUCCUACUAGUGUUGUUGAAAUCUGAAUACAAUUUUUAUUUUAUUUUUAUCACCCUUAGCUUCAAAGUUCAGACUUUAUUUAACCUUUCCAUAAAUAAAGAUAUUUUACCCAUGAUGGUUCAUAUUUUAUUCCACAAAAGCAUAUAAACACAGUGAAUAAUACCUCAAUAAUUUGAAGACUUUAUAUUUCCAAGUGCUUUGACUUUUAACCCUUUAGUAACCAUCACAAGUCAAGUCAAAUUUUUUUGUUUCCUCUAGAAGCUUUGGCUCAUUUAAACUUGAAAAAUGAACCCAUUCAAAGUUACAUUUCAAAUCUUCUUUGUUUGUUUAUGAGUAUUCAAUAGUAUUUCACUUGUUUUGCAAUAUACUAAAUUAUUAUAAACAAUACAUCCAAAUGGACCGAUAUUUAUUUUAAUCAAAGAUUAGGAGAAAAAAAAACAAUAUUAACCAUAUACGUUUGUAUAAGAACGUCCAAAAUUGUGACGAUACUUAAUAAGAGACUGUGGGUUUUCUUGUUCCUUAAUCUCAGCUGCCGUGGAAAAUGUGUUAAUUAGUAAAUUACUAUUAAGUUAUGCUAUGUUCUUAACAUACCUAUCAAAUCUUUGAUUAAAAUUUAAUUAUGGGUCCAUGAGACAGUCGUCAUUAUUAGGUUCAGUAGCUAUACUGCAUGAUUACUAAUUAAGUAGCUAUAUUUUUAUAAGAAUUAAACAAAUCUAUCAAUAUAUCACCACUUCAUUAUAUUACCUUUUAGCUAUAUUUCUAUAAGAAUUAAACAAAUAGAUCGAACAAAUGUAUAUAUACAUGUAACAAAAAAAGUUAAAUCCAGAUUUAUUAAAGACACAGACCUAACUCCCCGAAUGGAGGUACAGCCCACGGAUAAACCCUUUUCUGGGCAUUCAAAUGAACCGAAAGCAAUAACUCAUAUCCGUGUGACCAGCGGGGUUCGAACCAGAAUUCGCCAUAUUGAGUUUUUUCCUUCAAGCGCCACUAGACUACCACCACUGGUUCUAUAUACAUAUAUUUUGUGUUAAAAAAAAUGUUCAUCUUAUAAUUCCUUUAAAAUUCGUUAGAUGUAAAUUUUCUCCGAGGGUUGGCAAAGUUUUGUUCACCAACCAUAACGGAAUUCCCUCUCACAAAUUCCGAUAUCUCUAUUACACCUUUCAUUUCAUCUCUUUUGGUACAUAUCAAUAACUCAUAUCCUUUUCAAAAGGGUAAUAUUAUAUUAACAAGUGAUUCAUCGAUCAUGCACCAAAUCCUAUAUAUGUUUGGUGAUGAUUUUUGACAGUUAAUUUCAUGGAUUUGAUUAUUUAUCUUGAAUAUUUUGGUAUACUAUAGAUAAGUUGUUUGUAUGUAUCAAGGAGCGUUUAGUUACAAUUAAUUAGCGAACAGCAAAGGACGUUAUACGAUGCUACUCUUUUGUUAAAUCCACGCUUAAUUAGUUUUGAUCUAAGAAAACUUUGUAUGCCAAACGUUUUUUUAUUGGUAACGACGAUGGUCUACAUCCUUUAGCGAACUUCAAAUAGGCGAUACAUGAAAAUACCAGUGUUCUCAUAUAUUAUUUUCUUGAGAAGUAUUAAUAUAUAUUUUGAUCAGUGAGAUGUUGUUCAAUACGAGUUUCUGUAUAUUUAUAUUUUUAGAUGGUUCACACAUUUCAAUCACCAAACAUUCGAUGUAUUUGUCUCUAUCUCGACAACAUGUAUAUACUCCUCUGUACUAUAUAUACUACAACAUCAAUUACUAAAAAUAUAUUAAUAAUGUAUAUAAUCGUACGUACUACGUACAAGUCUCAUUUUGACACUAAUUGAUUCAAUUUUUGAAAAUAUUGAAUUAUUUUGUUACUCUUGAUGACCAAGUCUAUCACAUGCAUGUAAUAAAAGUACACAUAAUCGGUCUUUCUUCUUAUUCGUAAGCUGCCAUGCAAGUGGGCCUUCAAGCUUCCGUGAAGUCUUAUGUAAUAAUUACAUACACACGCACACGCGCACACACGCUAUAUAUAAGUAUUUAUGUAUAUGCAUAUUAAUUAAUCCAUAUGUAACUCCAUUAUAAUCAAAUCGAAGGUAUUUGUGAUUUUGCAUGCCAUUUACUAUUUAUGUUAAUCAUACUCCUAAACCACAGAUCAAAGACUAAAUAAUAAUUAUAAAAUCCAUUACUCGCUAGGACAUGAAUCAUGAGGAAAACCUAUAUAUAGCGUGUAAUAUCUAAUGAUAUGCUUGUUGCUCCACAAAAAAAGUGUGUAAUAUCAUACAAUAAUCGUACAUGUUUAAGCGUACAUUUUACUAGCAACACAGAAUGGCGGAUAAAAUAUAAUUACAAUAACUUUUGAUCAAAAUAAUAAUAAUAAUUAUUAUAAUAACUAACUGCAAAAACUCUACAGUGAUAACACAACGAUUAAUUUCCACUCUUUCAAAAAAAAAAAAAAAAACUCAAAAGUGAUUAUAAAUUUAGAACUAGAUGCAACUCAUACAAUAAAUUACAAAAUAUAUUUCAUAGUUUUCAAUCUUGCUCUUCCAUCCGGAAACUUAUUUAGUAAUAAACUGUUCUAAAGUUAGAUGAAUACAGCCUAAAAUCGAGAAUAUAGAAGGAAGAGACAAAAGAGUCAAAGGAUGGCGGCCGGCUAAGCAAACAUUAUAAUUGACGGGGUGUUUUACAUAUAAUUGGUGGGGUUUAUAUUUAACAAAUUUUCCUUAAGACUAAAUAUACAUCAAUUAGUAUUGAAUCUCUAGAUGCUGAUGCAGGAGCAAAGACAAAUGAGAAAAAACAUUAGUCUCCCCCUUCUCUGUCAUUCGUUUCUAAAUUCUACUAAUAUUUUAUCACAUAAUUUAUAUCAUUAAAUUUCCAAUUCCAUAAAGUAACUUUUAUUCAUUUUUUAAACCCUAACUUUUGACAUCUUCAUCACAACUAUCUCCUCCAGCUAUUAUAUACUCUCUCCUUUAAUUUUUUCUUCAUUCACAUAUACUUUUCUCCAUUAUACACAUUUCCAAGUAUGUAUAUAUAAAAACCUCACAUACACGCACCAUCACACAAACAUCCUCCUCCUCCUCUUCAUCAUCAACAUAGUUGAGAAAGAUAAAAAAAUAAAGAGGGAGAGAGAGAGAGAGAGAAAGAAACACAUCAAGAGAAAGAAUCACGAAUCAAGAGGAUGGGAAGAGCACCGUGUUGUGACAAGGCUAACGUGAAGAAAGGGCCUUGGUCUCCUGAAGAAGAUGCAAAGCUCAAAGAUUACAUCGAGAGUAGUGGCACAGGAGGCAACUGGAUCGCUUUGCCUCAGAAGAUUGGUAUAUAAUUAUGAUUUAAAAUAGUUUGAGACGGUUUGAAUAUUCUAUAGCAAAUAGAACUUUCGUGUACAUAUUUUCGCGUUGAUAUUUUGUAUAUAUUUUAUAUGUACAUGUAUAUAGGUCUAAGGAGAUGUGGGAAGAGUUGCAGACUAAGGUGGCUUAACUAUUUGAGACCUAACAUCAAACAUGGUGGCUUCUCUGAGGAAGAGGACAACAUCAUUUGUAACCUCUAUGUUACUAUUGGUAGCAGGUACUAUACUCUACUUGCGUCAAGAUUAUUAAUUAAGACACUUGUUUUGAAUUAGAGAACCAUUAUGUUUAUAUGUUCAAUGGGGUUUUUUUUUUAAAAGGUGGUCUAUAAUUGCUGCACAAUUGCCUGGAAGAACAGACAACGAUAUCAAGAACUAUUGGAACACGAGGCUGAAGAAGAAGCUUCUUAACAAACAAAGAAAAGAGUUCCAAGAAGCUCGGAUGAAGCAAGAGAUGGUGAUGAUGAAACGACAGCAACAAGGACAAGGACAAUGCCAAAGUAAUGGUAGUACGGAUCUUUAUCUGAACAACAUGUUUAGAUCAUCACCAUGGCCAUUACUGCCUCAUCUUCCUCCUCCUCAUAGUCAAGUACCUCUUGUGAUGAUGGAACCAACAAGCUGCAAUUACUACCAACCGACACCGUCUUGCGCAUUAGAACAAAAGCCAUUGAUCCCACUCAAGAACAUGGUCAAGAUUGAAGCAGAACCGGAGAGAUCAAACCCUGAUCAUCAUUAUCCGGAAGACUCAAUGACAAACUCUUUUGAUCUUUCCUUCUCUCAGCUUUUGUUAGAUCCUAAUUACUACCUGGAAUCAGGAGGAGGAGAAGGAGAGUUUGCUCUCAUGAGUAGCAGUACGAACUCUCCAUUACCAAACACAAGUAGUGAUCACCAUCAACAUCAAAAAGAGAUUACUCAAUGGUUUGGGAGUAGUAAUUUUCAGACAGAAGCUAUCAAUGAUGUGUUCUUAAACAACAACAACUUAGCGAAUUUUGAAACCAACGACGAGAACGCAAAACUAUAUGCAAACUCAUCAGUAGCCGGAGCUGGAGCAGCGUUUGCCGGAGGAACGACGAGUACAUCGGCUGAUCAAAGCACAAUAAGUUGGGAGGACAUAACCUCUCUUGUUAACUCCGAUGAUGCAAGAUACUUCAAUGGGCCAAAUAAUGUGUAAUUUUUUUCUGCAAAAUUUUAUUUUUACUUAUAUAUAUAAAGAGGUUUUUGUAUAAGCUUAUGACUUAAGAGAGUGGUAAAAAAAAUCACAUGGAUUGAGAUUAAUAUUCUCAUAUUUGUUUAUUUUAGUUUCAACUUAGCUUUAUUCACGAAAAACAAUAUAUAUGAUCUUUUGAGUUUUUCUUUUUGAUUAAUGCUUUUAUAAAUUUGAAAGAGAUUCUACCUUUUAGCUUCUUCCUUUUUCCCUAAUAAUUAGGUCUUUAGAAAAUCUAUAAAUAUUUUCAAAUUACAAUACAUCUGACACAUAAGAAGAAAGAAACAACUAUGAAUAUAAAUUUGAAAGCCUAAAAGAGGAUUGUCUUUUAAACGCACCAACAUCCACCAAUAUAAAAGUUCUUAUUUUUAAAAGAUAACACUGUUAAUCAUCUUAUAUAUACGACAUGGUCGUGUAUAUAAUACACAUGAAUUGUUGGGUGCCUAUAGUAUUCAUAAAGAAUCCAAGGAUGAUUUCCUUCCCUGUUUCCUAUGAUCAACUCCACUGGAGUAUAUAAUCAUGCAUGUAGAUAUGCAUGAUUAUGAUAAAUUUGUCAAUAUUUAUAACAGUAAAAACAUUUAUGACAGUCAAAUUUGCUAAAUCAGGUCAUAAAUAACAAUCCAAAUUUUAUUGUUUUAUAAAUUAAAUCACCAAUGACUUCGAAUACUUUAUCAAUUAAAAAAUAUAAUGUUGUUUAGAAGCAUAUAUAACAAUAUAUUAAAUAAAAAAAGUAAUGGGUUUAUGUUAUCAAAAAAAAUUAUAAAUUCAUUAUAUUAUGAAAACUAUAUAUAUGGACCAGCUUUAAAAUAUACGAAAAUGGCAGACCCAAUCUAAUUACCUAAAAACAUAUUUGUCUAAAAUAAUCAUAAAAUAAAAUUUAAAUUUUAUAUACAUAUUUCAAAUCAAAGUAUUAAUUUAAAUUAAUUUAUAUCAAAAAUUGAUUCAAAAAUAUACAUAUAUUCAAAAAUUGAUUUUACUAAAAUGUUUUUAUAACCAUUAUAAAAAUGUUUUAAAUAUAUUUAAGAAAAAUAAAAUACAAAGCAAUUUCAAACACCAACGUAAAUUAUGAUUUUUAUAUUUCAUAUUAAGUUUUAAAAAUAUAAAAUAUAUGAUUAUUUAUCUGAUGGUACAUAUAAAAUACUAUUAAUUAUAUGAUUACUUAUAUGAUGGUAGGUAAAAAACACGAUUAAUUAUAUGAUAACACAUAUAUAAUAUUUAAUAGUGACAUGAAAAAAAUAAAUAACAACAUAUUUUUGCAAUAUUAUAUCUUCUAUCUUAUUAAAGUAGAAGUAUCUUUGGGAAUGUUUGGAAACAAGAAAUUAAAUUUUUUUUUGAUGUCCAUUAUAUUCUUAUAAAUUAUCUGUUUGUACCAGAUUUAAAAUAUAAAAAAAUGACUCAAUCUAAUUACUUUUUUUGUGCAACUGGUCAUCUAAUUAACUAAAAACAUAUUUUGUCUAAAUUAAUCAUUAAACAAAAUUCAAAACAAAAAUUGAUUCAAAAAUAUAUAUGUAUUCAAAAAUUGAUUUUUACUAAUGUAUUUUCCAGUAACAAUUAUAAAAUUGUUUUCAAUAUAUAUAUAAAAAUACAAUACAAAGGAACUAAUAGAUUGAGUAAACCUUAUUUCUAAUUUUUUUUAUGGACCACCGAAACAGAAUUAGAUAUACAAUACUAGAAAUAACUAUAAUAUUUGAGUUACAAUAUCAAAUAAACAAUGAAACAAAAAAUUAAUAUAUGAAUGUAUUAGUAUUCCUUUAUUCGUAUUACAAAUGCAAUAAUAGUCAAACAAUAAUAUAUAACGAGACCAUAAUUUUUAAAAUCCAACAAUUACCGAUUAGUUAUGAAUUUAUAAUGUUUUUGCAAAUUAAAAGAAACACCCGCAUGAUCUAGUAUUUAAUUAAAAAGGACGCAGCAAUAUGGACACGUACAUGGUCGGAUCUAUAUGGCUUCGUCUGAUAAGAGAUAUUAUGACAAACACUCAAAUACACAUAUGCAAAUGGGUAUGCACAACUAUACACAUGUUCAUUUUUCUCAACAAAAUAUAUGCUAGUUGUCAUUUAUUAUAUACUAGAUCUCGAUUCGCGCUACCGCGCGGAUUUUUGUUUUCGUUUAUUCUUACAUAAAUAUUUUGUUUUCAAUUCUAAAUUGGUAUAUAUUAUAAUAUAUAUGUGUCUAUCAAUUUUUAAAACAUAAUAAAUUUACUGUAUAUUUUUUUCAUUGAAUAUAUUGUUUCAAACUUUCACAUGUAUUUGUAUCUUCUUCAAUAUAUAUAUUUUCGGAUUAUUAUUUCAUUAUUAAAAUCGUAACUAUAUAUAUAAAGAUUAGUAAAAUAUUAUUUUUUGUCAUAUUGAAAGAUAUUGUAACAUUUCACAAAUUUAGAAAGUUUUUAAAAACUUAAAAUUUUCGCUUCAUAGAUUUAUAUUAUCGAGUAAAUAAUUAAACAUUUAGUUUUUUUUUUAAUUUUUAAAAUAAACUAUAUAGUUUAAAUUUGUUUUCAUUGGUUUAAGGUAGUAAAGAUUAAUCAUUGUUAACUAAUAUUAUUUUUGUUAUUUAAAAAAAAUCUUUAUAAUUUUAAAAGUUAACAUCGAUAAAUAUUUAAAUAUUUAGCAUAUAGAGGUAUAGUAUUACAACAUUAGAUUAUAUCUAUUUAAUUUAUACUAUCUAUAAAUUCAAUAGAUCAUCUAUUGUUUAAAUCCAAUUACUGAUAUCCCAAUAAAAUUUUUUGGUAGACCCAAAAUUUAAAUGAUAAGAUUAGAUAUUAAAUGUAAUAUGACUUUCUAGGAAUAAGUCCAUUAUGUCUAUUUUUUUUUAAAAUCACACAUGAAUCAAACUUGUGACUUCUGUUUUAAUAUAUAAGACUAGAUCUCGACCCGUGCAACCAUGCGAGUUUUUGUUUUCAUUUAUUUUGUAUAAAUAUUUUGUUUUCAAUUCUAAAUUGGUAUACAUUGUAAUAUAUAUGUGUCUAUCAAUUUUUAAAACAUUAUAAGUUUACGGUAUAUUUUUUUCAAUGAAUAGAUUGUUUUAAACUUUCACAUGUAUUUGUAUCUUCUUAUAUAUAUAUAUAUAUAUAUUUUGGAUUAUUAUUUCAUUGUUAAAAUUUUAACUAUAUAUAUAAAGAUUAAUAAAAUAUUGUUUUAUUGUCAUAUUCAAAAAUAUUGUAACAUUUCAGAAAUUUAGAAAGUUUUUUAAAAAUUAAACUUUUCGCUUCAUAGAUUUUUAUUAUCAAGUAAAUAAUUAAAUAUUUAGUUUUUGUUUAAUUUUUAAAAUAAAAUAUAUAGUUUAAAAUUUGAUUUCAUUAGUUUAAGGUAUUAAAGAUUAAUCAUUAAUAGAGAAUAUAUUUUUUGUAAUUUAAAAAAAUUCUUUAUAAUUUUAAAAGUUAACAUCGACAAAUAUUUAACAUAUGGAGGUAUAGUAUUACAACAAUAAAUUAUAUCUAUUUAAUUUAUACUAUCUAUAAAGCCAUUGAUAAGAGUAGAGAUUAAAUGUAACAUGAUUUUCUAGGAACAUGUCUAAUAAGUCCAUUUUUAAAAAAAUUACACAUGAAUCAAGGUUGUGACUUCUAUUUUAAUAUAUAAGAUAUAUAUAUGUGUGUGUUGGAAACAACCAUUAUUGUGUAAGAAUGAUUAAAAAUAUACUGUUAAUAAAUAACGAAUAAAUAAAUAUAUGAUUCAAAAAAAAAUCUAACAAUGUAGAAGAGUUUUUUGUGAUAAUAAAAUGAAGAGGAGUUGUCUUACCAAUUCAACGAAAGAGUACGUACAGCUUCGAAACUCUUUCUAGUCAGUUUGGUUUUGAAGAUCACAAAAUCAAAUGAUGUCAUUCAAAAUUCUCUUUCUCUGAUCGAGUUUAGCACAUAUCUUUGCCCAUUCAAACCUCCACACGAAAUCAUGUUCACUUUCACACUUCUUUUGGUAAAAGUUUUUUUGCACCCAUUUUUAUCUCGAGUGAACAAUACAAUGUUAUAUCUUUAUAUCUACCAAUUUGAAAACAAUAUACAUAUACACAUAUAUUUAUAUUUUUUUUUUUGGGCAAACAAUACUUAUAUUGAAGCUUAUGUAAUAGAGUUUUGGAACAGAAACAGAGCCUCUUUGGCUAAGCCAUCAGCGACUACAUUACCAUUACGAGGCAGAAACUUAAACAGGAUAGAAGAAAAGGAGUUACUCAACACACCAAUGUCAUGGAGAAUCCCUUGUAAGGCGAUCACAGAGGGAUUAUUUAAAACAUGCAAAAGAGUGGCAAGACUCGACUGCGAAAGUGACCCCUCGCCCUGCUUCAGCAAAAGACUGCCCCAUUGCGGUGCCUCAAACCCAGUACCCCUUGAAUGCAGCUCUGUGCUAUUCUGAUGCAGCGUGGAACAGCGUCUCGUGUAAGGGAGGAAUGGGAUGGACAAUCUCAGACUCCGACGGCGCAACUCUCCUGCAGGGAUCACUACCGCUCGAGUUCGCAGCCUCUCCACUUGUGGCCGAAGCGGUGGCGCUAAAGGAGACUUUAAAAGCUGCUAAAUCCAACAAUCUCAGUCACCUGAUCUGUUUCUCAGAUUCAAAAGGACUGAUCAAUCUGAUCACAGGAAACACAUAUAUUUAUAUAUUAAACAAAAUUACUAAAGAUGUUAUGUACAUGCACUAACUACACACAGGGAAAACGGUAAUGAUAUGACGACCUGCUAACCCG